rnacentral:lncRNA from 1 species
CGGCAGCAGCCUGAACCUGCUUUACUAGGAUACAGUGCGUAAAAUGGGCAUAGACCCCUCAAGGAUUAAACCUACCAAGACGACCUUUAAAGGUGUCAUACCAGGUGUAGAAGCCAAUUGUACAGGCUCAGUUACACUGGAAGUGGUCUUCGAAUCCCUGGAUAACUUCCGAAGCGAGGAGUUAAUCUUCGACAUAGUUCUGUUCCGCAGCGGCUAUCAUGCCCUGCUCGGACGUACCGCGUUUGCAAAGUUCAACGCGGUGCCGCACUACGCAUACCUCAAGCUCAAGAUGCCAGGCCCUCGAGGAGUCAUCAUGGUCAACGGAAACACCGAACGUUCUCUCCGUACGGAGGAACAUACAACAGCUCUCGCGGCAGAAGUAUAAUGCAACCUCUUAAGGCAAUUCACUAGUCCGGCCAUUGAGCGGCCGGACACAGCUAAGCGCGCCCGGAGUAACCUACAACAAGACCACCUAGCACGUUUCGAGCACGUGUAGCAGUGCGGCCCCAACCCCAGCCCUCGCAAAACGUCAAGACUGGUCCUUCGCGUACAUCACUAUGCUCUGAAGAUACCAUGGGCAUGGGGAGAGGGGCACGACCACGAUAGGCCCAGACUGCGGCUCAACCACACCAGGGGCUCUCAAGUGUGUCGUUCUUUUUUUUCUUUUUUCUUCUUUUAUUUUUACCCACAGGACUCCGUUCGUCAGAGGCCCUGUCCGGCAACAGACCUGCCGAACUCACGAUGCAACAGCCAGGGAAGGAUAAAGGCUACAACGAAUAUCCAGGUGGUCUCCAUUACGAGCAUUAAAUAUGUUUUAUACACCACUUCGUAGCCUACCCCUGGAGGGGGACAUGCUUAAACAGUCCCUUCCCUUGCUUAUCGCACUAUUUGUAUCGUUCUGCGUUCAUAGCAGCACUUCUUGAAUAAAACAAUGCAACACCUUUUUGCUUAUAAUUGCAUUUCCUUUUUAUAUAUAUGUUCAUUUACGGCAUGUUGCAUCCGUACACUUUGGUACGGUUAAAAUACACCAGGGGCUUAUGUUUCCCGCGUCAUGGUGUGAUAAGUCCGAACACUUUCACAAGUGCGGCACCCCGAACUUAUAGCAUUAUAUGCAUCGGCUCCGAAUCAUGUCUUGGGUCAAUAGUUGGGUUUGCCCGGCUCCCAUGUUUUGGUACCUUACGUUUCGUUAUAUCGGCUAAGGUAGCACUGGGAGAACCACUGCGAUUGCGCCCCAGUUGAGCUGGGUUAACGCCUUAGUGGAGAAAGCUAAAACUGACCGUCAUGAUGAGGCGAGAGCGGUCGCUAUUCGAGAGGUUUUUUGCGAGUCCUUAAAGACUUAUGCCGCUUAGAGCGAGGAGCCGGUUUUUGUCCGGCCCAGGCGUGGAUAGCGCCCCAAAUUCGGCCUUCCGAAGACUAGGGGCUUCGCCGAAAUUUAAAAUUAUAGAAUUCUAUGGCUAAGUGAGAGUGUUCAAGCAUUAUAAGUCCGGUUGCCUUGUUCGUCGUGUUGAGCGCCUCCCUAGAUGGACCCAAAUAUGAGAACAAGAGUGCUCAAAUUUAUCCCGAACACCCCAGCACUCGUGGCAUGGGGGCUGAAGCUGACGACUUGUAAUCUCUCAAAUUUGAUAAACAGCCGAACAGAAGGUAAUAUUUUAAAUAAACAAGCGUUGCUUAGCGCAUAUGAACAAAGUUUUCUGCGCACAGGAUAACAAAAUACGAGUCUACUCAAAUAUUACAUUAUUGGAGCACUCACCCGCAAUAGUGCGGGCACCCUUCAGGACACUCUUAUAAUACAUCUCGGGCAUGCGAUACUCCUUGCCCGGCGGUGGUGCGUCCGUCACAAGCUUCUCAGCAUCCAUCUUGCCCCAGUGCACCUUAGCGCGGGCAAGGGCCCGACGGGCACCUUCAAUACAUGCGGAUCGCUUGAUGACCUACACCCAUGGACACGCAUCCACCAACAGCCGCACCAGGCCGAAGUAGCUCCCAGGCAUGACCUCAUUGGGCCACAGCCGAACUAUGAGGCCCUUCAUGGCCUGUUCGGCCACCUUGUGGAGCUCGACCAGCUGCUUCAGCUGGUCGCUAAGGGGCACCAGAUGUCCGGCCUCAGCAUACUGAGACCAGAAGACCUUCUCCGUCGAGCUCCCCUCCUUGGCCCGGUAGAAUGCGGCAACAUCGGAUACGCUGCGAACGCUCCUGGAGAGCUCCGAAUUCGGGUAAGUGAUAGGGUAAUUCACACUCACAUGCUUACUUUGCAUGAAAAAUGCCUUACCCGCCGCUAUCUUCUUCAACGCCUCGAUUUCCUGGAGGGCUUUAUAGGCUUCUGCCUUAGCGGCUUUGGCACUCUCAAGAGCCGUCGCAAGCUCGGACUCUCGAGUAUUCGAGUCACGCUCCAAACUCUCAUGUUUUUCCAUGAGAGCCUGGAGCUCUUGCUGUACCUCCGCCACCCGCGCCUCAUGCUUCUCUCGCUCGGUGCGUUCCGCGGCCGCACUAUGUUCGGCCACGAACACCGCCUCCUUCAGGGUCGCCACCUCAUUCGUGGCACCUGUUACAUCCAUGUUAUCCUUGUCAUUUUUCUUGCAACCAAAAUCCUUUUCUAUAAGGUACAAUUUUAAUAAGGUGUUACUCACCUUCCUUGUCCUCAAGCUGCUUUUUGGCAUGGCCGAGCUCGUUCUCGGACCGCUCGAGGCUUUCCUUCAAAGUAUUGACCUCCGCAGACAAUGCGGCAGAGGUCAGCAGCACAGCCUGCAAUCCCAUAUUGACAUAUUUUUUAUGACUCCUGCGUAUAUCUUUUUAGAUCCUCAGUCCGGCUUUUCUUUCCGAACACCAAACCGAGCAUCAGGGGCUACUGUCUAUGCGGUACCAUUUUAUAUAUAUCGAAGUUCUUACCUCAAAGCCUGUUAGAAGGCUGCUGCAGGCUUCGGUCAGCCCGCUCUUGGCGAGCUGAACCUUCUGAAUCACCGCACUCAUAACAGUGCGGUGUUCCUCUUCAAUGGAGGCGCUUGGCGCCUCCAGCAAGUUAUCCGGCGCCUCCAGUUGGACGGAGGCUGCUGGCGUCACGGUCUUCCCCUUCUUACGAAGGGGUCGCCCGCCGGACUCCGGAGCCACUGUAGGUUUCGAGGCCGAGUCCGGUGCAAAGUCCGGGAGGUUAUCCUGCGACACCUCCGGGUCCUCCUCGUCCUGGUGGGUCCCUUCCUGGGAUCCCACCUUGGCAUCGUCCGCAUCACGGAGGGUGGAGGCAGUCGGAAGGGAAUCCAUGUCCGACGCACCCAAGGACCCGCUCGACGAAGCAGGAAGAUCAUCCUUGGGUGGACUGCAGGGUUGUAUGCGGCAUUAGAAAGACAUUAUGUGGCGAAAAGAAAAACCAUGAAGUUAUUCGGGAGUCCGGAUACUUACGAUCUCGCCAGGGGCUUGGCCCUUGGAGGCCAGUCCUCGUCGUCGUCACUGGCGUUGGCAAAGCAGUCCGAGGAAAGAGUUUUUCCCUUCUUGGACCCUUCGGCCUCCCUUGUUGGGGAGGCCUUCCUUUUCUUUCCUCCCCCCGCUAGGGGAGAGGCUUUCUUCUUCUCCUCCUCGCCUUUGUGGGAGGAGUCGGCCUCGGAUUCAUCAUCCGAUAACACUUGAAAACGGGAACUCUUUCGAGUACCCGUGGCCUUCUUCUUGGCCUUCUUCUCUGGCACCACGUGGGGUGCCGGAGCCAGCAGCCUCAUUAGGCAGGCGUCCGCUGGGUCCUCUGGCAAUGGGGCCGGAUAGAUAGUCUGUUCGGCCUUCGCUAGCCAGUCCUGUCAAAGGUAAAGGGAGUUUAGAUCCCGCAUAGAGUCAAACUAUGGAAAACAAGUGACAAAAUCACUUACCUCGUCAACUGGACGCUGCGAGCUGAAUCCGCGAUCUUCAGUAGCGGAUGCGGGAGCCUCGGCGCCCUUGAACAACACCCUCCAGACAUCUUCAUACAUAGUGUCGAAGAGCCCUUUCAGAGUCUGGUGCUGCGCCGGAUCGAACUCCCACAUGUUGAAGCCCCGUCGUUGGCACGGGAGAGUCCGGCGGACGAGCAUGACCUGGACUACGUUGACAAGCUUGAGCUUCUUGUCCACCAGCUUUUGGAUACAGGCUUGGAGUCCGGUCAGCUCCUCCGAAUCACCCCAGAUCCGGCCGCUCUCUUUCCAGGAGGUGAGCCGUGUGGGGAUGCCGGAUCUGAAUUCGGGGGCCGCCGCCCAAUCAGGGUCACGCGGCUCGGUGAUGUAGAACCACCCCGAUUGCCACCCCUUAAUGGUUUCCACGAAGGUGCCCUCCAGCCAAGUAACGUGGGACAUCCUGCCCACCAUGGCGCCUCCGCACUCCGCUUGGCUGCCCUUCACAACCUUCGGCUUGACACUGAAGGUCUUGAGCCACAAGCCGAAGUGGGGCUGGAUGCAGAGGAAGGCCUCGCACACGACGAUAAACGCCGAGAUGUUGAGGAUGAAAUUCGGGGCCAGAUCAUGGAAAUCCAGGCCGUAGUAGAACAUGAGCCCCCGGACAAAGGGAUGAAGUGGGAAGCCCAGUCCGCGGAGGAAAUGGGGAAGAAAUACUACCCUCUCAUGGGGCCUGGGGGUGGUGAUGAGCUCCCCCUCGUCGGGGAGCCGGUGCGCGAUGUUGCUGGACAAAUAUCCGGCGUUGCGCAGCUUCUGGAUCUGCCCCUCCGUGACGGAGGAGGCCAUCCACUUGCCUCCCGCUCCGGACAUAGUUGGAGAAGGUUGAGGUGAGAAGUGCGGACUUGGGUGCUGGAGCUUGAGUUCGCGGAGAUGGAUAAGCCAACGAGGAAGAAGGCGCAGGUAAAAGGGUUGGAUCUUUAUCCCCUUAUAUGGGCGGACAAAAACAUGUGUCCCCACCGGCAUGGUAAAACUCGCUUAUCUCCCAAGCGCUGCAAUCAAUGGCGCGGUUGGGUUACCCACGUCCGUAUUAUUGGGAAUCCUGGAAUAAGGGGAACACGAUCUCUGCUUCGACAAGACGUGCCAAGGAAACCGCUUCACUAAACGCGCUGAGGUGGUACUAUAAAAACGAGUAAAGGCUUGGUAGUGGUGCGACGUCACGCCACAGAAUACGUCAGCAGAUUGAACUUGUGUAAUAUUAUUCUCUCUAUGGUGGUACGUGGAAUUUAUUUUUUGCAGAGCCGGACACUAUCCUAGUGUUCACAAUCUUCUAUAAAUUAUUCGGAGGAAGAACCCGCCUUGCAAUGUCGAAGACAACAUGCGCGCCGAACUCGUCGUCAUUGAAGCCUGGUUCAGGGGCUACUGAGGGAGUUCUGGACUAGGGGGUGUCCGAACAGCCGAACUAUCAUGAUCGGUCGGACUUCAAGACUAUGAAGAUACAAGAUUGAAGACUUCGUCCCGUGUCCGGAUGGGACUUUCCUUGGCGUGGAAGGCAAGCUUGGCGAUAUGGAUAUGUAGAUCUCCUACCAUUGUAACCGACUUUGUGUAACCCUAGCCCUCUCCGGUGUCUAUAUAAACCGGAUGGCUUUAGUCCAUAGGACGAACAACAAUCAUACCAUAGGCUAGCUUCUAGGGUUUAGCCUCCUUGAUCUCGUGGUAAAUCCACUCUUGUAACACACAUCAUCAAUAUUAAUCAAGCAGGACGUAGGGUUUCACCUCCAUGAAGAGGGCCCGAACCUGGGUAAAACAUCGUGUCCCUUGUCUCCUGUGACCAUCCGCCUGGACGCACAGUUUGGGACCCCCUACCCGAGAUCCGCCGGUUUUGACACCGACAGAGAGAAUUCAAUCUAAAUUCAUAAUAAAUUUCUAUGAAUUGCAGAGAAAUUUAGUAUUAAUUUAGGUCAAAUUCCCUGUAUAAGGGCAUCUAUUUUCACUUUGAGAGGAGCUCAACAAGGCAGAGAGGGAGGGGCUUAUAAACCGGUGUGAGCGCCCUUCGGUUGGCGAGGUGGGACUAAACUCUGACCGCAACGAGGACCAACCCUUUAGUCCCGGUUUGUGGCACAAACCGGGACUAAUGGUCAUGGGCUAGGGGUGAGGCACAUUGGUCCUAGUUCGUGCGUGGAGCAGGGACCAAAAGGUCCAGACGAACCGGGACCAAUGGCCCACGUGGCUGCCCUCUUGAGUGUUCUUUGUGAGAACAUAGUUGACAAGGAGCGAACCGGGAUUAAUGGUAUUACGAGGGCCGAACCAUAAGACAUUAAAGCAUUUCAAAUGAACUCUGAAAAAGUUGAAAAUUGGCAUGGUAUCAUAAUUUCACCCACAUAGCAUGUGCAUGUACAAAACGGACAAUGGUAUCAUACUCGUCUGUUACAAAGUUGGCAUGGUAUCAUCAUAAUAGUUGCGGGAGAAAGUCUACACUUUUUCUUCGCUUGUGUCAUUUGCUUAUUGCGCCGUAACCAUGGAUAAUCUUCAUCGUUUAUCAGGAUGCUUGGGUCAUCCUUGACUUUGAAGGGAGGAACUUCAUGAAACUUUUCAUAAUGUUCAGACAUGUCUGUCUUGCCCUCCACUCCCACGAUGUCCCUUUUUCCUAAAAGAACUAUGUGGCGCUUUGGCUCAUCGUAUGAUGUAUUCGCUUCCUUAUCUUCUCUUUUUCUCGGUUUGAUAGACAUGUCCUUCACAUAAAUAACCUGUGCCACAUCAUUGGCUAGGACGAACGGUUCGUCAGUGUACCCAAGAUUUUUCAGAUCCACUAUUGUCAUUCCAUACUGUGGGUCUACCUGUACCCCGCCUCCUGACAGAUUGGCCCAUUUGCACUUAAACAAAGGGACCUUAAAAUCAUGUCCAUAGUCAAGUUCCCAUAUGUCCACUAUGUAACCAUAAUAUGUGUCCUUUCCCCUCUCGGUGGCUGCAUCAAAGCGGACACCACUGUUUUGGUUGGUGCUCUUUUGAUCUUGGUCAAUCGUGUAAAAUGUAUUCCCAUUUAUCUCGUAUCCUUUCCAAAUCGUAACAGUCAAAGAUGGUCCCCUGGACAACAAGUACAGCUCAUCACAAACAGUGUUGUCACCUCUGAGACGUGUUUCCAACCAACUGCUGAAAGUCCUGAUGUGUUCACAUGUAAUCCAGUCGUCGCACUGCUCUGGGUGUUUGGAGCGCAGACUGUUCUUGUGUUCAUCGACAUAAGGGGUCACCAAGGUAGAGUUCUGUAGAACUGUGCAGUGUGCUUGAGACCAAGAAUACCGUCCCUGCAUAUUAUUGAGUCCCUUCCAAGCAUGCCUUUUCCAGCCAGUCUCCCCUCAUACCGCGAUUUAGGGAGACCUAUCUUCUUAAGGCCAGGAAUGAAGUCAACACAAAACCCGAUGACAUCCUCAGUUUGAUGGCCCAUGGAGAUGCUUCCUUCUGGCCUAGCGCGGUUAUGGACAUAUUUCUUUAGGACUCCCAUGAACCUCUCAAAGGGGAACAUAUUGUGUAGAAAUACGGACCCUAGAAUGACAAUCUCGUCGACUAGAUGAACUAGGACGUGCGUCAUGAUAUUGAAGAAGGAUGUGGGAACACCAGCUCGAAACUGACAAGACAUUGCGCCACAUCACUCCUUAGCCUUGGUACGAUUUCUAGAUCAAUCACCUUCUGAGAGAUUGCAUUGAGGAAUGCACAUAGCUUAACAAUGGCUAAUCGGACGUUUUCCGGUAGAAGCCCCCUCAAUGCAACCGAAAGCAGUUGCGUCAUAAUCACGUGGCCGUCAUGAGAUUUUAGGUUCUGAAACUUUUUCUCAGCCAUAUUUAUUAUUCCCUUUAUAUUCGACGAGAAGCCAGUCGGGACCUUCAUACUAAGAAGGCAUUCAAAGAAUAUUUCCUUCUCUUCUUUGGUAAGAGCGUAGCAGGCAGGACCUUCAUACUGCUUUGGAGGCAUGUCGUCUUUUCCGUGCAAACGUUGCAGGUCCUCCCGUGCCUCAGGUAUAUCUUUUGUCUUCCCAUACACGCCCAAGAAGCCUAGAAGGUUCAUGCAAAGGUUCUUCGUUACGUGCAUCACGUCGAUCAAAGAGCGGACCUCUAGGUCUUUCCAGUAGGGUAGGUCCCAAAAUAUAGAUUUCUUCUUCCACAUGGGUGCGUGUCCCCCAGCGUCACUCGGAAUAGCUAGUCCGCCGGGACCCUUUCCAAAGAUUACGUGUAAAUCAUUGACCAUAGCAAGUACGUGAUCACCGGUAUGCAUGGCGGGCUUCUUCCGGUGAUCUGCCUCGCCUUUGAAAUGAUUGCCUUUCUUUCGACAUUGAUGGUUGGUCAGAAGAAAUCCACGAUGGCCCAGGUACACAUUCUUCCUGCAGCUUCCCAGGUAUAUACUUUCGGUGUCAAGUAAACAGUGCGUGCAUGCGUGGUAUCCCUUGUUUGUCUAUCCUGAAAGGUUACUGAGAGCGGCUGAAAGGUUACUGAGAGCGGGCCAAUCGUUGAUGGUCAUGAAUAACAACGCCUUUAGGUCAAAUUCCUCCUGCUUGUGCUCAUCCAAUGUACGUACACCGUUUCCAUUCCGCAACUGUAAAAGUUCUUCAACUAAUGGCCUUAGGUACACAUCAAUGUCGUUGCCGGGUUGCUUAGGGCCUUGGAUGAGAACUGGCAUCAUAAUGAACUUCCGCUUCAUGCACAUCCAAGGAGGAAGGUUAUACAUACAUAGAGUCACGGGCCAGGUGCUGUGAUUGCUUCUCUGCUCCCCGAAAGGAUUAAUGCCAUCCGCGCUUAAAGCAAACCAUACGUUCCUUGGGUCACGUGCAAACUCAGCUGAGUACUUUCUCUUGAUUUUUCUCCACUGCGACCCGUCAGUGGGUGCUCUCAACUUCCCAUCUUUCUUACGGUCCUCAAUGUGCCAUCGCAUCAACUUGGCAUGCUCUCCAUUUCUGAACAGACAUUUCAACCAUGGUAUUAUAGGAGCAUACCACAUCACCUUUGCAGGAACCCUCUUCCACGGGGCUCGCCGUCAACAUCACCAGGGUCAUCUCGUCUGAUCUUAUACCGUAAUGCACCGCAUACCGGGCAUGCGUUCAGAUCCUUGUACGCACCGCGGUAGAGGAUGCAGUCAUUAGGGCAUGCAUGUAUCUUCUGCACCUCCAAUCCUAGAGGGCAUACGACCUUCUUUGUUGCGUAUGUACUGUCGGGCAAUUCGUUAUCCUUUGGAAGCUUCUUCUUCAAUAUUUUUAGUAGCUUCUCAAAUCCUUUGUCUGGCAUAGCAUUCUCUGCCUUCCACUGCAGCAAUUCCAGUACGGUACCGAGCUUUGUGUUGCCAUCUUCUCCAUUGGGGUACAACCCUUUUUUGUGAUCCUCUAACAUGCGAUCGAACUUCAGCUUCUCCUUUUGACUUUCGCAUUGUGUCCUUGCAUCGACAAUGACCCGGUGGAGAUCAUCAUCAUCGGGCACAUCAUAUGGUUCCUCUUGAUCUUUAGUAGCUUCGCCCGUUGCAGCAUCAUCGUGCACAUCGUAUGGUUCCUAUUGAUGUUUAGUAGCAUCACCGUAUUCAGGGGGCACAUAGUUGUCAUCGUACUCUUCUUCUUUGUCGUCUUCCAUCAUAACCCUUAUUUCUCCGUGCCUCGUCCAAACAUUAUAGUGUGGCAUGAAACCCUUGUAAAGCAGGUGGGUGUGAAGGAUUUUCCGGUCAAAGUAAGACUUCGUAUUCCCACAUAUAGGGCAUGGACAACACAUAAAACCAUUCUGCUUGUUUGCCUCAGCCACUUCGAGAAAAUCAUGCACGCCCUUAAUGUACUCGGAGGUGUGUUUGUUACCGUACAUCCAUUGCCGGUUCAUCUGCGUGCAUUAUAUAUAAUUAAGUGUGUCAAAAAUCAUUACAGAACAUCAUGAAUAGAUAAUUAAGUGACCAAAUUAAUAGAAGUUCAUCAUCACAUUAAAACCAAAGUACAUACAUAGUUCUCAUCUUCAAGCGAAAAUCAUUACAGAACAACAUAAAGCUCUGCAGAGCAUCUAAAUUAAUUAAACCAUACAUUGAAACUAUGUAAAACAUUUCAAUGUGAAAACAAAUGCGAUCAUAAUCGCAACCAAGGUAACAACUGAUCCAACGGCAUAAUGAUACCAAGCCUCGGUAUGAAUGGCAUAUUUUCUAAUCUUUGUAAUCUUCAAGCGCAUUGCAUCCAUCUUGAUCUUGUGAUCAUCGACGACAUCCGCAACAUGCAACUCCAAUAUCAUCUUCUCCUCAAUUUUUCUUAUUUUUUCCUUCAAGAAAUUGUUUUCUUCUUCAACUAAAUUUAACCUCUCGACAAUAGGUCGGUUGGAAUUUCUGGUUCAACAACCUCCUAGAUAAAUAAAAUCUAUGUCACGUUGGUCGGCAUAAUUUUCAUAAACAAUAAAUGAACCAAAGGUUAUGAAAAGAUAAUAUAUAUAUACCACAUCCGAAUCAUAGACAGGACGAGGGCCGACGGGGGCGGAUACCAAAACCAUCGCACUGUAUAAGAUGCAAUAAUAAAAGUAAGAAAAUAAUACAAGUAUCUAUCUAAACAUACAAGUAAGAAUAUUUUUCCUUUCAGAAAGAAGAUAAGAACAAGAGGCUCACCAUGGUGGUGCCGGCGAUGAGAUCGGCGCGGGCGAUCGACGGCGAUGAAGACGGGGACGGGGCGUGACGGACCGCUAAACCUAGACAAAUAUUGAGGAAAAUGGAGCUUGGAGGUCGAGCUUGGAGAGGAGAAAGCUUAAGUAGUGUGGCUCGGGCAUUCCAUCGAACACCUUGUGUGCAUAGGAGGUGAGCUAGAGCACCACCAAGCCCUCUCCCCCUUGGCUGCCAGAAAAAACAGAGCGGUGUGCUCUGCUCUUACGCGAGGGGGUAUAUAUAGGCACCUCAUUGGUCCCGGUUGGUGGCAUGAACCGGGACUAAAGGGCAGCCUUUGGUCCCGGUUCAAUCCACCAACCGAGACCAAUAGUGGUGGGCCAGGAGCGAGGCCCAUUGGUCCCGGUUCGUCCCACCAACCGGGACCAAAAGGUCCAGACGAACCAGGACCAAUGGCACACGUGGCCCGGCUGGCCCCCGGGGCUCACGAACCGGGUCCAAUGCCACCAUUGGUCCUAGUUCUGGACUGAACUGGGACUAAUGGGCUGACCCGGCCUGGACCAUUGCCCCCUUUUCUACUAGUCUGGGUCUUCAGCUCCCGGAUGCCUAGGAACAACAACAAAGCCUUUAGUGCCAGACAAGUUAGGGUAGGCUAGAGGUGAAACCCAUAAGAUCUUGCGAACAACUCGUGGCUCUUGCACAUGGAUAGCAAGCUUCCACGCACCCCUGUCCAUAGCUAGUUCUUUGGUUAUACUCCAAUCCUUUAGAUCUUUCUUAACGUACUCCUGCCGUAUCAAAUUCGGUCUACCCGACCUCUCUUGACAUUCUCCGCACGCUUUAGCCGUCCGCUAUGCAUUGGAGCUCCUGGAGGUCUGUGCUGAAUAUGCCCAAACCAUAUCAGACGAUGUUGGACAAGCUUCUCCUCAAUUGGUGCUACCCCAACUCUAUCUUGUAUAUCAUUCCAGACAUGAUCCUUCCUCGUGUGGCCACACAUCCAUGUCAACAUAUGCAUCUCCGCCACACCUAACUAUUGAACAUGUCUCCUUUUAGUCGGCGAACGCUUAGCGCCAUACAACAUUGCGGGUCGAACGGCCGUCCUGUAGAAAUUGCCUCUAAGCUUUUGUGGCACUCUCUUAUUGUAGAGAAUGCCAGAAGCUUGGCGCCACUUCAUCCACCCCGCUUUGGUUCGAUGGUUCACAUCUUCAUCAUAACCCCAUCCUCCUGCAGCAUUAGACCCAAAUAUCAAAAGGUGUCCUUCUUAGGCACCACCUGCCCAUCAAGGCUAACCUCCUCCUCCUCAAACCUAGUAGUUCUGAAACCGCACAUUCUGUGCUCGGUUUUAGUUCUAGUAAACCUAAACCCUUUUGAUUCCAAGGUUUGUCUCCAAUACUCCAACUUCCUAUUCACCCCCGUCUGACUAUCGUCAACUAGCACCACAUCAUCCGCAAAUAGCACAAACCAUGGGAUAUCUCCUUGUACAUCCCUUAUGACCUCACCCAUCACCAAGGAAAAAUGAUAAGGGCUCAAAGCUGGCCCCUGAUCCAGUCCUAUCUUAAUCGGGAAGUCAUCAUUGUCAACAUCACUUGUUCGAACACCUGUCAAAACAUUAUCAUACAUGUCCUUCAUAAGGGUAAUGUACUUUGAUGUGACUUUGUAUUUCUCCAAGGCCCACCAAAUGACAUUCCGCGUCAUCUUAUUAUAGGCCUUCUCCAGGUCAAUGAACACCAUAUGAAAGUCCUUUUUUGCUCCAUGCAUCUCUCCAUAAGUUGCCGUACCAAGAAAAUGGCUUCCAUGGUCGACUCCCUAGGCAUGAAACCAGACUAAUUUUUUGUCAUGCUUGUCAUUCUUCUUAAGCGGUGCUCAAUGAUUCUCUCCCAUAGCUUCAUUGUAUGGCUCAUCAGCUUAAUUCCACGGUAAUUAGUACAACUCUAAACAUCCCACUUGUUCUUAAAGAUUGGUACUAAUAUACUCCAUCUCCAUUCUUCUGGCAUCUUGUUUGCCCGAAAAAUGAGGUCGAAAAGCUUGGUUAGCCAUACUAUCGCUAUGUCCCCGAGGCCUUUCCAAUACAAUCAGGGCCCAUCGUGUUGCCUCCUUUCAUCUUUUUUAAAGCCUCAUUGACCUCAUACUCCUGGAUUCGCCACACAAAACGUGUGCUGGUCUCAUCAAUGGAGUCAUCCAGUUCAACGGUCGAACUCCCAUUCUCCCCAUUGAAUAGCUUGUCGAAGUACACCCACCAUCUAUGCUUAAUCUCCUCGUCCUUCACCAAGAGUUGGUCUUCUCCGUCCUUGAUGCGUUUGACUUGGCCAAUAUCCCUCAUCUUCCUCCCUCUGAUCUUGGCCAUCUUAUAGAUGUCGCUUUCGCGUUCCUACGUACCUAACCGUUGGCAGAGGUCCUCAUACAACCGACCCCUUGCUUUACUGAUAGCUUGCUUUGCGGCCUUCUUCGCCAUCUUGUACUUCUCUAUUUUGUCGGCACUCCUAUCCAGGUAUAGGCAUCUAAAACAAUCUUUCAUAUCUUUAAUCCCUUGUGGACAUCAUCAUUCCACCACCAGGUAUCCUUAUCCCCGCUUCUCCUUCGCCUGCACACUCCAAACUCCUUCGAGGCCACCUUAAAAAUAUAAGUCGCCAUCUUCAUCCACACAUUUCCGCAUCCCCUCCUUCGUCCCAAGGGCCCUCCUUAAUGACCUUCUCCUACCUCCCCCUUGAGCUUCCACCACUUCGUUCUAGCGAUUUUGACACGCUUAUCCCGCUGGACACGAAUGCGAAAACGGAAGUCAGCAGCCACCAGCUUAUGCUGAGGUACAACACUCUCUCCAGGUAUCACCUUACAAUCUAGGGAUGCACGUGUAUCUAUGAACAGUAAAAUAAAAAAAAUGUGAAACUACGCAACAUCAAAGGUGAUCAAACUUUGUAGGUGAUUGCAAGUUUUCAUGCCAAAAUACCAUUCGAGGAGCUCUAUACACGAAAAAUAUUUCAGUGCUUGAAGUUUUGAGCACUUUUAGCACUGAAAUCUGAAACUUGUUUGUACACCUUUCUCUACAUGAUAUUCUGGCAUGAAAACUUGCAAGAACCUACAAAGUUUGACCAUCUUUCAUGUUGCAAAGUUUCAGAUUUUUUAAUUUAAUGUUCAUAAAGGGUGCCUAGGCACCCGGGAGCUAUCAUGUCUUUUUGUUACAUGUAGCUAGUCAAUGACAAUAUUGGUCGUGUCAGAAGGUUUCAGCAAACCUACAACAAAAUUGAGAGGAUUCUUGCAAGAGAACAACAGACAACAAAUAAAAGCCAUGAAACAAUGGUAAACCUUCAAUUCAAGAAUAUUUAGUGGAGGCAUACAAAGUAUCAAAUUGAUUGAUAGACAGAUCAACUUGAGAGAUAUUUUCGCAGCAACAUUUAGUAAAAUCACUAAUCAAUAUGUUGCUAAGCAUCAAACUGAUAUGCAUAGGCAAAAAUGAAUCGACAAAUAGAAAGGAUAACCAAAUAUUUCAUCACAUGCUCAGUGUGGAGGAGAGAAAAUGAGAAAUACCGAAUACAUAUAUGAAGGUGUUGUGGCCUUAGCAGCACCAUUGACACGGCAGGGGAAGCGCAUGCGGUUUUUGUACCAUAUAUUGAAAUAGAAUUCCAGAACAUGUGCUCAAUCAAGCAAAAUAAGAUUCAGGUCUGGAUCAAGCGAACGAAAUCCAUAAUAGGUGAAGAUAUGCAAUCCUGUGUAUUCGAUCAAGCAAGAUUAAAUUUAAAUAUUAAGCCAGCACAGAAAAUUCAAAAUUAGCAAUGGAUGGGAACAAUAUGUACAUAUAGGAGCCGUAAAUCCGUGGCAUAUGUAUGUAGCAAGGGGAGAAUAACCAAGAUGACGGCCUUGGCGUUCAAGUCAUCGAGCACCUGAGGAAAUCCAAUUUGUUUGUUCAACCAGCAAUAUGUCAUCGGGAAUGUCGAGGAAUGGGGAUGGAGUUGCUCACCAAAGGCAGAAGUAUGAGCGUCCUAUGGCAGAUGUCCACCCAUAAUGGAGGACGAUGGGAACAAAGUGAACUGAAGUGUGUGGGUGCGACUCUAAAUGGCAACCUGUUAGUUACUUGUAGAGAUUGUGGGAAGAGGAAGUGGAGCGUCAAGCAUCACUUGCCUGUAGCAGAUGAUAAACAGUGUGAGGCAUUUUGAGAAUUGGGCUGCAUAGGGGUUGAAGCAGUGGGUUAUGUACAUUUGGUGUGAGCAAAGCAAGAAAUACCGAAAAACAACAGGGGCACGGGAGCUUCAACUGUAGAAGCGUUGUUGCCCUAGUCCAUAGUCCAUAGGUCGCCAUUCUCGCCCAGUUGAAGCUAAAGCACCUUGGAGCGAUCAUCAAGUGCCAAGAAACAUACGUAUAAAUACUUGCCUGGUUUGACAAGUUUCUUUCCCCUCUUGCUAGGCGAGUAGGGAAAGCCUUCCCCUCGAUCUCCGCCGACCAGCCCGUGGAUUCACCUCCCCUCCACCUGCCGCUCUGGUGGCCGAUGGCGGGGAGAGGAGUUCUGGUGCUCGCCUCCAACUAGUAGAUAGGCAGGGUUUUAGUUCUGGAUGGCGUUUGGAUGGAUGACGACGCUUCUUCUUCAAGUCACUCCUCCGGGCUCCGAUCCUCCUCAAGUUCGUCUGCUGGGACGGACUAAACUGAGCUCUAGCGUAGAUUGCUGCCAGCUCCUUGGGGCGGCGAGGUUAGGGUUUCUUGCCGUGCGUAUGCAACAGUGAUAUUUGGUGUCAAAUUCUUCAGAUCGAUUAAAUGAUUCAACCGCGACGAUGGCGGCUCUGGAUAGAGGCACGUGCAUGAAGACUUCCCGGCUGUCACCGACAAGGUCAAACCAGACAGGGCAACCCAACAGCCAAACUGAAUGAAAGGCCAACCACACACCGAUGACAAAUGACCUCAACCAUCAGAAGGCCAAGCAAGACAGAGGUCGGAAACGCUCCUUGGCGUUGCUCGUUGGAGCGAUUGAUUCGAUCCAAAGCAUGAUGUGGUGAAAAGGACGGACCGUCGGGACCGCACAUAUCAGGCGAUCACUCACAUGGGUCGUACCUGAACCAUGCCCAACCAAACUCCGCAGAGAAGCUUGGCUUGAAGGACAGAGUGAUUCAUCUAAUGCUGAAAGGGAGGAACAGUCCUGGAGUCAACUAUGAAAAAUCCAGGUCCCUUCAAAGAUCAGAAUCUUUCUUUGGAGAUUGGCGCAACAGUCUAUACCUUCUGCAGAUCUCCUUCAUCAACAGAACAUGGCAACAUCAAGCCGGUGUGCUCUUUGCGGCAACGGGGAUUCAUGGCGCCACUCUUUGAUGGAGUGCACUAUGUCAAAAUGCGUGUGGGCUUUGGAAGAGGAAGAACUGACUUUGGCCUUAACCGCUGUCACAGAUCCGAAUGCACGUAGAUGGAUUUUUACCAUCAUGGAGAAAUUGUCUGCUACAGAUCUCACUAGAGCACUUGUUACACUUUGGGCCAUUUAGCAUGCUCGUCGGAAGGCCAUACACGAGCAUAUUUUUCAAAGUCCUUCUAGCACGCAUGGCUUUGUGGACCGAUUCAUAUCAGAAAUCUCAGCAACCAGGCCUACUUAUCAACAUAGUGUGCAAGCUGUGAGAGCAGAUACGCGCAACCGAAUGGGUGUGUUUUGUAACUUAUCUUGUUCACGGUCUUGGCUUCCCGAUUCACCCCUCCCUGUGAGGCCUCCUUCACUUUUACGGCCUUCAGCUUUACCACCUUGCUCCUAACUCCAUUCUACAUAUCGCCUGCUUCGUCACUUUCUGCGAGGCAACAUUGCUGCUCAAAUUAACCUCUCUGACUGUAGGUCAAAGCGAUGGACGAUGACCUUGCGGGCCCACAGAGAGCGUCACACGCGAGUGAGUGUCCUAGGACAACCACCUAUUGCAUGUGGCCCAAACAUGUAUAUAUAAAAGGGUUGUCUAAUGUUUUAAAUAACGAAUUUACGACUUUGAUGUGGCACCUGCCUCACAAAACGGUCAAAACGGUCAAUCCCACACGGUGACUCAUGACUCGUAGUGUACUGCCAGACCUUCUGUGCUGCGAGCCGUACUUCCGGCUCUAGUGCGAGUACUUCAACGUGAAGCUUCACAGCAAUGGCCUAGAGCCAUUCGAGUGCGGCGGCGCUUGAUCAUCGGUUCCGCCUAUCUAGACCGAACUUUAUUGAACCCAACAAAAACUGAAAUGAGAAGUGAUUUUAUAUCUCCGAUCCACCGCUGCAAAACCCUACUCGGCUGGGACAGUCACCCCCUCUUCUGCAACCACACCGGCUAAGAUCAAUUCUUGCACACCAAGGAGCCGCACAUCAGAAGAUACAGAGGAGGUGAUCAAUUGAAGCGAGAAGGUGACUCGCUAGAUUCAAAGGGAAAGCCGCUAACUUUCCAAAUCACAAGGAGCUGGCGUAUUCUUUUGCCAUUGGUCAACCCGAAUUGUCUAAUCCAAUCGAGUUUUCUCUAAUGUUAAUGUCAGAAUGGUGUGGCCCUUACUGCUGGAUUGUGCACCAGCGCUCAGUACGCAGCGAACACAAUGGCUUGCACAACACAAGAGCGAGGGGCCUUUUUUCGUGAGAACCAAGAUUUGAACCCUGGUUAAUAGCCCCACUCCAGGUUGUCUCUACCACCGUGCUAGACGCACAUUCUCAGACCCGGCAACAUGUAUGUAGGUUCAUAUUUUACCCCCACCCUUGGAUAAAAAUGUGAAUAAUUUGAAACAUAUUAAAACUUGACUGCAAUUUUUUAAUUUUGGAAAAAUAUGCUCACAAAAGUAGUCAACCCACGGUUCUAGGUAAAGCAAGGUGCGUUUCUCUGAUUUUUUCAUCCAUUCACCGCUGAAAUGUUUUUUUCCAAAUUUCUGUGCGUCUGUUUGCUAGAAAAGACAUAAUAAUUUUCAUACAUGGGGCGUGCAUGUUGUGGCCUGUCGAAACCAGCCCACUUAUUUCCCUGCACACACAGUUGGGAAAACCCUAUUUACCGUACAUGGCUACAAAUACUCUGACCUUCACAUAAGGCGCAAGGCAGUGCCUGCCCAAUCUCUUUUUUUCCUGAGUUUUAUUGCGAUUUUUAUUUUUUUUCCUUUUUCUAUUUCUUGUUUUCCUUUUUCCCUAUAAACUUUAGAAAAAAUAUCUGAAUAUCGAUUUGUGUUUUUCAAUUUUUAGAAAAUAAGUCCGAAUUCCAAAAUUUUCUUUCUGUUUUAUAAACUGUUCAAAACUUGAAAUUUUUGUUCUCAUUCCAAAUUUGUUCUCAAUUACAAAAACAAUCCAAAACUUAUAAAAAAUGUUUAUGUUUUCCAAAAAGAUCGAGAUAUUAAAAAUUAAAUUGUAUUUUAGAAAAUGUUCCAUUUUUUCUAAAAAAAUUAUGCUCUCCAAAAAAAAUUGGGAUUUCAAAAUAUGUUCCAGAUUCUAUAAAUAUGCGUGAUUAGUGAAAUGUUCACAAAUUAAAAAUAAUGGUCGUAGUUAAAAUAAACACAUUUUCAGAAAUUGUUAUAAAUGUUCAAAACGUGUUCUUGUUUUAAGCAAAUGUGCCAAAAUUCGAGAAAAGUUAGUGUUUUUCAAAGGUUCAUGUUUUCCAUAAAUGUGUGAAUUUUAAAAAAUAUUCUCCCUAUUUCAAAUGUUGUUCAUCUUUUAACAAAAUGAACGAAAUUUUCGAAAAACUUUUCGUGAUUUCAAAAAUUGUUCAUGUUUUAAAAAUAUUUUGUAAUUUAUAAAUAUUAAUUUAUUUUUGGAAAAUUAAAAAAAGGAUUUGAAUAUUGUGAUGCAGUAUGUUCUUAAACGUUCGCGCUAGUCAUUGGUUAGCAGGACCCAUUUAUUCGAUUGGACAGCACCGAGUGAUCGAGUUUUUAGGUCGUUAGUUCGAUCCUUUAACUUGUCUUUUUUUGGAUUUAUACUCGUGCCUUACAAACACAUGUUCUUUUGGUGCCUGCCAGUGGGCUGGCCAAGAUGCAAACUAUUGUGCGUCCCAUGCGCUAUUUGAUGAUAAAAGAAUAUGCUUUUUGGCUAUAAUUGAAAGAAAUUGUGGGCACCAUCCAAUAAAAGAGAAUAUGCUGAAUUGGCUCUAAUGAAAAGAACUGUAGGCACGUGACCGCUAAAAUAAUCAAAGAGAAUAAACGCCGGUAAAGAAGGGACUGCCUGGUUAUGCGUGGAUUAUGCUAAUAAAAAUUGAUUUAUGCACUGCAAUUAUUAUCCAUUCAGUUACAUCGUAGUAGGAGAGAGUGACGAAGCAACCGUGCCCUGAAGGUCGCCACGCAGCCACCAAACGAGGAGGGAGCCACAAGCCCGACACGAGGGCGAACGCAAAGGAAAAAAAGGCACGAGUUGGUUGGUUGUCGCCACGCCGACUAACCCCACCACUAUCAUGAUCUCGUAGGCCAAACAUGAUCCGAGAGAAGACCACGACUCCUCGCUUUGUCGCCCCACUAUUGCGCAAACUAUUUUUGGUGCACACGUCAAUUAUCUCUCCUGUUGCUUCUCAAAAGAAUAUCUCUACCGUUGCAACGCACGAACAUAUGUGCUAUUUUUACUAAUAAAGCAGGCUGCGUUUCGCCAAUUUUUUCAUCCUGCACCGCUGAAAAUAUUUUUUUUCUAUCCGAAGUGGUACUAAAUUCUUAUGCGUUUGCCAGCUAGAAAAAGUUUCGUAUGUGGGCCGCAUGCUGUGGCCCAGCGAAGCCAGCCCAUUUGUUUGUGUGCCCACCCAGCUGGGAGAAUUCUAUUUUCCGCAUUUGGCGACAAAUAGUCAGAGUUUCGCACAGGACAACCAAUAAUAGGCCGGCCCAUUUUUCUAUUUUCUGUAUUCUACUUCUAUUUUUAUUCUCCUUUCCACAUAUAUUUUUUUCUUCCAAGUUUAUUUAUAUUUUACAAUUUAUUUCAUAAAUUAAAAUUUUCAAAAAACGUUUAGAAUUCGAAAAAAAAUUGAAAAAAAUUUCAGAAUUCCAAAAUUUUGUUCAUAUUUUGAAAAAUAGUCAGAACUUGCAAAAAGUUUCCCAUUUUUCUUAAAAAAUAUUAUUUUUCAAAAUUGUUCGAGAUUUCUAAAAAUAAAAUGGCAUUUCAAAAAAUUCUCCAAAUUCGAAAAAUAUUCUUGUUUUAGUGAAAUUUUCAAAACAGAAAAUAAUGUUCGUGUAUAAAAGAUACACAUUUUCUUACAAAUCUUAUAAGUUUUCAACACAUGUUUCUGUUUUAAAAAAGUGUUUUCACAAAAUGUUUGUUAAUUUUAAAAGGUGUUCCCUUUCAUAUUUUGUUCGCUUUUUUUAUGAAAGUGUACAUAAUUUCAAAAACCUGUUUAGGAUUUUAAAAAUUGUUCAUGUUUCCUAGAAUAUUUACAACUUCAUACCUUAAAAUCCCCUCGAUUAAAAGGAUUGGAAGGAAGAGUAUAUUGAAUAACUCAUGGGCCUUCUCUGGCGUACGAUGACGUAACAAAACUCUUAAUGCCCUCCAUCAAUGAAUGGAAAAAUAGCGGAUUGAUUCCUUCACACGCGGCGAAAUGAAGCAAAAUGUUCCUUUUUCGUGUGCACACAGAGUUUUGCUUGCACAUAUAAUUCUCACUGAGUUUAAAAGCAUACUAUUUUAUCUCCCCUUGCAACGCACGGGCAUAUGUGCUAGUUAAACAAACAAGAAGAUGAGCAAUUUUACCACCUCUUCUUGUAUCGUUUUUCAACACUAGAACUUGAUGGGAUUCCUGCCAGGUAGAAAAACAUGCGAACACUACUGCAGGUAUGCCUAGCAAUGGCGGGCGCAAAAAGGCCAGCAGUGGCGGGCCAGGCUACCGAGGGCACAUGCCACUGACCUCCUGCCGCUUCCAUAACCGCAUCAAUGGAGGGCGUCCGCCUGCCACUGGUAGAGUCCUGCAGUGGCGGGCGAUGCAUACUGGCCCGCCACCGGUUGAGUCUCUUCAGUGGCGGGAAGAGCUUACCUACUCGCUACUAUUUAUUCAUGUUGCAAUGGCGGGCGUAGUAGAAUGCCCACGACUGCAAGCUUAGGAAUGCGAAUUAAAAAAAUUGCAGCCACGACACCAUUUUUGCUGCCCAUGGCUAUGUUUUGCAUAAAUCCAAUUUAAGAAAUUCAAUACUAGAAGCAAAUAAAGCACCAAUUGUAAGCUUAGGCAUGCAAGUUCACUAGGUAAUUAGUACUCUUCAUAACAGCUACGAACACUUCAAAUUUGUUCCAGUGAACAAACCAACAUCAAAAUAUCACACGCAUCUUAAGUAAGUAACUAAAAGUUCAUCGGCUUUGAAAUAUUAGACUUGGACCUUAUUCUCAAUAAGAUCUACAACAACCAUCAUUUGGAAGUUGUUGUUCCCGUUGUUUCUUAUCAUGAUGACCACUGUUGUGUCAACCGUUGGUCGUCUUCUUUUUCCCUUCAGGAAUUCCCUCCAGCCGAUUUCAUAGAACGAUAUGCGUCCAUUUGUGUGUGUCUUGUAUCCAACGCUGGUGAUAGGAUCUGCUUCUCCAAGCUGUACUCCAGCUAUGCCGGCAGCAGGGGUGUCCUCGCCACAAAUCAUCUUCAUAGGUAAUUUCUAUAAUCCGAGUGAUUAAAAGCAAAAUAAAACACGCAAUGUUAGACAUCUUGCCAUAUAGUGUUAUGAACCAAAAAGAAAGAUACAAAAUAUAACAUGGUGUGUUUCAGGAUGUUGGUCUUAGUAAAACGGUGCACAAAUGGCCUCCCCUAGUAGUGCACACUUGAUGGAAGGAUCGCGAUGAUAUUGGCCUUCUCAUCCUCAUUAAGCUCUUUCAUUCUUUGAGAGAAAAUUGCAUAAUUGUAUGGAUCAUCAUCUUCCUCAUCCUCAUGCUCCUGGCUAUCAUCAUGAUCCUCGCUAGCAUCAUCAUCAUCCUGGCUCUCAUUAUCCUCAUCAUCCUGGGAAUCCCCUCAUCAUCAUCUUCGUCAAGCACAUCAUCUUGGUCGAAGAAAUACUUAAUCCUUAACUUGUUGACCACUUUCUUCAAGUAAAAGCCUAUGUAUUCUCCCCCGGUAAGUUUGAAAUGUACUUGUUCCAUCCAUCGCCUCCUAUGAUGGUUUUAUCCUUUUGUUUACAAACAUCAAUUUUGGAUGAUUGUCCUUGACCAUCCGAAAUGUUGAAACUGUCAUCGAUUAAAUUAUUGAAUUGGACCCUUACGUUGCAUGGGAUACACUAUGUAACAAUUAAGAAUAAUGCAGUUAAUAACUAAUGGUAUGCAUAGUACAAGAAUCCAGCAAAUGGUUAGAAUUGAAUGAUGAACAUUGUUAUCACAAAUUUUUCGAAUCCCUCCCUCGAGAAGAGCCUGAAUUCUACUGCAUGGGAUAAACUAUCCCUACAGGGAUUUUCGCAGACAUUGCAGACCUUAAGCACCAUAAUCCCCUCCUUCAAGAAGUUAAGCACUGUUAUCAUUUGUGCUAUGUCAUGAAAGUAAUAUUGAGAAGGGGCAUAAAAAAUGUCAUCAUGAUGAGGUAUGAUCGCAGAUUACCAACACUGCUACAACUAGGUAGUACGACUAUAUAUAUAGGUAGGUUUGUCACGAAGUCGCGGGCAUAUAUAGCAUGCCAUAGAAAGUUUCAUAAGUACUACAUUAAAGGUUCAAACAUCUGAAGCACAGAGUUAUACGACUAGGAAUGGUGGAGAGAUCAACUCCUAAUCUAAGUCAACGUCAGAGCCGAAGUUUUCAUCCUCGCCGGAGUCCUCAGCGAGAUCGUCCCAGUCUAUUGGGUCAUCAUCGGCAUCCUUCUGGUUGCCUACAAAUGCUGAUCCUCCCGAAGAUACCAUUCCACCAAGGGAUUGAUAUGUCUCCAAUGUAGCUAUAAUUUUUUAUUGUUGCAUGCUAUUAUAUUAUCAACCUUGGAUGUUUAUAUGCAUUAUUAUGCUAUUUUAUAUCAUUUCUUGGGACUAACCUAUGAACCUAGUGCUAGUUGAUUGUUUUUCCUUGUUUUUGCCUUUACAGAAAAUCAAUACCAAACGGAGUCCAAAUGGAACAAAACUUUUUGAUGAUUUUUCUUGGACCACAAGACACCCUAGAAGCUUCAGGAGGAGGCAAGAAGGUCCACGAGGCGGCAACAAGCUCAGUGGGCGGGCCCUAGGGGGGGCCGCGCCCUCCAUGCUUGUGUCCCCCAUGGCUCUUCUAACCCUAAUCUUUCUUCUAUAAAUACCCAAAUAUUCCUCGUAGACCAGAAGGCACACCAAAAAUACUUUUCCGUGGUCGCAAUCUCCCGUCCUCGUAAGAUCCCAUCUAGAGACCUUUUUCAGUACUCCGCCGGAGGGGGAUUCGAUCACGGAUGGCUUCUACAUCAACCUUGCUACCCAACUGAUGAUGUGUGAGUAGUUUACCACGAACCUAUGGGUCCAUAGCUAGUAGCUAGAUGACUUAUUUUCUCUCUUUGAUCUUCAAUACAAUGUUCUCCUCGAUUUGGUUUGGCCAACUAGGUUGAUUCUUCUUGCAAUGGGAGAGGUGCUUUGUAAUGGGUUCGAUCUUGCAGUGCUCAAUCCCAGUGAUAGAAGGGGACAUGACACAUAUUUGUAUUGUUGCCAUUAAGGAUUAAAAGAUGGGGUUUGUUCAUAUUAAUUGGAUCCAUCCCUCUACAUCAUGUCAUCUUGCUUAAGGCGUUACUCCGUUCCUGUUAAAUUAAUACACUAGAUGCAUGCUAGAUAGCGGUGAAUAUGUGGAGUAAUAGUAGUAUAUGCAGGCAGGAGUCGGUCUACUUGUCACGGACGUGAUACCUAUAUACAUGAUCAUUGCCUUAUAUAUCUUCAUAACUAUGUACUUUUCUAUCAAUUGCUCAACAGUAAUUUAUUUACCCAACAUAUGCUUCUUUCAGGAGAGAAGCCUCUAGUGAAAACUAUGGCCCCUGGGUCUAUCUUUUAUCAUAUUAUUUUCAUAUCUAAAAAAUCAAAAACACAAAAAUAUCUUGCUGUAAUUUAUUUACCUUUAUUUCAUUUUGCACUUUUACUUAUCUUUUACAUCUAUCACUAUCAGAUCUUAUCCUUGCAAGUAACCAUGAAGGGAUUGACAACCCCUUUAUCGCGUUGGGUGCAAAUAUUUGUUUGUUUGUGCAGGUGCGGUUAUUGGAGACUUGUGUGUUCCUCCUACUGGACUGAUACCUUGGUUCUUAAUUGAGGGAAAUACUUAUCUCUAAUUUGGUGCAUCACCCUUUCCUCUUUGAGGGAAGAACCAAUGCAAGCUCAAGAAGUAGGAGGAAGAAUUUAUGGCGCCGUUUCCGGGGAGGAUCUACAUCAAGCCUACCAAGUACCUAUCAUGAACUCUCAUCUCUUGCAUUUACAUUAUUUGCCAUUUGUCUCUUGUUUUCCUCUCCCCACUUCUAAAACGUUUUCAAAAAAAUACAAAAAUAUUUGCAUUCUUUCGGUUUGCCUUUUUUGUUUGCUUCUUGUUUGCUUGUGUGCUAGAUUGCUUACUUUGUGAUGAUGUCUCAAGAAAAUACUAAGUUGUAUGAUUUUUCAAACACUAAUAAUAAUUAUUUUAUUAGUACUCCAAUUGCUCCCACCACUAGUGCGGAGUCUUAUGAAAUUAAUGCCUCUUUGUUGAAUCAUGUUAUGAAAGAACAAUAUUUUGGUAGUUCUAAAGAAGAUGCUGCAUCCCAUCUUAAAACUUUCAUUGAAUUGUGUGAUAGGCAAAACAAAAAAGAUGUGGAUAUUUACAUUGUAAAAUUAAAGCUAUUUCGGUUCUCACUACGAAAUCGUGCUAGAACUUGGUUUUCGUCCUUGCCUGAAAAUAGUAUUGAUUCAUGGAAUAAAUGUAAGGAUGCUUUUAUUUCCAAGUAAUUUCCUCUCGCUAAGAUCUUCUUUCUUAGGAAUGAUAUAAUGAAUUUUAAGCAACUUGAUCAUGAACAUGUUGCACAAUCAUGGGAGAGGAUGAAGUUAAUGAUAAGAAACUGCCCUACUCAUGGUUUAAGUUUAUGGAUGAUCAUACAAAAAAUUUAUGCUGGAUUGAAUUUUGCAUCUAGAAAUCUUUUAGAUUCCGCCGCGGGUGGUACUUUCAUGGAAAAUCACUUAGGAGAAGCUACUAAACUCCUAGAUAAUAUUAUGGCAAAUUACUCUCAAUUGCAUAUAGAAAGAUCUUCUACAAAUAAUAAAAUGCAUGCUAUUGAAGAAAUUAAUACUAUGAGUGGAAGGAUGGAUGAACUUAUGAAAUUCAUUGCUAGCAGGAGUGCUCCUAUUGAUCCUAAUGAUAUGCCUUUGUAUACUUUGAUUGAGAAUAAUAAUGAAUCGAUGGAUGUGAAUUUUGUUGGUUGGAACAAUUUUAGAGGCAAUUUUAAUCCUAGGACGUUUCAUAGUAAUUCCUCUAAUAAUUAUUGUAGUUCCUACAAAACUUAUUAUGGAAAUUAUAAUAAGAUACCCUCUGAACUUGAAAAUAAUAUUAAAUAUUCAUUAACUCUCAAAAGAUUUUCAUUGCCAUGAUAGAAAAAAAAUUGCUUAAGUUUGAUGAUGAGGCUAGAAAGGUUGAUAGAAUUUCUCAUGAGAUUGAUUCCCUUAAGGUAGAUAUAUGCACCAAGCUUGAUAUUAAUAAGUCUUUGAAAUUUAUUCAAAUUCUAUUAAUGAAAGUAGGGAGAGAACAGCUAGAAUGCGAGCUAACAUAGAAUGGCUAGAAAAAGUAUGUUCUUCUAGUUUUUGCGAUAAUCAUGAUGAAGAUCUUAAUGUAAUUGGUGUGACUCCUAUUGAAUAUUUGUUUUAUAUUAUAUCUUGAUAAAUAAGGGUCUGGAUAGGAGUCAACUUUUGCUAGAAGGCGUCCCAAGAAUUCGGCGGGUGAUGAUCCUAAUGAAAAAUUGAUAAAAGUAGGUUUGGCGAGGUCAGAACUAGUGAUGAGCCCACUCUUUUGGAUUUCAAGGAGUUUAUUUACGAUAAUUGUUCUUUGAUUGUUAUUGCCAUCCAUGUUCAAUUCACCCCAUGCUUGUAAUCAAAAUAAAGCUUUUAAACAUAUCGUUGAUGCUAUGAUUAAAUCUUUUGAAGAAAAACUUGAGUUGGAAGUUUCAAUCACUAGAAAGCUUUAUGAUGAAUGGAAACCUACUAUUAAAAUUAAGAUUAAGGAUUAUGAGUGCAAUGCUUUAUGUGAUUUGGGUACUAGCGUUUUUACUAUUUCGAAACCUUUAUGUGAUGCGCUAGGCUUCCAUGCAUAAACUUGAUGGUUGUUUUUAAAAUUUGCACUUAGAGGAUUCCAUUAUUAAGAAACCUAUGGGAAGAAUUAACGAUGUUCUUAUUAUUUCUAAUAGGAAUUAUGUGCCCGUAGAUUUCAUUGUGCUUGAUAGUGAUUGCAAUCCUACAUGUCCCGUAAUUCUUGGUAGACCUUUCCUUAGAACGAUUGGUGCAAUUAUUGAUAUGAAAGAAGCAAACAUUAGAUUUCAAUUUGCAUUAAGUAAGGGCAUGGAACACUUUCCAAGAAAGAAAAUCAAGUUACUAUAUGAAUCUAUUAUGAGGGCCACUUAUGGAUUGAAUACCAAAGAUGGCAAUACCUAGAUCUAUGCAAUAUGCCUAGCUAAGGGCGUAAAACGAUAGCGCUUGUUGGGAGGCAACCCAAUUUUUUUUCUUGUUUUUCUUAUGUUUUUUAAUAAAUACACAAUUAUGUUACUGUUAUGAUUGUGUUUUAGUAUUUCAAUUAAUUUUUGUGCCAAGUAAGACAUUUGGGAUGAUUUGGAAGUUAGUUGAUUUGAUUCUGUGAAAAAACAGAAACUUUUGCGCCCAGUUCUGGAAUUUUGUAAAUUCACAGAAACGUGUUUUUGCUCUAAAUGUUUAUAACAAGAUUGAUAUAAAAGUUUCCCACGUCGUCCUAACUUUUUAGAAUUUUUAGAGUUAAAGAAGAAUGAAAAAUAUCCAGGUUACUACAGACUGUUCCGUUUUUGAAAGAUUCUGCUUUCAUUGAGUUGUUCUCUUGUUUUGCUGAAUCUAUGGGUAAUAUUGGGGGACGGGGGGUAUGAACCAUGGUGAAGUUAGAAUAUAGUAGAUAUAAUGCUAAUAUGAAGUUGGAAUGAGUUUACAAUAGUACCUAAAGUGGUGAUUUGUUUUAUUAUACUAAUGGAUCUCACGAGUUUUCUGUUGAGUUUUGUGUUGUGAAGUUUUUAUGGUUUGAGUGAAGUUUCGAUGGGAUAAGGAAUAAGGAGUGGAAAGAGCCUAAUCUUGGGGAUGCCCAAGGCGCCUCAAGGUAAUAUUCAAGGACCUCCAAGUGUCUAAGCUUGGGGAUGACCCGGAUGGCAUCCCCUCUUUUGUCUACAAUCCAUCGGUAAAUUACUUGGAGCUAUAUUUUUAUUCACCACAUGAUACGUGUUUUUCUUGGAGCGUCGUGUAUUAUAUUAUUCUUUGGUUUUUAGUUUGCCAAAAUCAUCCUUGAUGGACACACCUUUUGAGAGGGACACACAUUAAUCCUUAAUUUAUUAGAAUACUUUUUGAGCUUCACUUAUAUGUUUUGAGGUAGGCAGUUGCUCUAGUGCUUCAUAUAUCUUUUAGAGCACGGCGGUGGUUAUAUUUUAAAGAAAUGAUGAACUCUCAUGCUUCACUUAUAUUAUUUUGAGAGUCUUAUAAAUAGUAUGGCAUUUUGCUUGGGUUAUGAAUUUAGUCCUAAUAUGAUGGGUAUUCAAGAGGGAUAUAAUAAAAACUUUCGUGAAGAUCAUUGAAUAUAUGAGAAGUUUGAUUCCUUGCAUUUAUUUUGAGACAUAAAGAUGGUGAUAUUAGAGUCAUGCCAGUUAUUAAUUGUGGCUUGCUACUUCUUGAGCUUGCAUUGUUAUUUCCCUUGAAGAGGAAAGGGUGAUACAGGAAAUUAGAGAUAAGCAUUUUCCUCAGUUAAGAACCAAGGUAUCAGUCCAGUAGGAGGAAUUACCAAGUCUCCAGUAGAUGCACCUGCACAAACUAACAAACACUUGCACACAACACGAAAACGGGUUGCCAAUCCCUUCACGGUCACUUGCAAGAGUGAGAACUAAUAGAGAUAGGUAUAAAAGAUAAAUAAAAGGCAAAAUAAAGUAAAGGUAAAUAAAUUGCAACAAGGUAAUUUUGGGUUUUUGGUUUUAUAGAUCUGAAAAUAUAUGAUGGAAAAUAGACCCGAGGGCCAUAGGGUUCACUAGAGGCUUCUCUCUUGAAAGAAAACAUAUGGUGGUGAACAUAUUACUGUUGAGCAAUUGAUAGAAAAGCGCAUAGUUAUGAUGAUAUCCAAGGCAAUGAUCAGAAUAUAGGCAUCAUGUCCGUGACAAGUAGACCGAAAUGAUUAUGCAUCUACUACUAUUAAUCCACACAUAGACCGACUCCUGCCUGCAUCUAGAGUAUUAAGUUCAAAAGAACAGAGUAACACAUUAAGCAAGAUGACAUGAUGUAGAGGGAUAAACUCAAGCAAUAUGAUAUAAACCCCAUAUUUUUUAUCCUUAAUGGCAACAAUACAAUACGUGCCUCACUACCCAUGUUGUCACUGGGUGAGGACACCGCAAGAUUGAACCCAUCAUAAAGCACCUCUCACAUUGCAAGAUAGAUCAAUCUAGUUGGCCAAACCAAAUCAAUAGGUCGGAGAGAAAUACAAAGCUAUCUUAAUCAUGCAUAAAAAGAGUUCAGAGAAGACUCGAAUAAUAUUCAUAGAUAAUUUGAUAAUCACCCACAAUUUAUCGAAUAUCUACAAACACACCGCAAAAGAAGAUUACAUCGGAUAGAACUCCAAGCACAUUGUAUUGAAGAUCAAAGAGAGAGAAGAAGCCAUCUAGCUACUAGCUAUGGACCCGUAGGUCUGUGGUAAACUACUCACACAUCAUCGGAAAUGCAGCAAGGUUGGUGUAGAUGCCCUUCGUGAUCGAAUCCCCAUCCGAUGGAUUGCUAGAAAAGGCCCCAAGAUGGAAACUGACGAGAACAAAAUCUUGCGGCGGUGGAAAAGUAUUCUUGUGGACGCUUCUAAUGUAGAUGAAGUAUUUGGGUAUUUAUAGAGCAAGAAUUAUGGUUAGGGGAGUCUCGAGGGGCCCACAAGCGUGGGGGGCGCCACCACUAGGGCGCGCCCUCAGGGCUUGUGGCCCUCUCGUGGCUCCUCUGGCCUCCUCUCCAAGUCUCCUGAGUUUCUUCUGGUCCAAGAUAAAUCAUUGUAAAGUUUUAUUUUCUGUAAAAGACAAAAACAAGAUUAAUAGGUUAGUGCCCUGCUUGAUAUUUAUGCCCUGCUUGAUAUUUAUUUUCUGUAAAAGACAAAAACAAGGAAAAACAACAACUAACACUGGGCACUAGAUUAAUAGGUUAGUCCCAAAAAUGAUAUAAAAUAGUACUAAAAUGCAUAUAAAACAUCCAAGACGGAUAAUAUAAUAGCAUGGAACGAUACAAAUUAUAGAUACGUUGGAGAGAUAUUAAGCAUCCCAAAGCAUAAUUCCUGCUUGUCCUCGAGUAGGUAAAUGAUAAAAACAUAAUUUUUGAUGUGGAAUGCUACUUAAUAUGUCUAUCAAUGCAAUUUUUCUUUUAUGUGGCAUGAAUAUUCAGAUCCAUAAGAUUCAAAAAAAAAGUUUAAUAUAGACAUAAAAUUAAUAAUACUUCAUGCAUACUAAUGAAGAAAUCAUAGCUUUUCAAAAUAUCAUGGCCAAAGAAAGUUAUCCCAACAAAAUCAUAUAGUCUGGUCAUGCUCUAUCUUCAUCAAACAAAGUAUUUAUCAUGCACAACCCCAAUGACAAGCCAAGCAAUUGAUUCAUACUUUCAAUGUUCUAAAGUCUUUUCAACUUUCACGCAAUACAUGAGCGUGAGUCAUGGAUAUAGCACUUGUAACAUCCCAAAAUUCUAAAUUUUGGAAUGUUAUAUUAAUUCAAUAAAUAUGAUUCUAUGCUUGAUUGUUUGGUUGAAAGUGAGUGGAAUUUGAAAAAUCAAAAAUAAUAAUCAAAUAAGAGGUAAUAAAAGGACUUUCCCAAAAUUUUCCAUUUGAAUCCCUAUCUAAUUUUAAGUUUGCAUCUUGUAAAAAAAAUUCUCCGAUAAACAAGUAAUAUGAGAGGAGGAAAAUGACACUCCGAAAUCGGAGACAAAGUUUUGUUUGACAUUAAAUUUAGAAAACAGAAAAUAUUUGCAAUUUUAUUUGAAAUUCAAUUUCCCUUUCAUUUUGGACUUAUUGCAAAAAUAUUUUUUUAAAUAUUUAAUUUGGUCAUGAAAAUAUGUUCAUGUUUUAGGAAUUUUUUCUAAGAAUUUUGAUUUAUAAUAUACCUCUAUAAUUUUUUUUGUUCCUCGUUGUUUUUGGAAAACAAAACACAAGGGCCCACCCGCUCGCUAGUAGGCUAGCCCAGCGUUGCAGCCUGCUGUGCCAGCGAGCAGCCAGGCGAGCGCCAUGGGGAACUCCUAUGCGCCGCAUUCUGCGGUAGAAUGUCGAGCUAUCGCAUAGGAGUUCCCUCAACUGGGCCGGCCCACAAGGCAACGAGCGGUGCAAAAAUUUGAACGAACAACAACAGCGCUUCAGCUACAAUUCGGACCUGCGACCGCAAGCCUGCAGACAGGGGUUGCGAGCCACUGCGCCCGACUCAUUUUGAUGGUCAAAAGGCAACGCGAACACUUUAGACCUAGUUACACUGGCAGAUCGGAUUAUUUUUCUUUUUUUCCGAUCUUUUAUUGUCAAUUAUGAUUAUAUUUUUUACAAGUAGGAACGUUUUUGAUAGAACCCAUAGGAGUUUUAAAAAAAUGUUAGCAAUUUUUCGAAUUUGCAAGCAAAUUUUGAAAAACAGGAACAAUUUUGAAGUUGUGGACGAAUAUUGAAACAUAGGAACAUUUUUUUAAUUACGAUCAAUUUUCGGUAAACACAAAAAAAGUUUUUCGAAAAUGUGAACAAGUUUUUGAUAGUGACUUUUUCAAAAACAUGAAUAUUUUUUAAAGGAAAACAAAUUUUGAAUUGUGAACAUUUUUUUGUAAACAUGAAUAUUUUCAAAAACAUGAACUUUUUUGUAAAUAGGAUAUUUCAGAAUUUUUGAACAACAUUCUUAAAUGGGAACAAUUUUGAAAAUAACGGACAAGUUUUGGAAUUUUAGAACAAAUUUGGAAAUGGAGAACAAUUUUGAAAAUCCCCAACAAAUUUCAAGUGUGAACAAUUUUUUAAUAUGUGCAUAAAAAAUUGAAAAAUAUGAAUAUUUUUUGAAAUUUGUGAAUGUUUUUAUAUUUGUGAACAUUAUUUCAAAAAAGGAACAUUUUUUGAAAUCCAUGUCAUUAUGUAUAAAUUUCUCAAAAAAGAACAAAAAUAAUUCAAACAGUUUUUGAAAAAACAGAAACAUUUUUGAAAAUUCGAAACAAAAUUUUGGAAACCAGGAACAUUUUUUGAAUUUGUGAAGAAAUUUUGAAAAACAGGAACAUUUUUUGAAUUUGUGAACAAAAUCUGAAAAGCAGGUACAUUUUUUUGAAAGUCAAAAACAAAAUUUUAAAAUAAACUUGAAAAGAAAAAAAGGAAAAUUAAAAAGAAAGAAAUAGAAAGGAGAAAAAAAUAAAAGAAACAAAAAAAGAAAAGAAAAAUGAAAAAGAAGAGAAAUAGAAAAAAGAAAAACCAAAAAGAAACUCAAAAGGAAAAGGCCGGUUCAGGAACCUUCUAGAAGGUUCCCAAAACCGGAAAAAAACCGGCUGGAAUCAUAGAAAGUUCCCAAAAACCAGUGUCUACUGAAACGCUAAAACGGGCCGGCCCACUCGGUCGCUCGCUCGGACCUCCUCCUGUGUUUAGCUUCGACCGCUUGCCGCAACAAGCGGCGAGUAGGAUUUUCCAGCGCCAGGAGCCCUAGGCUCGUCCCAGAGCCGCCGCCGGCUCCCUCCCUCUCACGAUCUAUCUCUUUUUUUCCUGACAUAUAGGACCCACCUUUCUUUCUUCUUCCUCACGAACCCAAACAAAACAGAAACAUACACGUACAAGACACCACUCCGCGUCCGAUCAUCGUGGAAACCCUAUCCCAAGUCAACCCCAGGCCCAAGAAAUAUGUCCUAUAAAUAGUCACGACCCUGCUCAACCGGUUCCCUUCGAAUCCCUCGCCAAAUCCCACCAUAUCGUCCGCUAUCGUCGUUCCAAUCUCGCCGCACAAGCUGCAGGUCAUCGCCGGCUUUGACGCUAGUGAGCCAUACCGAGCGUCCCUCUUUUGUGUUUCAACUUCUCUCGUUCCCUAGACUCUGUUUCACAUGCAUGGUCAUGUAUCCCCGUUCUAUCUACAGACGCCAUCCCACCUCGACGUCUUCACCGAAGCACCGAGCUUCAUCACUUCGUUUCGUCGCAAUUCGUCGUCACCAGCCCUCUUCGACUUCACCACCGGACGAGCCACUCUCCACUACAUCUUCCGAACAUCGCCGCCGCCGCCCAUGAUCGUCGGAGCUGCCGCCCCACCGCACUAGAGCUCCACCCCAAUGCUACCUUCCUCUCUGUAAGCACGAUCAUCUGUUCGUUUCAGUUAAAAAAAGUUUGUUUUUUUUAUUUAUAUCGGUUUUUAUUUAGAUCGGUUUAGUUUACAGUUUAUUUAUGGGUUAGUCGGUCAGAUCGAACCGGUUCGCCGGUCUUCUGUCAAUUAAAUGCACGUGUACAUUUUAGUGAUCUUACGGCUGAGCGUUGUUUAGCAUCGGAUCGCACAUCCCUGUACAGCCCGCUACCUAGCUGGCGGAACAUUUGUUGUUUUUUUCAUUUCUGUUUUUUUUUGUUUUAGAUUCAGUUUUUGUUUUUUUAUAUCUUUAGAUCUACAACUCCAAUUUUGAUGAUUCUUUUUCCUACCGUUUCAAAAGAAUCCCAUUUAUCCUGAGAAAGCAACGGAAAUUAUUUUUUGAACUUUUUAAAUUUCGAAUUCAAACAGAUUUGUUACAAGCACUAGAUUGGUAAUAACUUUUAUUUAAAAAUAGCUUUUUGAUUAAUUCUUUUUGCUAGUGAUCACUUGAUCUUUUGUCUAAACAAUAGGCUUUUGCAAAUUAGUUUUUCUAUAUUUUAAAUUAGGAUUUUAGGCGAAACAGUACUGUUUUACAUAAUUUAGUGUUAUUUUCUUUUCCCUUUGUAUUUAGUUGUUUUUAACUAAAAAAACCUUUUUUAUUAUUGACAAAUUUGGUUUUGUUUAUGUUAUUGAACAGUAGACAGUUUUAUUUUAUUUUAAAAAAUAUUUUCUUUAGUUUUGCAUGAAAACUUGUAUAGGUCAUAGUUAGAGUUUUAUAAAAGCUUCUUAUUUGUUUCCUUUUUCUACUAAAAGUUUAUGGAAAAUUAUUUCUGUUAAUUUAAUGAAAAAUCUAUUUCUUUUUUAUAGACUUAUUAGUUUAGUAUUUUAGUUGCUUUUAAAGACUAAUUAGGUCAAAAAACUACUUUUGUGUUGGUUGUAGUAAAAACUCUAUAGUUCCUUGUAGUUUUCCUUCAAAUUUUCUUUGGAUUUUCUAUUUGGAUUUCUUAUGGAUUUCUUUGUUGUUUAUUUGUUGAAUGAUAAUUUGAGUGUUAGGAUUUUCUUGCUAGAAUGUAUGCUUGUGAAUGCCAUGUUUGUUAUUAUAGAUUUCAACGGAGAGUUGUGUAUAGUACUAUCAAGUUUUGUGAGAGCGAUAUUAUCUUCAUCAAGUAAUACCAAGCAAGUUCACUUUGACCAUGAUAUUCAUACCUAUGCUUUUAUUGCAUCUAGUGUAACCAUUCAUAAUCCCUCCAGUAGUGAUAUUGACUUCUUGUAGUUGAGUAGAAUGCAUGAGGUACGAACCCAUCUCCCUAUUAUCAAGCCCGGGACGUUAUAUAGUUCUAAUGUUACGCUAUAGUAGACGGGGUUUGGUAUGAGUGCUCGGGAGUGGUGUGAGAAUGGAGGACUCUAUGUCAAUGACGACAACUUCAUGACAACAUCUUCAAGGCCUCAAGACUUCAAGACUCGAGACAAGAAUUCAAUAUACCUCUGGGUGGAGAAUGGUUAAGUAGUGUACAUUGGUGCGCCCAGUACUUAGUGAUUCCGGAGAAGCGUCGUGAUAUCAUGCGGAAAGCUCCACCCAGGUUCAAAGAGACGAAAGAAUACUUCAUGCCUAGAAGCUUACUUGUGCGACCGCAAGUCAUGGGCUCUGGCUUGGUUGACCUUAGUGGUGACUCUAGCUGGGACAGUGCCAAUAGAUGUAGAGCUAUGGUAGGAUUGGAUGGAAACCAGACAGUGGACAGAGGAACUCUUUGGAAGACCAUGUUUCAAUCGUCUUGUUCUUAAACGAUCUGAAGUGCGAGGACGAAAAGGGAGGGAUCAAAUCUUGCGGGUAAAGUGUACAAACCUCUGCAGAGGGUUAAAACCUAAUCAAUUAGCCGUGUCCCCGGUUACGGAAAAUUUGAGCAUCUAGACUUGGAUCUAUCUCGGAACUCUCAACACCGGAUCAAAAACUUAAUUGUGGGCAAUUUAUAAUGAUAUGGGCUAUGAGACAUCAGUUGGCGGAACCAUGUCAUGAUAGAAAACUCUGUAGUAUAGACUCUGGUUAUUUCCUUUGUUGUAGGGAAAACGAAAUCAGCUUUUACGCAAAAACCUCAGACACAGAGCCACAAAGCCAUAUUGCAUAUAGUAUAGUUUUAUCAUCUGUUUUUCUUACAGUGAUCUUGCCGGUACAUUCAACGUACUGACCUACACGGCUGCAAUGUCUCAUGUUGCAGAUAUUUCUACGACGAGUAAGCAUUAAGAUAUAGGGUUACGGUCUACACUCAACCUGCCAAUGGCGUUGAUGGGACUCCACACCGGAUUGACUUUUUUUGCUGAGACUUAUGAGGUAUAUAUUAGUUUCACGUUAUGUAUAUAUGUGAUUGCAUUUUGAUAUAUAUGUUGAUGUACUGUGUGUGCCAGCAUACUAAUCCAGGGAUGGCACCGAUACACAAAGGCUUGACCGUUUGAGGUUAGGUCGCUACAACACUAUAGGCGGAAUAGAAUAUGGUAGAGGUUGUGUGUAGAAGACAGAAAAACAGAAAGUCUCACAUCGACUAGGCAAAUUAAUAGGCUAUGGAGAUGCUCAUCAAUUGAUACCGAUGCGAGUGAGUAGGGAUUGCCAUGCAACAGAUGCAGUAGAGCUAUAAGUGUAUGAAAGCUCAAGAGAAAACUAAGUGAGUAUGCAUCCAACUUGCUUACUCAUGAAGACCUAGGGCAAUUUGAGGAAGCCCAUCAAUGAAAUAUACAAGCCAAGUUCUAUAAUAAAAAAAAUUCACUAGUGUGUGAAAGUGACAAAAUAGGAGACUCCCAAAUCUUACCGCCGGCGAAGCCACUUCCAGCCGCGCUUGGAGACACCUAAAGGAUGCGGUUGACCUCUCCACUGCCUCCGUAGAUUUCAUCAUGUCUUCCUCAUGGCUGGCGACUUCUCCAUCAUCGAAACCGGCCAAACCCGAGGCCGCACCGCCCAUCUCCGACGCCAUGGCCAUCAACUCCAUUGAGCGCCCAUCCAUUUCCUUCUCAAACAUGUUCUUAUAUGUAGAGGUAUCAGCCAUUCAAGAAUUGACACGUGGCAUCUCAUGUAAAUCCCGUAGUUGAUUUUCAGAAAAAUGCUCAAUCUUCAGAAAAUCAUACCUUUUAAUCUAUAGAGCCAAUUUUGACAAAUGAGAUAUCCAUGGAUUGUUGAGAACAUCUAGUUUAUUAUAAAAAUAUAUAAUUUCACUUCUGAGCAAAUUAAAAUUUAGUUCUUUGAGUAUUUUUGAUAUAUCUAUUAUUCUGUAAAUCAUAUGAAAGUGUUUUGUAUAUGAAAGUUGGACCUUAGGACCUCACCUUUCUGUUGGAAUCCAUGGAUUAAUUUUUCCAACAUAAUUUAGACACUGUUUUAUCAUCAACACUCGUUGAACAAAAAUUUAAUCCUAGGAUAAAUCUCUUAGAUUGAUCCCUAGGGAACCUCUCUGGUCAUUUGAUAUCACCACAAGAAUUAGGAGUUACAAGAUUAAGAAUUUAAUUCUUUGUCUUAAAACUUAUGCCAUACAUAUUUUUGUUUAAGAAAAUCAAAUAUUCCGAACAAACUCGUUAUGAAAUUGUCGUAGAACCUUGCCUCACAAAUCUCCUUCUAUCAAACCAUGAUCCCACUUAGUAUCAAAUGGAUCUGACCCUAGAAUAUGACCAUGUCAUAUUUUCUUCGAAAACCAAACUCGAUCCUAUACUAACCCUAACCAUGACCUAGGAUUUAUCGUAUGGCAAUCGAAUAACUUGUGUUAUUAUUUGGAUCUUCGUUUUUUUAUUGUGUGUUGAAUUAUUUUAUUUUAUCGUUAGAUAUAUCCUAAGGAUAAGGAGAGACGAUUAAGAGUAGAACAUUUCAUCUUCGAGAGACACAGGCAAGUUGCAACUUGAUCAUAAUUUGUCCUACACUUUUGAAAUAUGCAUGAUCUCUUUAAAAUUUAUACUAUGUAUGUUUUACCAAAAUGUUUUACAAAGUAUUAUUGCUAGGGAAAGCCCUAGGAACUUGUAGCUAUGCUUAGCCUUGCUUACAAGGAAAAGGGGUUGGGAAUCAAACAAGUUUUAAACGAAUAAACUUGCCCUAUUUUGGGGCAAUGUUUUGUGAAAACUUUCGAAAAACAAAAAAACUUAUAUACUAUUUUACUUCUACUCCUUGGGCGGUGGUAUGAUGUGAGCGUCUAAAAGUGACUGCGCCCAUCGGGGUCUUGCAGUGUAUGCGCAUGACUGGGGACUUGCACAUAGGUUUUUCGUGGGGACCGUCGUCCAGGGGAUCAAGAUCUUUCAAGUGUAGUUUGAUGUAGCUUCCAGUAUAGCCACAUGCUAUUAUGGCUCUGGCUUAGCUUUUCCUUAUCGGGAAACCCUUAUUCAGUUAUGGUCAUCGAAGAGGUGUCUUAAUAGCCAAGGGAGCGGGUCGUGCUAGAACUAAAUAAAGGGGGCCAUUUGGAAAAGCUUUGUCACAAAUCUCCUCCCGGCCAAACACCGAAGUGGUGUCAUGACACAAAGGGUUGAUUGUGUCAUGUGGGGAACGUGUACGAACUCUGCAGAGGGUUAAAUCUAAUCAAUUAACCGUGCCCCCGGUUGUGGGAAAUUUGAGCAACUGAAGAGUUGGACUGAAGAAGAAUCUCCCCUAUCUUUUCUAAAAGUCUGGCUUAAGGGUUAAAGUUGAGGAAUGAGCACAGUGAAUGUGUUUCACUUCAACCAUAUUUAUGUUUAACCAAAAGUUGGAGAAUGGGCACUGGUGCAUCCAAGUGUCUCACUCCUACCUUUUAUACUAAAAACUAUAUUUACUUCAAACAACUUUUAUAAAAAAAUUAGUAUAGGGAAAAAUUGGCUUUAUGCAAAGGAAACCUCCACCAAUACUUACCCUGCAUAUAUAUGCAAAGGACAUGAGAGGAAUCUUGUUAUAAGUAAUCAUUUGAAUCUGGUAUUCGUUCAAUAUUCUGAUGAGAUGUAUGUUGUCUUUCCUCUAGUGGUGUUAUGUGAACGUCGACUACAUGACACUUCACCAUGAUUUGGGCCUAGGGGAAGGUUUUGGGAAGUAGCAAGUAGAUGAUGGGUUGCUAGAGUGACAGAAUCUUAAACCCUAGUCUAUGUGUUGCCUCGUAAGGGGCUGAUUUCGAUCCACAUGCUUAAUGCUAAGGUUAGAUUUAUCUUAAUUCUUAUUUCGUAGUUGCGGAUAAUUGCGAGAGGGGUUAAUCAUAAGUGAGAGGAUUGUCCAAGUAAGGACAGCAACCAAGCACCGGUCCACCCACAUAUCAAACUAUCAAAGUAGCGAACGCGAAUCAUAUAAGCAUGAUGAAAACUAACUUGAUGAUAAUUCCCAUGUGUACUCGGGAGCAUUUUGCUUUACAUGAGAGUUUGCCCAGGCUUGUCCUUUGCUAUAAAAAGGAUUGAGCCACCUUGCUACACCUGUGGUACACUUGUUACUUGUUACCCGUUACAAAUUACCUUGCUACCAAACUAUUUGUUACCAACAAUUUCAGUGCUUGCGGUGAAUACCUUGCUGAAAACCGCUUGUCAUUUCCUUCUGCUCCUUGUUGGGUUCAACCCUUUUACUUAUCAAAAGGACUACAAUUGAUCCCCUAUACUUGUGGGCCAUCAAUGCUCUGACGUUCAUGGGCCCUGAUGAGCGCCUCGGCCUUCAACUACUCCUGAUACUCAGCCUUGGAGACUAUGCUCAUGUUAGGAGGCGCUAUCUGACUCGCAUGCCAGACAUCCUUAGGACAGUUGAGCUGGGCCCUUCGCCCUUGGUACUCGAGUGCUAUGACAUCUUAAGCGCACACCGCUUCCUUGGUGAAGUCAAACGUGCCGAGCCAUUAUUUCUUGCCUAUGAUGGGUUUCUGGAUUUGGACUCCCCUCUUCACCCAGGGUCUUUGGAAAACACCACGGUGCAUGCCGUUGUCCGUCAUUUCGGGAAAAAUGACCUAGAACAUGCAGAUAACUAAAUUUGGCGAAAGAACUGAAGAAAUCUACUACAACACAAUAUGAAUUAAAAACAAACAAAAAAUUGGGCAGGACCUCUACAUAAAAAUGGAUAGUAUAGAAAUUUAGCAAAACGGAAAUAAAUCAAUGUUUUGCCAAAAAAUUAGCGCUUAUAGUAUGAAUCCCAGUAAGGAAAUGAAGAUAUCUACUACAUCACAAUAUGAAUAAAAAAUAAACAAAGAAAUUUGGCAUGACCUCUGCAUAAAAAUGGACAUAUUAAGUGAUUGAAAUCUGGCGAAACAGAAAUAAAUCAACGUAUCGCCAAAACUUUAGCACUUAUAGUAAGUAUACCUAUAAUGAACUGAAGACAUCUACUACAACAUAUUAUUUAACUCAGUAUGAACAUAAAUAAUGUACAAAAUAAUACGAUAUAUAUGUGAGACUAUAUAAUUACCUCUGAUAUGAACACAUUGGUAUUCCUUGUUCAUGGUUACGUAUGUGGCUGCUGCAACUAUAAUUGUUUUGAUGUGUGUGCCUUAAAAACUAUAGAACAAGAAACUACAACUAUAAUUGAACUCUAGUAUGAACAAAUUGAACUCAUUAAAGAAUAUGAACACAUUAAUAGCAAUAACCCUAACCCUAGUUGAAUGUUCGUGUGCGUGUGCGUGGCUGCUGCCGCAGUUGUCCGUGUGCGUGGCGGUCGUGGCCGUGGGUGACGAGGAGGAAAGACGGAGAGGGAGGUGCGGACGACAAUGUAUUACUGGCUGGAGCGGAGGGUGACGGGGCAGAUCGUCGGUGAGGGCGACGGGGCGGCGAAUCGAGGGCGAGGGAGAUGUGCGGCGAACGUCUAGGGCGGCGACGAGUAAGGAGAGGCCGAUGGCGGCAGCGGACGGGGACGGCGACUUGGGCAGCAUGGAUGAGCCAACGACGUCCGCGACGAGAUGGGGAAGAGUGAGAGUGAGAGAGUAAAUUGGGGUAGGGGGAGAGGGGGCGCGUGCGUGUAUGUAGGUCGAUUGAGUUCGUCGUAUCCGACGGGUGUGCCAAGCCUCCGAACACGGCUUCUUUGGUGUGGUGGGCGGCAAACCGUUUCGAUUUGGGGCAGACUAGACAGCUAACUUAGUUGUGGGGUUAGGGUCCUAUACCCGCCAGAGCUAAUAUCUGUAUAAAAUUUAUUUUUUUGGCGUCCGUUGCUGGCACUAAACUGUGGCUGGCCCUAUCGAGCGUCCGCCACAAUUGCAUUCAAGAACAAUGGCGGCCGAGGGCCCGAGGCUAACACCCACCACUGAUCGCAUUCAUCACGUGGCCAUACUCAGUGGUGCUUACUUGUGGCAGCCACUGCUACGCGUGUAACUCUGGAGGUCACGUUGUGGGACCUGCCACCGGUACUUUUGCUAACUAGCAGUGGCAGGUGCUAUGUCCCGCCCGCCGAUCUUUCGAAUUCACCUAUAAGCCUUUUCCCAGUAGAGUAAUAAAGGACUUCUUGACAAGUCCGUGUAGAUUAAAGGUAUGUUAGUAGAUGGUGUAAUAAAUACAUGCUUUAGCGAUCUAAGGAUACAAAUAUGCCACUAUUUAUUUUAUAAAUGGUCGAAAUCAUUCUUAGAAAUCUUAGUAACAACAGUUGUCAUGAACAACUUCGACAAAAUGCAUCAAAUGUUACAAAUAAUACAUACAAACUUAGUUCAAUAAAUUAAUCAAUUGAAGUGAGAACAAACCUAAAUGUACUUAGAGUAAAUCCAUUAAGACGUGUAAAGCCAAUACUAAUCCAAUAUUUAUUAAUAAAUUUGCAUAGAAUUACAACCCUUUGACAUAGAAAGGGAAUAUGAUGAGUCAUGUAUUGGUAACUUGCACAACAUUCCUACCCUUGGCAUAAAAGGAGAAAUUGAUGAGUCAUGUAUUGAUAACGUGUACAACAUCACUAUCCUUGACAUAAAAGGAGAAUUUGAUGAGUCAUGUGUUGAUAACGUGUACAACAUUACUAUCAGCAUGUUCAUCUUACCAUCAUAUUAUACAACACUACAAGUUAGUUUUAAAAAGAACAAGAGUCGAGAACGAAGAUCAGAAUACUUGCUUGAUCUAUCUUAACAACAUGCACAAGUUCAGAAAUUUAGUCCCCCGCAAGCUAUGAAGAUUUGUUUUAUGUCUAACUAUUUGUACAACAUGACAAUUUUAGAUCCAAAAGGAAUGCAAUCCAGAUAAUUGUUUGACAUGUAAAGUGAAUAGGAUGAGUCAAUGCCAAUUAUCAAGUUUUCCUCACUCUUAGAUGAUAUGUACAAUAAAAAAGAUAACUUUGAUGAUCACUCUGAAAUUACGUUUGUAUGUAGUGCCACCAAACACAACAUACCAAAUAUUAGUUUGAUAAGCAUAAAAUCACUUUUGAAAAAAGAAAGCAAUAAUGAAAAGAAAUCUAACCACGAUAGCUAUAAAAAGGCCUGCAAUAUGUAGAAUCCAUACCAUCAUCCAUCCUUCACACACCUAGAGCACAAAUCAGCAAAUCCAAGUACGUAGUAGUUAACGCAAAUCGACCAUGAAGACCUUAAUCAUCCUGACGAUCCUUGCGAUGGCAAUAACCAUCAGCACCGCCAAUAUGCAGGUCGACCCUAGCGGCCAAAUACAAUGGUCACAACAACAACUAGUCCCCCAGCCCCAAGAGCCAUUAUCCUAGCAACCACAACAAGCAUUUCCCCAACCCCAACAAACAUUCCCCCAUCAACCACAACAACAAGUUCCCCAGCCUCAGCAACCACAACAACCAUUUCUCCAGCCCCAACAAGCAUUCCCCCAACAACCACAACAACCAUUCCCCCAGACUCAACAACCACAACAACCAUUUUCCCAGCAACCACAACAACCAUUUCCCCAGACUCAACAGCCACAACAACCAUUUCCCCAGCAACCACAACAACUAUUCCCCCAGACUCAACAACCACAACAACCAUUUCCCCAGCAACCACAACAACCAUUCCCCCAGACUCAACAACCACAACAACCAUUUCCCCAGUUCCAGCAACCACAACAACCUUUUCCCCAGCCCCAACAACAAUUCCCGCAGCCCCAACAACCGCAACGAUCAUUCCCCCAGCAACAAAGACCGUCCUUUCAGCCAUCUCUACAACAACGGUUGAACCCAUAAAAGAAUAUCCUCUUGCAACAAUGCAAACCUGCAUCAUUGGUGUCAUCCCUUUGGUCGAUAAUCUGGCCACAAAAUGAUUGCCAAGUGAUGCAGCAACAAUGCUGCCAAGAACUAGCACAAAUUCCUCAGCAGCUCCAGUGUGCAGCCAUCCAUAGCGUCGUGCAUUCCAUCAUCAUGCAGCAACAAGAACAAGAACAAGAACAACAACAACAACAACAACAACAACAACAGCAAGGCAUGCGUAUCUUUUUUCCACUAUCUCGACAACAACAUGUGGGUCAAGGUACUCUCGUCCAAGGCCAGGGCAUCAUCCAACCUCAACAACCAGCUCAAUUGGAGGCGAUCAGGUCAUUGGUGUUGCAAACUCUUCCAACCAUCUGCAAUGUGUAUGUCCCACCUGAGUGCUCCAACAUCAGGGCACCAUUUGCCAGCAUAGUCGCGGGGAUUGGUGGCCAAUGAAAAAAGCAAGAGCUAUACUAAUAGAUAGAUGGAUCCUCGUUGCUUAGCAGAUGCACCAAUCGAUGUAACGAUGACAAAUAAAGUGGCACGUACCAUCAUGUGUGACCCCGACCAGUGCUAGUUCAAGCUUGGGAAUAAAAGACAAACAAAGUUCUUGUUUGCCAGCAUUGAUUGUCAUUGUUCCAUUCACUGUGUAUUUAGUUGUUCAUCCCUAACCGCAGUUCUAGGCUUACACAUCAAUGGCUAUUUGCUCGUGCCGGCAGGUUCCUAUGUAAUCUACCGACUAAUGGUCGGCCUAUUGACCCAGUUUAUAGGCCGAUUGAUAUAUUAAUUGCUGCUCCCAAACUGACCGACCAGCUAUUAGUUACCAUUUUGCUGAACAUUGCACACAAUAAUAACUCAACAUAUUUUAAUGUCUAGAAGUAAAAGGGCCAUUUUAGCAGCAAAACAAGCGCCUGAUUAGGAACCAUCCAGCACUUUAAAUGUUCACCUAGAUAUUUCUACGUUGAUGCAAUUUUGAGAUUGGUGGCACCGAAACAUUCCUCAAAGCAAUUCUUUAUGGGACUCCAAAGAGGUGAAAAUAAAGUAAAGUUGCCACAUGGUAAAAUAUAAAUCAUGCGGCGAGCAAGAGCAAAUAUUGAGUCAUGAUAGCAAGCGCCAAACAUGCCAUUAAACUCUUCAUAUGGUUCCGUGCAGAGAAGGGGGAAAAUUGUUGGGGAACGUAGUCAUUUCAAAAAAAAUCCUACGCACACGCAAGAUCAUGGUGAUGCAUAGCAAUGAGAGGGGAGAGCAUCGUCCACCUACCCUCGUAGACCGUAAGCGGAAGCGUUAUGACAACGCGGUUGAUGUAGUCGUACAUCUAUAUGAUCGACCGAUCCUAGUACCGAACGUACGGCACCUCCGCAAUCUGCACACGUUCAGCUCGGUGACGUCCCAUGAACUCACGAUCGAGUAGAUCUUCAAGGGAGAGUUCCGUCAGCACGACGGCGUGAUGACGGUGUUGAUGAAGCUACCGACGCAGGGCUUCGCUUAUGCACUACUAUGAUAUGACCGAGGUGGAUUAUGGUGGAGGGGGCACCGCACACGGCUAAAGAUCAAUGAUCAACUUGUGUGUCUUGGGGUGCCCCCUGCCCCCGUAUAUAAAGGAGAAAGGGGGGAGGCGGCCGGCCAAGGAGGAGGGCGCGCCAAGGGGGGAGUCCUACUUAGGACUCCUCUUUCCUAUUAGGAGUAGGAGAAGGGGGAAAGGAAGGAGAGGAGGAGAAGGAAGGACGGGGCACCGCCCCUUCCCCUAGUCCAAUUCAGACUAGGCUUGGGGGGGGGGGCGGCCCAGCCCUAGCCAGCCCCUCUCUCUCCCUCUCUCUCCCUGAAGCCCAUUAACGCCCAUAAGAUCCCCGGGGGGUUCCGGUAACCUCUCGGUACUGUGGUAUUUAUCCGGUGUCCGAAUAUAACCUUCCAAUAUAUCAAUCUUUAUGUCUCGACCAUUUUAAGACUCCUCGUCAUGUCCGUGAUCAUAUCUGGGACUCCGAACUACCUUCGGUACAUCAAAACACAUAAACUCAUAAUACCGAUCGUCACCGAACGUUAAGCGUGCGGACCCUAUGGGUCCGAGAACUAUGUAGACAUGACCGAGACACGUCUCCGGGUUUAACCAAUAGCGGAACCUGGAUGCUCAUAUUGGCUCCUACAUAUGUUGGGGAACGUUGCAUAAAAUAAACUUUUUCCUAUGUUCACCAAGAUCAAUCUAUGAGUUCAUCUAGCAACGAGAGAGGGGAGUGCAUCUACAUACCCUUGUAGAUCACGAGCGGAAGCGUUCAAGAGAACGGGGUUGAGGGAGUCGUACUCGUCGUGAUCCAAAUCACCGGAGAUCCUAGCGCCGAACGAAUGGCACCUCCGCGUUCAACACACGUACGGUUAGCGUGACGUCUCCUCCUUCUUGAUCCAGCAAGGGGGAAGGAGAGGUUGAUGAAGAUCCAGCAGCACGACGACGCGGUGGAGGAUGCAGCAGAGUUCCGGCAGGGCUUCGCCAAGCGACUACGGGAGGAGGAGGUGUAGCAAGGGGGGAGGGAGGCGCCAAGACUUCAGGGUGCAGCUGCCCUCCCCUCCCCCUCCUUUAUAUAGGCCCCCUGGAGGGUGGCGCCGGCCCUGGAGAUGGGAUCUCCCAAGGGGGCGGCGGCUAGGGGGGUGGAGUGCCCCCCAAGGCAAGUGGAGGCGCCCCCCCCCCCCACCCUAGGGUUUCCAACCCUAGGCGCAGGGGGGCCCAAGGGGGUCGCACCAGCCCACCAGGGGCUGGUCCCCUCCCCACUUCAGCCCACGGGGCCCUCCGGGAUAGGUGGCCCCACCCGGUGGACCCCCGGGACCCUUCCGGUGGUCCCGGUACAAUACCGGUGACCCCCGAAACUCUCCCGAUCACCGAAACUGCACUUCCUAUAUAUAAUUCUUUAUCUUCGGACCAUUCCGGAACUCCUCGUGACGUCCGGGAUCUCAUCCGGGACUCCGAACAACUUUCGGUUUGCUGCAUACUCAUAUCUCUACAACCCUAGUGUCACCGAACCUUAAGUGUGUAGACCCUACGGGUUCGGGAGACACAUAGACAUGACCUAGAUGGCUCUCCGGUCAAUAACCAACAGCGGGAUCUGGAUACCCAUGUUGGCUCCCACAUGCUCCUCGAUGAUCUCAUCGGAUGAACCAUGAUGUUGAGGAUUCAAGCAACCCCGUAUUCAAUUCCCUUUGUCAAUCGGUAUUUUACUUGCCUGAGAUUCGAUCAUCGGUAUCCCAAUACCUCGUUCAAUCUCGUUACCGGCAAGUCACUUUACUCGUACCGUAAUGCAUGAUCCUGUGACCAGACACUUGGUCACUUUGAGCUCAUUAUGAUGAUGCACUACCGAGUGGGCCCAGAGAUACCUCUCCGUCAUACGGAGUGACAAAUCCCAGUCUCGAUCCGUGUCAACCCAACAGACACUUUCAGAGAUACCUGUAGUGCACCUUUAUAGUCACCCAGUUACGUUGUGACGUUUGGUACACCCAAAGCACUCCUACGGUAUCCGGGAGUUACACGAUCUCAUGGUCUAAGGAGAAGAUACUUGACAUUGGAAAAGCUCUAGCAAACGAACUACACGAUCUUGUGCUAUGCUUAUGAUUGGGUCUUGUCCAUCACAUCAUUCUCCUAAUGAUGUGAUCCCGUUAUCAAUGACAUCUAAUGUCCAUAGUCAGGAAACCAUGACUAUCUAUUGAUCAACGAGCUAGUCAACUAGAUGCUCACUAGGGACAUAUUAUGGUCUAUGUAUUCACACGUGUAUUACGAUUUCCGGAUAAUACAAUUAUAGCAUGAAUAAAGACAAUUAUCAUGAACAAGGAAAUAUAAUAAUGAUCCUUUUAUUAUUGCCUCUAGGGCAUAUUUCCAAAAGUCUCCCACUUGCACUAGAGUCAAUAAUCUACUUACAUUGUGAUGAAUCGAACACCCAUAGAGUUCUGGUGUUCAUCAUGUUUUGCUUGCGGAAGAGGUUUAGUCAACGGAUCUGCGACAUUCAGAUCCAUAUGUACUUUGCAAAUAUCUAUGUCUCCAUCUUGAACAGUUUCACGGAUGGAGUUGAAACGAUGCUUGACGUGCCUGGUCUUCUUGUGAAACCUGGGCUCCUUGGCAAGGGCAAUAGCUCCAGUGUUGUCACAGAAGAGAGUGAUUGGCCCCGACGCAUUGGGUAUGACUCCUAGGUCGGUGAUGAACUCCUUCAUCCAUAUUGAUUCAUGCGCUGCCUCCGAGGCUGCCAUGUACUCCGCUUCACAUGUAGAUCCCGCCACGACGCUCUGCUUGCAACUGCACCAGCUUACUGCUCCACGAUUCACCAUAUACACGUAUCCGGUUUGUGACUUAGAGUCAUCCACAUCUGUGUCGAAGCUAGCAUCGACGUAACCCUUUAUGACGAGCUCUUCGUCACCUCCAUAAACAAGAAACAUGUCCUUUAUCCUUUUCAGGUACUUCAGGAUAUUCUUGACCGCUAUCCAGUGUUCCUUGCCGGGAUUACUUUGGUACCUUCCUACCAAACUUACGGCAAGGUUUACAUCAGGUCUGGUGCACAGCAUGGCAUACAUAAUAGAUCCUAUGGCUGAGGCAUAGGGGAUGACACUCAUCUCUUCUUUAUCUUCUGCCGUGGUCGGGCAUUGAGCCGAGCUCAACUUCACACCUUGCAAUACAGGCAAGAACCCUUUCUUGGACUGAUCCAUUUUGAACUUCUUCAAUAUCUUAUCAAGGUAUGUGCUUUGUGAAAGACCUAUGAGGCGUCUCGAUCUACCCCUAUAGAUCUUGAUGCCUAAUAUGUAAGCAGCUUCUCCAAGGUCCUUCUUUGAAAAACACUUAUUCAAGUAGGCCUUAAUGCUGUCCAAAAGUUCUAUAUCAUUUCCCAUCAAAAGUAUGUCAUCUACAUAUAAUAUGAGAAAUGCUACAAAGCUCCCACUCACUUCCUUGUAAACGCAGGCUUCUCCAUAAGUCUGCAUAAACCCAAACGCUUUGAUCAUCUCAUCAAAGCGAAUGUUCCAACUCCGAGAUGCUUGCACCAGCCCAUAAAUGGAUCGCUGGAGCUUUCAUACCUUGUUAGCAUUCUUAGGAUCGACAAAACCCUCCGGCUGCAUCAUAUACAGUUCUUCCUUAAGAUGUCCGUUAAGGAAUGCCGUUUUGACGUCCAUCUUCCAUAUCUCAUAAUCAUAGUAUGCGGCAAUUGCUAACAUGAUUCGGACGGACUUCAGCUUCGCUACGGGAGAGAAAGUCUCAUCAUAGUCAACCCCUUGAACUUGUCGAUAACCCUUAGCGACAAGUCAAGCUUUAUAGAUGGUAACAUUACCAUCCGCGUCUGUCUUCUUCUUAAAGAUCCAUUUGUUUUCUAUCGCUCACCGAUCAUCGGGCAAGUCUGUCAAAGUCCAUACUUUGUUUUCAUCCAUGGAUUCUAUCUCCGAUUGCAUGGCUUCAAGCCAUUUGUUGGAAUCUGGGCCUGCCAUCGCUUCUUCAUAGUUCGAAGGUUCACCGUUGUCUAACAACAUGAUUUCCAGGACAGGGUUGCCAUACCACUUUGGUGUGGAACAUGUCCUUGUGGACCUAUGAAGUUCAGUAGCAACUUGAUCCGAAGUACUUUGAUCAUCAUCAUUAAUUUCCUCUCCAGUCGGUGUAGGCACCACAGCAACAUUUUCCUGAGCUGCACUACUUUCCGGUUCAAGAGGUAGUACUUCAUCGAGUUCUACUUUCCUCCCACUUACUCCUUUCGAGAGAAACUCUUUUUCCAGAAAGGAUCCGUUCUUGGCAACAAAGAUCUUGCCCUCGGAUCUUAAGUAGAAGGUAUACCCAAUGGUUUCCUUAGGGUAUCCUAUGAAGACGCAUUUUUCCGACUUGGGUUCGAGCUUUUCAGGUUGAAGUUUCUUGACAUAAGCAUCGCAUCCCCAAACUUUUAGAAACGACAGCUUAGGUUUCUUCCCAAACCAUAAUUCAUACGGUGUCGUCUCAACGGAUUAAGACGGAGCCCUGUUUAAAGUGAAUGUAGCUGUCUCUAGAGCGUAUCCCCAAAAUGAUAACAGUAAAUCGGUAAGAGACAUCAUAGAUCGCACCAUAUCCAAUAGAGUGCGAUUACGAUGUUCGGACACACCGUUACGCUGAGGUGUUCCAGGCGGCGUGAGUUGUGGAAUGAUUCCACAUUUCCUUAAGUGCGUACCAAAUUCGUGACUUAAAUAUUCUCCUCCACGAUCUGAUCGUAGGAACUUUAUCUUUCGGUCACGUUGAUUCUCUACCUCAUUCUGAAAUUCCUUAAACUUUUCAAAGGUCUCAGACUUGUGUUUCAUCAAGUAGACAUACCCAUAUCUACUCAAGUCAUCAGUGAGAGUGAAAACAUAAUGAUAUCCUCCGCGAGCCUCAACGCUCAUUGGACCACACACAUCAGUAUGUAUGAUUUCCAAUAAGUUGGUUGCUCGCUCCAUUGUUCUGGAGAACAGAGUCUUGGUCAUUUUGCCCAUGAGGCAUGGUUCGCAUGUGUCAAAUGAUUCAUAAUCGAGAGACUCUAAAAGUCCAUCAUCAUGGAGCUUCUUCAUGCGCUUGACACCAAUGUGACCAAGGUGGCAGUGCCACACGUAUGUGGGACUAUCGUUACCAACUUUACAUCUUUUGGUAUUCACACUAUGAAUAUGUGUAACAUUACGUUCGAGAUUCAUUAAGAAUAAACCAUUGACCAUCGGGGCAUGACCAUAAAAUAUAUCUCUCAUAUAAAUAGAACAACCAUUAUUCUCGGAUUUAAAUGAGUAGCCAUCUCGUAUUAAACGAGAUCCAGAUACAAUGUUCAUGCUCAAACUUGGCACUAAAUAACAAUUAUUGAGGUUUAAAACUAAUCACGUGGGUAAAUGUAGAGGCAGCGUGCCGACGGCGAUCACAUCGACCUUGGAACCAUUCCCGACGCGCAUCGUCACCUCGUCCUUCGCCAGUCUCCGCUUAUUCCACAGCUCCUACUAUGAGUUACAAAUAUGAGCAAUGGCACCGGUAUCAAAUACCCAGGAGUUACUAUGAGUACUGGUAAGGUACACAUCAAUUACAUGUAUAUCACAUAUACCUUUAGUGUUUUCGGCCUUCUUGUCCGCUAAGUAUUUGGGGCAGUUCCGCUUCCAGUGACCCUUCCCUUUGCAAUAAAAGCACUCAGUCUCAGGCUUGGGUCCAUUCUUUGACUUCUUCCCGGCAACUGGCCUACCGGGUGCGGCAACAUCCUUGUCGUCCUUCUUGAAGUUCUUCUUACCCUUCCCUUCUUGAACUUGGUGGUUUUAUUGACCAUCAACACUUGAUGUUCUUUCUUGAUUUCUACUUCUGUUGACUUUAGCAUUGAAAAUACUUCAGGAAUAGUUUUCACCAUCCCCUGCAUAUUGUAGUUCAUCACAAAGCUCUUGUAGCUUGGUGGGAGCGACUGAAGGAUUCUGUCAGUGACCGCCUUGUCCGGGAGGUUGAUGUCCAGCUGGGACAGGCAGUUGUGCAACCCAGACAUUUUGAGUAUGUGCUCACUGACAGAACUAUUUUCCUCCAUCUUACAACUAUAGAACAUGUCGGAGACUUCAUAUCUUUCGACCCGGGCAUGAGCUUGGAAAACCAGUUUCAGCUCCUUGAACAUCUCAUAUGCUCCGUGUUGGUCAAAAUGCUUUUGGAUCCUCGGUUCUAAGCUGUAAAGCAUGCCGCACUGAACGAGGGAGUAAUCAUCAGCACGUGACUGCCAAGCGUUCAUAAUGUCUUGGUUCUCUGGGAUGGGUGCAUCACCUAGUGGUCCUUCUAGGACAUAUGCUUUCUUAGCAGCUAUGAGGAUGAUCCUCAGGUUCUGGACCUAGUCCGUAUAGUUGCUUCCAUCAUCUUUCAGCUUGCUUUCUCUAGGAACGCGUUGAAGUUCAUGUUGACAUGAGCGUUGGCCAUUUGAUCUACAAGACAUUUUUGCAAAGAUUUUAGACUAAGUUCAUGAUAAUUAAGUUCAUCUAAUCAAAUUAUUUAAUGAACUCCCACUCAGAUUUGACAUCCCUCUAGUCAUCUAAGUGUUACACGAUCCGAGUCGACUAGGCCGUGUUCGAUCAUCACGUGAGACAGACUAGUCAUCAUCGGUGAACAUCUCGAUGUUGAUCGUAUCUUCCAUACGACUCAUGUUCGACCUUUCGGUCUCUGUGUUCCGAGGCCAUGUCUGUACAUGCUAGGCUCGUCAAGUUUAACCUAAGUGUUUUGCAUGUGUAAAACUGUCUUACACCCGUUGUAUGUGAACGUAGGAAUCUAUCACACCGGAUCAUCACGUGGUGCUUCGAAAUGACGAACUUUAGCAACGACGCACAGUUAGGGAGAACACUUUCUUGAAAUUAUUAUAAGGGAUCAUCUUAUUUACUACCGUCGUUCUAAGUAAACAAGAUGCAUAAACAUAAUAAACAUCACAUGCAAUUAUAUAGUAGUGACAUGAUAUGGCCAAUAUCAUAUAGCUCCUUUGAUCUCAAUCUUCGGGGCUCCAUGAUCAUCUUUGUCACCGGCAUGACACCAUGAUCUCCAUCAUCAUGAUCUCCAUCAUCGUGUCUCCAUGAAGUUGCUCGCCAACUAUUACUUCUACCACUAUGGCUAACGGUUUAGCAAUAAAGUAAAGUAAUUACAUGGCGUUAAAUCAUUGACACACAGGUCAUACAAUAAUUAAGACAACUCCUAUGGAUCCUGCCGGUUGUCAUAUUCAUCGACAUGCAAGUCGUGAUUCCUAUUACAAGAACAUGAUCUCAUACAUCACAAUAUAUCAUUCAUCAUUCAUCACAACUUUUGGCCAUAUCACAUCACAAGGCAAUUGCUGCAAAAACAAGUUAGACGUCCUCUAAUAGUUGUUGCAUCUUUUACGUCGCUGCAAUAGGGUUCUAGCAAGAACGUUUUCUUACCUACGAAAAAGCCACAACGUGAUUUGUCAACUUCUAUUUACCCUUCAUAAGGACCCUUUUCAUCGAAUCCGCUCCAACUAAAGUGGGAGAAACAGACACCCGCUAGCCACCUUAUGCAAGUAGUGCAUGUCAGUCGGUGAAACCUGUCUCAUGUAAGCGUACGUGUAAGGUCGGUCCGGGCCGCUUCAUCCCACAAUACCCUGAAGCAAAAUAAGACUAGUAGCGGUAAGAAAGUUGACAACAUCUACGCCCACAACAGAUUUGUGUUCUACUCGUGCAAUAGAGAACUACGCAUAGACCUAGCUCAUGAAGCCACUGUUGGGGAACGUUGCAUAAAAUAAAAAAUUUCCAACGUUCACCAAGAUCAAUCUAUGAGUUCAUCUAGCAACAAGAGAGGGAGUGCAUCUACAUACCCUUGUAGAUCGCGAGUGGAAGCGUACAAGAGAAUGGGGUUGAGGGAGUCAUACUCGUCGUGAUCCAAAUCACCGGAGAUUCUAGCGCCGAACGGACGGCACCUCCGCGUUCAACACACGUAUGGUCAGCGUGACGUCUCCUCCUUCUUUAUCCAGCAAGGGGAAAGGAGAGGUUGAUGAAGAUCCGGCAACACGACGGCGUGGUGGUGGAUGCAGCAGAGUUCCGGCAGGGCUUCGCCUAGUGACUACGGGAGGAGGAGGUGUAGAAAGGGGGGAGGGAGGCGCCAAGACUUCAGGGUGCGGCUGCCCUCCCCUCCCCCUCCUUUAUAUAGGCCCCUUGGGGGGGAGCCGGCCCUGGAGAUGGGAUAUCCAAAGGGGGCGGCGGCCAGGGGGGUGGAGUGCCCCCCAAGGCAAGUGGAGGCGCCCCCCCACCCUAGGGUUUCCAACCAUAGGCGCAGAGGGGGGCCAAGGGGGCACACCAGCCCACCAGGGGCUGGUCCCCUCCCCACUUCAGUCCACGGGGCCCUCCAGGAUAGGUGGCCCCACCCGGUGGACCCCCGGGACCCUUCCGGUGGUCCCGAUACAAUACCGGUGACCCCCGAAACUCUCCCGAUGGCCGAAACUGGACUUCCUAUAUAUAAUUUUAUCUUUGGACCAUUCCGGAACUCCUCGUGACGUCCGGGAUCUCAUCCGGGACUCCGAAAAACUUUCGGUUUGCUGCAUACUCAUAUCUCUACAACCCUAGUGUCACCGAACCUUAAGUGUGUAGACCCUACGGGUUCGGGAGACACGUAGACAUGACCGAGACGGCUCUUCGGUCAAUAACCAACAUCGGGAUCUGGAUACCCAUGUUGGCUCCCACAUGCUCCUCGAUGAUCUCAUCGGAUGAACCAUGAUGUCGAGGAUUCAAGCAACCCCGUAUUCAAUUCCCUUUGUCAAUCGAUAUUUUACUUGCCCGAGAUUCGAUCGUCGGUAUCCCAAUACCUCAUUCAAUCUCGUUACCGGCAAGUCACUUUAAUCGUACCAUAAUGCAUGAUCCCGUGACCAGACACUUGGUCACUUUGAGCUCAUUAUGAUGAUGCACUACCGAGUGGGCCCAGAGAUACCUCUCUGUCAUACGGAGUGACAAAUCCCAGUCUCGAUCCGUGUCAACCCAACAGACACUUUCGGAGAUACCUAUAGUGCACCUUUAUAGUCACCCAGUUACGUUAUGACCUUUGGUACACCCAAAGCUAUCAGGACCCCGACUCAAUGCCACAUCGAUCUAGCAUGUAACACCUCAUAUCACUUUGCGGCCUCACGCACGGUAUUCCCACGGGUGUCGUCUUACCUUUGCCCGGGACCGUUUGCACCUUUUGGCACACGUAUAUGAUAGUGUUGCUGGCAUCCAUAUGGUAAGGAGCCCGGGCUGACAUGGCUAGUCGUAAACCCAAAGUGGCACAGACUUACAGGGACAGGCAUCCAUGACCCAGCAUCGAACGUGUCGGUCAUCAGCAAGUGAAUCCGGGCUUUAGCACCGGGCUAGCAGGACUCCGGUAAACCGUGCUGCAGCGGGCUAACAGGACUCCGGUAUUCAUCGCAUGACAUUUCGCCGAAGGGACAGACACAGGAACGAAGAAGGCACAUGCCGGCCAGCCUAAGUGUUCCGGAGCAGUAGCAAGCUACCAUGGCUCAGUGGAAGCACUAGGAGACAUUUCCCGGUAAGAGAGGCUACUAAGGAUAAACAACUAGAUAGUCAGAUCCCACACAUACCAAGCAUUUCAAUCAUACACACAAUAUGCUCGAUAUGUGCAAAUACAACAAGGCAUCACAACAUGACUCUACAACACAAGUACUUUAUUUAAAGGCUCAGAGAGCCAUACAUAGUAUACACACAAGUACGGGUCACAUGACCCACAUUCAAGUAAUACAAGCAUACAAGCCAACAGCGGAAGUAACUUGUCUGAGUAGAGACAACUAGUAAAAUAAAAGAGGCCUGGGUAAGCCUAGCUAUACUACAUGGUCCUUCACAAGCUCAGGAUCACCACCUGGGCCUCAGUCUACUCAUCGAUGUCAACGUCUACGAAGAACCUGUCAGAAGGGGUUGUAGCAUCUUCUGUAAAAUGUAAAUUAGAGCAACAUGAGUACAAAGGUACUCAGCAAGACUUACAUCAGAUCCUACAUACAUGCACAUUAUCAAGAAGGGUUGGUGGGGUUAUUGCAGCAAGCCAGCUUCGACUCUUGGCUAAGCUAUCCUAUGAGACUCCAACUUGAAAUGGUUUUGCACACACGAGUCCACUACUCACCACUUCAAUACACAACCGAGGAUUCACCUCCGUCUUCCUACGGAAGAGCCAUCCUCGGCACUCACAAUUAUCUUGAGGCUUUUAGUAGUUUCCAUUUACUUGUCUAUGAACUGUUAUAGGCAACACAGAAGUCCUUUACCGCGGACACGGCUAUUCGAAUAGAUCAUUUAUAACCCUGCAGGGGUGUACUUCUUCAUACAUGUUUCCACCACUUAGCAUCUGCACACGACAUGUGCUCGGCAGACUUCAAGCGAAAGCGAAAGCCUAAACACUCAAGUCUCUAGUCCAGGUUUAUCGCCUAUUCAGGUUCCAUCCGCAGGGAGUCCGUCCGAGGUUUCCACAUACGGCCCCGAACGAUGUGUAUAGGGUUCCGUGACACCAAACAGGCGCCCGGUAUACCCGGCCACGUGCCUACCGCAUCACAGCCCACCCCUUCGAUCAGCGUUGCGCACGACCUCCAGCAUACUACAAACACCAGAAACUACUUGCAACUCCUGGACAGAGGACAAGGGUGAUUAAGAAGUCGAGCAGGGUCAUAUUUCAGGGCCCAAUGCAUGGUAGUAGCUGAACCAUGGAUCACAAACACAGAACUCAGUUCCUGAGGACGGCUUCAAUGAGACAAUCCACCAUGUACUCCUACAUGGCCUCUCAUAGCUACCUUUACCAAAUCCUGUUCACACACUUAGCUCACACUCAGUAGAAUAUGUUCACGCACCUCUGAUUCAUCCCCGAUGAAUCAGACCUGACUCAACUCUAAGCAAUAGCAGGCAUGACAAACAAACAUGAAUGAGUAGGCACAACAGGGCUCAAACAACUCCUACUCAUGCUAGUGGGUUUCAUCUAUUUACUGUGGCAAUGAUAGGUCCUGCAGAGGAUAAAGGGGUUCAGCUACCGCAGCAAGUAACAGAUGAAUCAUUGCUGUCCUAAUGCAGUAAAAGAGAGCAGGAGCGAGAGAGUAGGAUUGUAUCGAAAUGAACAAGGGGGUUUUGCUUGCCUGGCACUUCUGAAGAUAGUAUACUUCUUCAUCGGUGUCAGCGAUCACAACGUCGGUACAACGUCUACCGAGGGGGAACAACACUGGCAAACAGAGAAGAAACACGAUCAAUGCAAUGCACAAUAUGAUGCCUGCUAUGACAUGGCAAUAUGAAUGUGUUUUGGGCUAAUGCAAGCUAGAACAGAUUGAGAUGAGUCCAUUUGAACCAAAGAUUCAAAUGCAAACCCAUUUUAAGAGGUCAUAAUAGUGUAUUAACUUGUUUCACCUAAACAGCAAGGUUAAUGUGUUCUAACAUGCAUGAAACCAGUGCAGAUGGAUAGAUUGGAUUUUUUUGAUCAUUUUUCAUAUAUAAAUUAUUUCAUUCUAAGUUACGGUUAAAUUUCUAUGAAUUUUAGAAGUUUAGAGCAUUUUCUGGAAUUUCCUGUAUAAAAAUAAAUCUAGAAAAUACUUAUUGCGUCAGCAUUGCGUCACUCUGACGUCAGCAGUCAACGAGGCCGGUCCAGGUCAAACCUGACGUGUGGGGUCCACACAUCAGUGACACGGUUAACCAACAGGGUUAAUUAAAAUUAAACUAAACCUAAUCUAGUUUAGUUAAGGCCUGGGCCCACAUGUCAGAGGCUAACCUAACUAACUAAGUUAAUUACCGCUCAUUAAUCUAUCGCUUAAUUAAGCAGGGGCCUGGCCCACACGUCAAUGAGUCAGGGGGAAGUCAAACCCCGGUCAAACCCGCCGGACCUGGUCCACGGCUCGUCGCCGGCGACGACAGAGACAACGAGGCGGCUCGGGAAUGCUCUACAGGGCACCGUUUUACUCGUGGUUUGCGGCUACGGCUAGCUAGCAAUGCGGCGCAUCUAAUGGAGCGAAUGGGUGGAGCUGGGGUGGCCUGAGCCGACGGCGGCGAGCUCCAAGGCGGCGGCCGGAGUUCGGGCAAUGACGGGUUUGGCGCCACAGUGCAUGGGAGGAGGAGCUGGUGGGCGCUACGGGCUCUUGGGGGUGCACUGGGUGUAGUGACGCGCUCGGUUUGGACGGAGGUGAACUAAAAUGACGACAGCGACAAGUCUGGCACCAGUGAGGUUUCGGUCUCGACGGAAACGAGGGCUACGAUGAGCUAAUGGACAUGUGAGUAGGGGGGUCAGUAAAGGAGCUUACGGCGAGUGCAGAGGUGGCCUCGGCGUGCUCGGGGAAGCACUGGAGCGAGCGGUGCGGCGAGAGGGAUCUCCGGCGGCCGGUGACGAAGAUGAUCAAGAUGGCGUCAAUCCAGGGCCUCCGGCGAUGCGUGGCUAGACGGAGAGGACGAGGGAGGCGUGGCGAUGCUCGUGGACACGUCGGAGAGGCUCGGGGUUGGCUGCGGCUGCGGCUAUGGCGAACGGCGGCGGCGGUGGCGUUCGGUGGUGAGAGGGAGAGAGAGUAGAGGAGGGGGAGGAGCAUGGGGAGAGUGAGAGAGAGCCACAGGGGUUGCGUGUCGACGUCCAUGGCAUCCAGAGGGACGUCGGGAGGCGGUGGAAAGCUGGAGGUGGCCGAGGGGCGUGGGCGUGAAUGGCGGCCACACGCCUCUCAUCCUACUGGCGAGAGGUGGGAGAUGACUGGCAGAUGGGCCUGGUGGGCUGCUACAGUGCCAGGCCGGCCAGGUAAGCGCCAGGUAUUCUCUCUCUCUCUCUCUUUUGUUAAUGUUUUUCUAUUUUUCUGUAACUUCAGGGCUUUAUUAAAAAUGCCAGGGCAUUUCCAAAAAUCAUGAAACUAAUCAUGGCUACUGUUUAGAAUAUAUCCAACAGUAAACAUUUUAGUUUAUGAUUAUUUGAGCAUUUAAAAUAUUUUAUAGCACUUAAAUGCCCAAAUGCAAAUACUAUAGGAUUUAAUUUAGAAAUCCAGAAUGGCCUAGAAAUAUGUGCAUGACAUUUGGCAGAGGUUUUCACCUUUGACCGAAAUCAUGAACUUUUCUAAAGGGCAUUUGGGAUCACUAAAAAUAUUAUUUUUUUGAACCUAGUUGAAUUCAUUUGGUGCUAGGGUUUCAACAAUCCCCAUUUCAAGUUUCAUGAAAUUUAAACAUGAUGCAUGGAUGCAAAGUCACUAGUUACGAGCAAACUCUAGGGCUGUGAUAACUCACCCCCACUAAACAAGAAUCUCGUCUUGAGAUUCAAGACGUGAGGUAAGAAGACAAAGGGGGCACAAAACCAACACAAUCUUCAUGAUCCAGGUUGCACCUCAUAAGGUUGUUGAUUCGUUGCAUACAUUGAUCUUGACAUCCUCGCUUUUGAGAUCUUCAUCCAUGCGAUGACGACGGAAAGGAACUCUACUAGGAUUGAUCUUCUCAAAGACCGAAUUAUACAAUCUCAACUCGCGGAGUGAGAUGUUGAAACACCUUGAGUUGAGACACAAAACACAUCGAGAGGGAUGGAAGAACAAACGACGGGGUUUGAUUUGGUGGGAAACAAUUCCACGCUUAGAAAGAUGGUGGAUGGUGUCAAGGUGGCGAGGAAAUAAUUGCCAUGAUCCCGUAACGGGGCACCUUAGGGAAGGUGACUCGUAGGUUUGUUACCUUAAGUGGCAAAAGGAAUUAUUUUUGAUUCAGAGAUCAUUGAAACUCUUUAUACCAGCCUAAGGCAAUUCACAACAAUCGUUUGGCAGAGUACAAAGGGAUGGCAUACCCGGACUAGAAUGGAUGAUGUGGACUACCUUGUUGAAGACAACGUAAUGAAUGCUUUUUGCUUAUCAUCGGAGGUGGAGGGGACCCAUGGUAGGACCACUUCUAAAGAUGAUCCUGAACAACAAUUGCUGAGAAGGGCAGUCCAAGGAGGAUUGGCACAAGGCGGUGCAAGCUGGGAACGAAAUGCAAAUGUCGGGAAUGUUCCAACCAUCAUAUCUGCCUGAGAUUCAGAUUUGGUUGGUGUUAGGACAUUCCAGACUCAUCAAGUCUAGGAAGAAAAAUGAAAGUUUGCAACACAAAUCGAUGAGAUGACGUCGCGAGAUUCUCGGGAGAUAAACUACGAUAGCAAGCUCCAAAACAUGAGCUGGUUCUGCUAAACAUGUGUGAACACGCUGUCCCAGACAAACAUGACCACAUAGUAGUCUUAAUAUAAAACACUACCGAGUUCAGGUGGGGAACCAUCAUUGCGGAUAACGAAGUCCUUGCAUAAGUCAUGAUUCUUAAGAAGGAGCUUCUUCUCCCUGAACAAAUCAAUCAGUGGCUUGGUGUGCUAGGGAUACGUAAGCAAUGAAGAUGAUCAGUCUAUCAGACCAUAGAAUACUUCGCACAUGCAUGACUGACUUGGGAUGAUCCCGGAGGGAACAAAACUAACUUUCUCAAAUUCACGGCGGCAACUUGCACCUAAUGCGCGUGAACUUGGAGAGAGUCACUUCUUACAUCCAAGCAUAUUCUUCAUGAACGAAACACGAAGAUAAUGCUUAUAUAGUUUCCAAUACUAGCUGAAGGUUCAACACGAAUCAUGGAAGAGAUAAAAAUGUUGCUGAUGGGCUCAACAACAAUUCAUCUAGGUUUCCAUAUAAGUGGAAUUCCACAAUUAUGUGAACAAGGCGAUAGCAUCGGUCAGACCAAAGGAUAUAACGGUGUAUGCCCGAGGAAACAACCACGGGUAAGACAACAUUACGAAUAUCGUUGGUUCUGAUUUGACUUGACAAUAGCCCAUGCUCAAAUCAGAGAUUGGUUACGAUAAUAGAUCCAACAACUGAUCACAGGGACCAAUCGAUGAAGAUAUCAUCUUUCUUCAACAUACAUACAAGAUAUCACUUAACAUGAACUAAGUCGGACAAGCUUUUAUCUUCCAACUCUCCAAGUUGAUGUAUAGCUUAACCAACUAGCUCAGGGGUAUCCAACACGGAUUCUUGGAGAAAGGGUGGUUUACAAGAAUAAACCAACUUGAUCAUGAACUCAACAUAGCGGUCAGGUGACGACCUAGUGAUACUUCCGAGAAGAUAAUCAGAAAAUCAGGAACCACCGGUAUGUUACUAAGCUCGAGAGAAAUCUUGCUUUUCAGGGCAAGACGAUAUGAUCAAAUGAGCAAGGGAUUGACAAAAUCCUAACUCAACGACCGAAGAGUGCACCGGAAAUAGGGACUAGAUAGCACAAUCAACCUUAGGGUGACGAUUCAAUAAUCAACACGCUAAGAAUGAGGUUAGCGUCCAUUUAACUACCAAGCAACGGAGUUGCUAGCAGUAUUGAUUUCACACACCAUGAUUCACUUGUCAGUAUUCCGGUUGCAACAACACGGAACCGAGGAGCGAAUGAUGAUGGCAAGAAGUAUCACUACUUCAAGAAUCCAUAAGGGAAGGUGCAAUUCUCAUGACGUUCCUGACAUAAAGUGGGUAAUACUUCAGGGUAGAACAGAACAAAAGCUGAAUUAGUAUUUGAUCUGCGAUUUACAACUGCUUUGACCCGAUCCUGGAUAUGGAUGAGGUACGGGAGUUUGUUUCUCCUAGUCAUUCUAGAAUAGAAUGGCUUGACAUACCACUAGAGUAAUAGGCAUCAAUGAACGAAUGCACGCAUACUCUUGACUAUCAAUUGAUAGAUGGGGUCGGAAUACAACUAAGGAGGGACAACCCAAACGAACUUACGAUCUUCUGAGUUGUGGAUGCACAUAUUAGUAUGUCGAGCAAAGAUCAACAUUUUUCUUCCGGAUAACCCAUGCGGAGAAGGUAGGACUGGCAGAUUCACAAUAUAGAAUCGAGAACGCAUCAAGAGCACUCUGGUUGUGAUCUUUCGGUUAAACGAGGAACUUCUGCCAUAAGUAGUUCAUGGUAUUUGGAAGAAGGAAAUACCACGGACCUCGAGGACUAAUGCAAAGGUUACUAAUUUCCUAAAGGAACUAGCAAACACUAUCAUCAUGAGUAAGUGGGGUGAAUCUCGGUUCAAGAACCCAGGAAUAGAAUACCUACUACUAAGUGGCAUCACGGGAUGCUUUCGAGAAUAAAGGCCAGAAUUAUCACACCGGGAACAAAUCAUGGCUAGAUUACUAGAUGAUCCCCUAGGACACCUAGGGUCAUAAUAAUAAUUCCAACAUAUAUGUCGAGGCAAUAGAAUACUUCAACUCAGCAAUUAGUGUGAUUAACCUGGCUCAAAGGAACAUCAAAACCAGAGGGAAAUGAUUUGCAAGUGCAUCAGAUUGUUUAGAAACCUGGGAUGACUCGGACAACAUAACGGCUGUAAAUGCUCAAAAGGAAUUUUGAGACAUUUUGCAAAGAGUUGCAUAGACACUCAACAAUAUCAUAUCAAGGUUCUGGGUCCAACUUAGCAACAUAAUAGGGUAGUAGAACUGAACUAGGCUUAUAAUCAUCAAACCAAUAAGGUACUACUGAUUAGUAACACGUGAACCUGAUAGAGAGAAAAGAUCCUAAUCCUUAACCCCCGGUGGAAGAAUGGACUGACUCAGAUCAGAAUGCCAUGAGGUAAAGAAGUAAAAAGAGCCUUACGUACCAUCCCACAAUCAAUUCCCCUACAUAUAACUAAAGCAUUUCUAGACUCAACAUCGACCAGUUUGGCUUGGUAAUCCUACAGGCAGUCAGGCUCUUAUACCAAAGCUGUCAGGUCCUGAACGAUGUGUACAGGGUUCCGUGACACCAAACGGGCGCCCGGUAUACCCGGCCACGUGCCUACCGCAUCACAGCCCACCCCUCCGGUCAGCGUUGCGCACGGCCUCCAGCAUACUACAAACACCAGAAACUACUUGCAACUCCUGGACAGAGGACAAGGGUGAUUAAGAAGUCGAGCGGGGUCAUAUUUCAGGGCCCAAUGCAUGGUAGUAGCUGAAUCAUGGAUCACAAACACAUAACUCAGUUCCUGAGGGCGGCUUCAAUGAGACAACCCACCAUGUACUCCUACAUGGACUCUCACCGCUACCUUUACCAAAUCGUGUUCACACACUUAGCUCACACUCAGUAGAAUAUGUUCACGCACCUCUGAUUCAUCCCCGGUGAAUCCGACUUAACUCAACUCUAAGCAAUAGCAGGCAUGACAAACAAACAUGAAUGAGUAGGCACAACAGGGCUCAAACAACUCCUACUCAUGCUAGUGGGUUUCAUCAAUUUACUAUGGCAAUGACAGGUCAUGCAGAGGAUAAAGGGGUUCAGCUACCGCAGCAAGUAAUAGAUGAAUCGUUGUUGUCCUAAUGCAGUGAAAGAGAACAGGAGCGAUAGAGUAGCAUUGUAUCGGAAUGAACAAGGGGGUUUUGCUUGCCUAGCACUUCUGAAGAUAGUAUACUUCUUCAUCGGUGUCAUCGAUCACAACAUCGGUACAACGUCUACCGAGGGGGAACAACACCGGCAAACAGAGAAGCAACAUGAUCAAUGCAAUGCACAAUAUGAUGCAUGCUAUGACAUGGCAAUAUGAAUGUGUUUUGGGCUAAUGCAAGCUAGAACAGAUUGAGAUGAGUCCAUUUGAACCAAAGAUUCAAAUGCAAACCCAUUUUAAGAGGUCAUAAUAGUGUAUUAACUUGUUUCACCUAAACAGCAAGGUUAAUGUGUUCUAACAUGCAUGAAACCAGUGCAGAUGGAUAGAUUGGAUUUGUUUGAUCAUUUUUCAUAUAUAAAUUAUUUCAUUCUGAGUUACGGUUAAAUUUCUAUGAAUUUUAGAAGUUUAGAGCAUUUUCUGGAAUUUCCUGUAUAAAAAUAAAUCCAGAAAAUACUUAUUGCGUCAGCAUUGCAUCGCUCUGACGUCAACAGUGAACGAGGCCAGUCCAGGUCAAACCUGACGUGUGGGGUCCACACGUCAGUGACACGGUUAACCAACAGGGUUAAUUAAAAUUAAACUAAACCUAAUCUAGUUUAGUUAAGGCCUGGGCCAACAUGUCAGAGGCUAACCUAACUAAGUUAAUUACAGCUAAUUAAUCUAUCGCUUAAUUAAGCAGGGGCCUGGCCCACACGUCAGUGAGUCAGGGGGAAGUCAAACCCCGGUCAAACGGGGUCAAACCCGCCGGACCUGGUCCACGGCUCAUCGCCGGCGACGACAGAGACGAUGGGGCGGCUCGUGAAUGCUCUACAGGGCACCGUUUUACUCAUGGUUUGUGGCUACGGCUAGCUAGCAAUGCGGCGCAUCUAAUUGAGCGAACGGGAGGAGCUAGGGUGUCCUGAGCCGACGGCGGCGAGCUCCAAGGCGGCGGCCGGAGUUCGGGCAACGACGGGUUCGGUGCCAUAGUGCAUGGGAGGAGGAGCCGGUGGGCGCUACGGGCUCCUGGGGGUGCACUGGGUGUAGUGACGCGCUCGGUUUGGACGGAGGCGAACUAAAAUGACGACGGCAACAAGUCCGGCGCCGGUGAGGUUUCGGUCUCGACGGAAACGAGGGCUACGAUGAGCUAAUGGACAUGUGAGUAGGGGGGUUAGUAGAGGAGCUUACGACGAGUGCAUAGGUGGCCUAGGCGUGCUCGGGGAAGCACCGGAGCGAGCGGUGCAGCGAGAGGGAUCUCCGGCAGCCGGCGACGAAGAUGAUGAAGAUGGCGUCGAUCCAGGGCCUCCGGCGAUGCGUUGCUGUGCGGAGAGGACUAGGGAGGCGUGGCGAUGCUCGUGGACACGUCGGAGAGGCUCGGAGUUGGCUGCGGCUGCGGCUAUGGCGAACGGCGGCGGCGGUGGCGUUCGGUGGUGAGAGGGAGAGAGAGUAGAGGAGGGGGAGGAGCAUGGGGAGAGUGAGAGAGAGCCACAGGGGUUGCGUGUCGACGUCCAGGGCAUCCAGAGCGACGUCGGGAGGCGGUGGAAAGCUGGAGGUGGCCGAGGCGCGUGGGCGUGAAUGGCGGCCACACGCCUCUCGUCCUACUGGCGAGAGGUGGGAGAUGACUGGCAGAUGGGCCUGGUGGGCUGCUACAGUGCCAGGCCGGCCAGGUAAGCGCCAGAUAUUCUCUCUCUCUCUUUUGUUAAUGUUUUUUUAUUUUUCUGUAACUUCAGGGCUUUAUUAAGAAUGCCAGGGCAUUUCCAAAAAUCAUGAAACUAAUCAUGGCUACUGUUUAGAAUAUAUCCAACAGUAAACAUUUUAGUUUAUGAUUAUUUGAGCAUUUAAAAUAUUUUAUAGCACUUAAAUGCCCAAAUGCAAAUACUAUAGGAUUUAAUUUAGAAAUCCAGAAUGGCCUAGAAAUAUGUGCAUGACAUUUGGCAGAGGUUUUCACCGUUGACAGAAAUCAUGAAAUUUUCUAAAGGGCAUUUGGGAUCACUGAAAAUAUAUAUUUUUUGAACCUAGUUGAAUUCAUUUGGUGCUAGGGUUUCAACAAUCCCCAUUUCAAGUUUCAUGAAAUUUAAACAUGAUGCAUGGAUGCAAAGCCACUAGUUACAAGCAAACUCUGGGGCUAUGACAAAAGCACUCCUACGGUAUCGGUAUCCGGGAGUUACACGAUCUCAUGGUCUAAGGAGAAGAUACUUGACACUGGAAAAGCUCUAGCAAACGAACUACACGAUCUUGUGCUAUGCUUAGGAUUGGGUCUUGUCCAUCACAUCAUUUUCCUAAUGAUGUGAUCCCGUUAUCAACGACAUCUAAUGUCCAUAGUCAGGAAACCAUGACUAUCUGUUGAUCAACGAGCUAGUCAACUAGAGGCUCACUAGGGACAUAUUAUGGUCUAUGUAUUCACACGUGUAUUACGAUUUCCGGAUAAUACAAUUAUAGCAUGAAUAAAGACAAUUAUCAUGAACAAGGAAAUAUAAUAAUAAUCCUUUUAUUAUUGCCUCUAGGGCAUAUUUCCAACAACAUAUUCUACGAAGAUCUUUAUCGGUCAAACCACAUAACAACAUAGGUUCUUCCCUUUGUCAUCGGUAUGUUACUUGCCUGAGAUUCGAUCGUCGGUAUCUCAAUACCUAGUUCAAUCUCGUUACCGGCAAGUAUGUUUACUCAUUCCAUAAUGCAUGAUCCCGCAACUAACUCAUUAGUCACAUUGCUUGCAAGGCUUAUAGUGAUGUGCAUUACCGAGAGGGCCCAGUGAUACCUCUCCGACAAUCGGAGUGACAAAUCCUAACCUCGAUCUAUGCCAACUCAACAAGUACCAUCGGAGACACCUGUAGAGCACCUUUAUAAUCCCCCAGUUACGUUGUGACGUUUGGUAGCACACAAAGUGUUCCUCUGGUAUUUGGGAGUUGCAUAAUCUCAUAGUCAUAGGAACACGUAUAAGUCAUGAAGAAAGCAAUAGCAACAAACUAAACGAUCAAGUGCUAAGCUAACGAAAUGGGUCAAGUCAAUCACAUCAUUCUCUAAUGAUGUGAUCCCGUUAAUCAAAUGACAACUGUCUAUGGUUAGGAAACACAACCAUCUUUGAUUCAACGAGCUAGUCAAGUAGAGGCAUACUAGUGACACUUUGUUUGUCUAUGUAUUCACACAUGUACUAAGUUUCCGGUUAGUACUAUUCUAGCAUGAAUAAUAAACAUUUAUCAUGAUAUAUGGAAAUAUAAAUAACAACUUUAUUAUUGCCUCUAGGGCAUAUUUCCUUCAAAAUUUAGAGAUGACAAACAAAGCUUAAGUAGCAUCUGUUCUACUUGAUUGUAGAAAUUUCUUUUACCUGUAGAAUAACUCGGUUGUUAUUUCUUUAAACAUGAAGUGUGAUAUUAACUUAUCUCAAUCUAGGAACACAAAGCAAAUAUUACAUGUGCUUCUAUGGACUCCAAGCAGAUGAGAAAUCAUUUUGUCUAGAAGUUCCUUAGAAGGAUAUAAUAGUUUUGACCUAAACAAAUUUACUAUUGUACUCGUGUCUUACAAAGUUAAAGCUGAAAAUCAACAUAACCAUUGGACCCUUUGAAAGACAAGUGUAGGAAAUAAAUAGUAGGAUAUAAAUUUGAGCAGAAUGUUUGAUCAAAUACUGAACAAAUAACCCAGCAAACUACUAAAACUCGUCUAUUCUACCUUAUAUGAACUGUCACGAUGAUAAAGCUAUGAUUUUUUUUGGCAAAUAAGUAUCCUAGAACUAAUACAAGUUCAAACAAAUCAGCCACAGAUCCCCGAGCCCAUCCAACCAGAUAGCUGAAACUGAAAGAAGCAUUAGCUCGAUUAGAGCACCUACAGCGGAACUUGACAAAUUUGACCCCUGAAACGCCCGCGGACACGCGUGUUAGUAGACAUAAACCAAUCUUUAAGCAGAGCACGUCCGGCAGUCGGAUGCUCCCCAAAGUGUUGGUCCAGUCGCCGGCAAGGUAGAGUAGGGCAUGGGAUACAAGGCGGCUCACGGGACUCGAGGCGCCACCGUCCCCCAUUCCCAACUCUUCUCAGUCGGAACCCGGACAGUGCCGGUGGACGUCAGAUCGAUGAUGGAUCCUUCCUGGGACGAGCCAGCAACAUCCACCACCACGUGGUUGUGCAGCCCGAACUAGUGCACAAUAUGGGGAGCCGGAAAAUACGACUCCGCCUCCGCAACGCCCACCACCGCGAGGGCUGUCGCUGCCUCCCGCACCCGCUGCAUUGCAUGGCAGGAGCGCCGAACUAUGUUUUGCAUCGGGCGACGCCCAUGGUGCGUCCAUGGCCUCAGUGCGCCAAUGGAGGGGCUGCGCGUCCGCCACCCAUUCAAACGCCAGAUGGACCGCACCACCUUUGUGUUGGAAAUAUGCCCUAGAGGAAAUAAUAAAAGGAUUAUUAUUGUAUUUCCUUGUUCAUGAUAAUUAUCUUUAUUCAUGCUAUAAUUGUAUUAUCCAGAAAUCGUAAUAGACGUGUGAAUACAUAGACCAUAAUAUGUCCCUAGUGAGCCUCUAGUUGACUAGCUCGUUGAUCAACAGAUAGUCAUGGUUUCCUGACUAUGGACAUUAGAUGUCGUUGAUAAUGGGAUCACAUCAUUAAGAUAAUGAUGUGAUGGACAAGACCCAAUCCUAAGCAUAGCACAAGAUCGUGUAGUUCGUUUGCUAGAGCUUUUCCAAUGUCAAGUAUCUUCUCCUUAGACCAUGAGAUCGUGUAACUCCCGGAUACCGUAGGAGUCCUUUGGGUGUACCAAACGUCACAACGUAACUGGGUGACUAUAAAGGUGCACUACAGGUAUCUCCGAAAGUGUUUGUUGGGUUGACACCGAUCGAGACUGGGAUUUGUCACUCCGUAUGACGGAGAGGUAUCGCUGGGCCCACUCGGUAGUGCAUCAUCAUAAUGAGCUCAAAGUGACCAAGUGUCUGGUCACGGGAUCAUGCAUUACGGUACGAGUAAAGUGAAUUGCCGGUAACGAGAUUGAACGAGGUAUUGGGAUACCGACGAUCGAAUCUCGGGCAAUUAAAAUACCGAUUGACAAAGGGAAUUGAAUACGUGGUUGCUUGAAUCCUCGACAUCGUGGUUCAUCCGAUGAGAUCAUCGAGGAGCAUGUGGGAGCCAACAUGGGUAUCCAGAUCCCGCCGUUGGUUAUUGACUGGAGAGCCGUCUCAGUCAUGUCUACGUGUCUCCCGAAUCCGUAGGGUCUACACACUUAAGGUUCGGUGACGCUAGGGUUGUAGAGAUAUGAGUAUGCAGCAAACCGAAAGUUGUUCGGAGUCCCGGAUGAGAUCCCGGACAUCACGAGGAGUUCCGAAUGGUCCGGAGAUAAAGAAUUAUAUAUAGGAAGUGCAUUUUCAGCGAUCGGGAGAGUUUCGGGGGUCACCGGUAUUGUACCGGGACCACCGGAAGGGUCCCGGGGGUCCACUGGGUGGGGCCACCUAUCCCGGAGGGCCCCGUGGGCUGAAGUGGGGAGGGGACCAGCCCAUAGUGGGCUGGUGCGACCCCCUUGCCCCACCUACGCCUAGGGUUGGAAACCCUAGGGUGGGGGGCGCCUCCACUUGCCUUGGGGGGCACUCCACCCCCCUGGCCGCCGCCCCCUUGGGAGAUCCCAUCUCCAGGGCCGGCGCCCCCCCAGGGGGCCUAUAUAAAGGAGGGGGAGGGGAGGGCAGCCGCACCCUGAAGUCUUGGCGCCUCCCUCCCCCCUUGCUACACCUCCUCCUCCCGUAGUCGCUUGGCGAAGCCCUGCCGGAACUCUGCUGUAUCCACCACCACGCCGUCGUGCUGCUGGAUCUUCAUCAACCUCUCCUUCCCCCUUGCUGGAUCAAGAAGGAGGAGACGUCACGCUGACCGUACGUGCGUUGAACGCGGAGGUGCCGUCCGUUCGACGCUAGGAUCUCUGGUGAUUUGGAUCACGACGAGUACGACUCCCUCAACCCCGUUCUCUUGAACGCUUCCGCUCGCGAUCUACAAGGGUAUGUAGAUGCACUCCCCUCUCUCGUUGCUAGAUGAACUCAUAGAUUGAUCUUGGUGAACGUAGGAAAUUUUUUAUUUUAUGCAACGUUCCCCAACAGUGGCAUCAUGAGCUAGGUCUAUGCGUAGUUCUCUAUUGCACGAGUAGAACACAAAUCUGUUGUGGGCGUAGAUGUUGUCAACUUUCUUGCCACUACUAGUCUUAUUUUGCUUCAGCGGUAUUGUGGGAUGAAGUGGCCCGGACCGACCUUACACGUACGCUUACGUGACACAGGUUCCACCGACUGACAUGCACUAGUUGCAUAAGGUGGCUAGCGGGUGUCUGUCUCUCCCACUUUAGUUGGAGCGGAUUCGAUGAAAAGGGUCCUUAUGAAGGGUAAAUAGAAGUUGACAACUCACGUUGUGGCUUUUUUGUUGGUAAGAAAACAUUCUUGCUAGAACCCUAUUGCAGCCACGUAAAAGAUGCAACAACAAUUAGAGGACGUCUAACUUGUUUUUGAAGCAAUUGCCUUGUGAUGUGAUAUGGCCAAAAGUUGUGAUGAAUGAUGAAUGAUAUAUUGUGAUGUAUGAGAUCAUGUUCUUGUAAUAGGAAUCACGACUUGCAUGUCGAUGAGUAUGAAAACCGGCAGGAGCCAUAGGAGUGGUCUUAAUUAUUGUAUGACCUGCGUGUCAAUGAUUUAACGCCAUGUAAUUACUUUACUUUAUUGCUAAACCGUUAGCCAUAGUAGUAGAAGUAAUAGUUGGCGAGCAACUUCAUGGAGGCACGAUGAUGGAGAUCAUGAUGAUGGAGAUCAUGGUGUCAUGCCGGUGACAAAGAUGAUCAUGGAGCCCCGAAGAUGGAGAUCAAAGGAGCUAUAUGAUAUUGGCCAUAUCAUGUCACUACUAUAUAAUUGCAUGUGAUGUUUAUUAUGUUUAUGCAUCUUCUUUACUUAGAACGACUGUAGUAAAUAAGAUGAUCCCUUAUAAUAAUUUCAAGAAAGUGUUCUCCCUAACUGUGCGUCGUUGCUAAAGUUCGUCGUUUCGAAGCACCACGUGAUGAUCGGGUGUGAUAGAUUCCUACGUUCACAUACAACGGGUGUAAGACAGUUUUACACAUGCAAAACACUUAGGUUAAACUUGACGAGCCUAGCAUGUAUAUACAUGGCCUCAGAACACAGAGACCGAAAGGUCGAACAUGAGUCAUAUGGAAGAUACGAUCAACAUGGAGAUGUUCACCAAUGAUGACUAGUCCGUCUCACGUGAUGAUCGGACACGUCCUAGUCGACUCGGAUCGUGUAACACUUAGAUGACUAGAGGGAUGUCAAAUCUGAGUGGGAGUUCACUAAAUUAGAUGAACUUAAUUAUCAUGAACUUAGUCUAAAAUCUUUGCAAAAAUGUCUUGUAGAUCAAAUGGCCAACGCUCAUGUCAACAUGAACUUCAACGAGUUCCUAGAGAAAACCAAGCUGAAAGAUGAUGGCAGCAACUAUAUGGACUGGGUCCAGAACCUGAGGAUCAUCCUCAUAGCUUCCAAGAAAGCAUAUGUCCUAGAAGGACCACUAGGUGAUGCACCCAUCCCAGAGAACCAAGAUGUUAUGAACGCUUGGCAGUCACGUGCUGAUGAUUACUCCCUCGUUCAGUGCGGCAUGCUUUACAGCUUAGAACCGGGUCUCCAAAAGCGUUUUGAGAAACACGGAGCAUAUGAAAUGUUCGAGGAGCUGAAAAUGGUUUUCCAAGCUCAUGCCCGGGUCGAGAGAUAUGAAGUCUCCGACAUGUUCUAUAGUUGUAAGAUGGAGGAAAAUAGUUCUGUCAGUGAGCACAUACUCAAAAUGUCUGGGUUGCACAACUGCCUAACCCAGCUGGACAUCAACCUCCCGGACGAGGCGGUCAUUGACAGAAUCCUUCAGUCGCUCCCACCAAGCUACAAGAGAUUUGUGAUGAACUACAAUAUGCAGGGGAUGGUGAAAACUAUUCCUGAAGUAUUUUCAAUACUGAAGUCUGCAGAGGUAGAAAUCAAGAAAGAACAUCAAGUGUUGAUGGUCAAUAAAACCACCAAGUUCAAGAAGGGCAAGGGUAAGAAAAACUUCAAGACGGACGGCAAGGAUGUUGCCGCACCCGGUAGGCCAGUUGCCGGGAAGAAGUCAAAGAAUGGACCCAAGCCUGAGACUGAGUGCUUUUAUUGCAAAAGGAAGGGUCACUGGAAGCGGAACUGCCCCAAAUAGUUAGCGGACAAGAAGGCCGGCAACACUAAAGGUAUAUGUGAUAUACAUGUAAUUGAUGUGUACCUUACCAGUACUCGUAGUAACUCCUGGGUAUUUGAUACCGGUGCCGUUGCUCAUAUUUGUAACUCACAGUAGGAGCUGCGGAAUAAGCGGAGACUGGCGAAGGACGAGGUGACGAUGCGCGUCGGGAAUGGUUCCAAGGUCGAUGUGAUUGCCGUCGGCACGCUGCCUCUACAUUUACCCACGGGAUUAGUUUUAAACCUCAAUAAUUGUUAUUUAGUGCCAAGUUUGAGCAUGAACAUUGUAUCUGGAUCUCGUUUAAUACGAGAUGGCUACUCAUUUAAAUCCGAGAAUAAUGGUUGUUCUAUUUAUAUGAGAGAUAUGUUUUAUGGUCAUGCCCCGAUGGUCAAUGGUUUAUUCUUAAUGAAUCUCGAACGUAAUGUUACACAUAUUCAUAGUGUGAAUACCAAAAGAUGUAAAGUUGAUAACGAUAGUCCCACAUACUUGUGGCACUGCCGCCUUGGUCAUAUUGGUGUCAAGCGCAUGAAGAAGCUCCAUGAUGAUGGACUUUUAGAGUCUGUCGAUUAUGAAUCAUUUGACACAUGCGAACCAUGCCUCAUGGGCAAAAUGACCAAGACUCCGUUCUCCGGAACAAUGGAGCGAGCAACCAACUUAUUGGAAAUCAUACAUACUGAUGUGUGUGGUCCAAUGAGCGUUGAGGCUCGCGGAGGAUAUCAUUAUGUUCUCACUCUCACUGAUGACUUGAGUAGAUAUGGGUAUGUCUACUUGAUGAAACACAAGUCUGAGACCUUUGAAAAGUUCAAGGAAUUUCAGAAUGAGGUAGAGAAUCAACAUGACCGAAAGAUAAAGUUCCUACGAUCAGAUCGUGGAGGAGAAUAUUUAAGUCACGAAUUUGGUACGCACUUAAGGAAAUGUGGAAUCAUUCCACAACUCACGCCGCCUGGAACACCUCAGCGUAACGGUGUGUCCGAAUGUCGUAAUCGCACUCUAUUGGAUAUGGUGCGAUCUAUGAUGUCUCCUACCGAUUUACUGCUAUCAUUUUGGGGAUACGCUCUAGAGACAGCUACAUUCACUUUAAACAGGGCUCCGUCUAAAUCCGUUGAGACGACACCGUAUGAAUUAUGGUUUGGGAAGAAACCUAAGCUAUCGUCUCUAAAAGUUUGGGGAUGCGAUGCUUAUGUCAAGAAACUUCAACCUGAAAAGCUCGAACCCAAGUCGGAAAAAUGCGUCUUCAUAGGAUACCCUAAGGAAACCAUUGGGUAUACCUUCUACUUAAGAUCCGAGGGCAAGAUCUUUGUAGCCAAGAACGGAUCCUUUCUGGAAAAAGAGUUUCUCUCGAAAGGAGUAAGUGGGAGGAAAGUAGAACUCGAUGAAGUAGUACCUCUUGAACCGGAAAGUAGUGGAGCUCAGGAAAAUGUUCCUGUGGUGCCUACACCGACUAGAGAGGAAAUUAAUGAUGAUGAUCACAGUACUUUGGAUCAAGUUGCUACUGAACUUCGUAGGUCCACAGGGACACAUUCCAAACCAGAGUGGUAUGGCAACCCUGUCCUGGAAAUCAUGUUUUUAGACAACGGUGAACCUUCGAACUAUGAAGAAGCGAUGGCGGGCCCAGAUUCCAACAAAUGGCUUGAAGGCAUGCAAUCCGAGAUAGAAUCCAUGUAUGAAAACAAAGUAUGGACUUUGACAGACUUGCCCGAUGAUCAGCGAGCGAUAGGAAACAAAUGGAUCUUUAAGAAGAAGACAGACGCGGAUGGUAAUGUUACCAUCUAUAAAGCUCGACUUGUCGCUAAGGGUUAUCGGCAAGUUCAAGGGGUUGACUACGAUGAAACUUUCUCUCCCGUAGCAAAGCUGAAGUCCGUCUGAAUCAUGUUAGCAAUUGUCGCAUACUAUGAUUAUGAGUUAUGGAAGAUGGACGACAAAACGGCAUUCCUUAACGGGCAUCUUAAGGAAGAACUGUAUAUGAUGCAGCCGGAGGGUUUUGUCGAUCCUAAGAAUGAUAAUAAGGUAUGCAAGCUCCAGCAAUCCAUUUAUGGGCUGGUGCAAGCAUCUCGGAGUUGGAACAUUCGCUUUGAUGAGAUUUUCAAAGCGUUUGGGUUUAUGAAGACUUAUGGAGAAGCCUGCGUUUACAAGAAAGUGAGUGGGAGCUCUGUAGCAUUUCUCAUAUUAUAUGUAGAUGACAUACUUUUGAUGGGAAAUGAUAUAAAACUUUUGGACAGCAUUAAGGCCUACUUGAAUAAGUGUUUUUCAAUGAAGGACCUUGGAGAAGCUGCUUACAUAUUAGGCAUCAAGAUCUAUAGGGAUAGAUCGAGACGCCUCAUAGGUCUUUCACAAAGCACAUACCUUAAUAAAAUAUUGAAGAAGUUUAAAAUGGAUCAGUCCAAGAAAGGGUUCUUGCCUGUAUUGCAAGGUGUGAAGUUGAGCUUGGCUCAAUGCCCGACCACGGCAGAAGAUAAAGAAGAGAUGAGUGUCAUCCCCUAUGCCUCAACCAUAGGAUCUAUUAUGUAUGCCAUGUUGUGCACCAGACCUGAUGUAAACCUUGCCGUAAGUUUGGUAGGAAGGUACCAAAGUAAUCCCGGCAAGGAACACUGGACAGCGGUCAAGAAUAUCCCGAAGUACCACAAAAGGACAAAGGACAUGUUUCUCGUUUAUGGAGGUGACAAAGAGCUCGUCGUAAAGGGUUACGUCGAUGCUAGCUUCGACACAGAUCUGGAUGACUCUAAGUCACAAACCGGAUACGUGUAUAUGUUGAAUCGUGGAGCAGUAAGCUGGUGCAGUUGCAAGCAGAGCGUCGUGGCGGGAUCUACAUGUGAAGCGGAGUACAUGGCAGCCUCGGAGGUAGCGCAUGAAGCAAUAUGGAUGAAGGAGUUCAUCACCGACCUAGGAGUCAUACCCAAUGCGUCGGGGCCAAUCACUCUCUUCUGUGACAACACUGGAGCUAUUGCCCUUGCCAAGGAGCCCAGGUUUCACAAGAAGACCAGGCACAUCAAGCGUCGUUUCAACUCCAUUCGUGAAAAUGUUCAAGAUGGAUACAUAGAUAUUUGCAAAGUACAUACGGAUCUGAAUAUCGCAGAUCCGUUGACUAAACCUCUUCUGCGAGCAAAACAUGAUCAACACCAGAACUCUAUGGGUGUUCGAUUCAUCACAAUGUAACUAGAUUAUUGACUAUAGUGCAAGUGGGAGACUGUUGGAAAUAUGCCCUAGAGGCAAUAAUAAAAGGAUUAUUAUUAUAUUUCCUUGUUCAUGAUAAUUGUCUUUAUUCAUGCUAUAAUUGUAUUAUCCGGAAAUCGUAAUACACGUGUGAAUACAUAGACCAUAAUAUGUCCCUAGUGAGCCUCUACUUGACUAGCUCGUUGAUCAACAUAUAGUCAUGGUUUCCUGACUAUGGACAUUAGAUGUCGUUGAUAAUGGGAUCACAUCAUUAGGAGAAUGAUGUGAUGGACAAGACCCAAUCCUAAGCAUAGCACAAGAUCGUGUAGUUCGUUUGCUAGAGCUUUUCCAAUGUCAAGUAUCUUCUCCUUAGACCAUGAGAUCGUGUAACUCCCGGAUACCGUAGGAGUGCUUUGGGUGUACCAAACGUCACAACGUAACUGGGUGACUAUAAAGGUGCACUACAGGUAUCUCCGAAAGUGUAUGUUGGGUUGACACGGAUCGAGACUGGGAUUUGUCACUCCGUAUGACGUAGAGGUAUCUCUGGGUCCACUCGGUAGUGCAUCAUCAUAAUGAGCUCAAAGUGACCAAGUGUCUGGUCACGGGAUCAUGCAUUACGGUACGAGUAAAGCGACUUGCCGGUAAAGAGAUUGAACAAGGAAUUGGGAUACCGAUGAUCGAAUCUCGGGCAAGUAAAAUACCGAUUGACAAAGGGAAUUGAAUACGGGGUUGCCUGAAUCCUCGACAUCGUGGUUCAUCCGAUGAGAUCAUCGAGGAGCAUGUGGGAGCCAACAUGGGUAUCUAGAUCCCGCUGUUGGUUAUUGACCGGAGAGCCAUCUCGGUCAUGUCUACGUGUCUCCCGAACCCGUAGGGUCUACACACUUAAGGUUCGGUGACGCUAGGGUUGUAUAGAUAUGAGUAUGCAGCAAACUGAAAGUUGUUCGGAGUCCCGGAUGAGAUCCCGGACGUCACGAGGGGUUCCGGAAUGGUCCGGAGAUAAAGAAUUAUAUAUAGGAAGUGCAGUUUCGGCCAUCGGGAGAGUUUCGGGGGUCACCGGUAUUGUACCGGGACCACCGGAAGGGUCCCUGGGGUCCACCGGGUGGGGCCACCAAUCCCGGAGGGCCCCGUGGGCUGAAGUGGGGAGGGGACCAGCCCCUGGUGGGCUGGUGCGCCCCCCUUGGGCCCCCCCUCCCGCGCCUAGGGUUGGAAACCCUAGGGUGGGGGGGGCGCCUCCACUUGCCUUGGAGGGCACUCCACCCCCUGGCCGCCGUCCCCUUGGGAGAUCCCAUCUCUAGGGCCGGCUCCCCCCCAGGGGUCCUAUAUAAAGGAGGGGGAGGGGAGGGCAGCCGCACCCUGAAGUCUUGGCGCCUCCCUCCCCCCUUGCUACACCUCCUCCUCCCGUAGUCGCUUGGCGAAGCCCUGCCGGAACUCUGCUGCAUCCACCACCACGUCGUCGUGCUGCUGGAUCUUCAUCAACCUCUCCUCCCCCCUUGCUGGAUCAAGAAGGAGGAGACGUCACACUGACCGUACGUGUGUUGAACGCGGAGGUGCCGUCCGUUCGGCGCUAGGAUCUCCGGUGAUUUGGAUCAUGACGAGUACGACUCCCUCAACCCCAUUCUCUUAAACGCUUCCGCUCGCGAUCUACAAGGGUAUGUAGAUGCACUCCCCUCUCUUGUUGCUAGAUGAACUCAUAGAUUGAUCUUGGUGAACGUAGGAAAUUUUUAUUUUAUGCAACGUUCCCCAACACUUUGGUGAGGCGGUGAUGGUACACCUAGCGCCGGAUCCAUGCAUCAUUUGGGCGGACGCAUUGGAUUCCCCGCGGAAGGAGUUCGAGUGUUGCCGUUGCCAUCGGGCAGCCUCCUCCCGGGAGCGGUGGAGCGCAAGCUGGAUGGCCAGCUCCUCCUAGGAGCCGCGUGGGAUGAGUUCGGGGUUGACGGAUCUGGAGGUGUAACACUGGGAUCCGCCUCCUGCCAUGCCGAAGAAGGCCAUAAGAUCGUCGAACGGGAGCUUGGGUGGCGGCAUAGAGUGGAGUAAAGUGGCUAGGGUUUGGUCCGGCAAGCGGAUGGGGAGGAAUAUAUGUGGGGUCGGGUGGGCCAGCGUGGACCGGGACCGACAUGGCGGACGCGCCUGGGCGCCGCAUAUUCUUCCUAGAUUUGGGCUGGAUAUCAGGGGUGCUGGUUAGCUUGGGCGUUUGAGGCCCAUCUGGAUAGUUUUUCUGUGACCUGACCGUUCGUCCGGGCGUUUGAGGUGGGUUUGGGACGCCCAGGUGUAAAUGCUCUUAGACCAUGUAGUACCUUGAGGAGGAUGGUGGGUCCAUGGAACAACUACAGCCUCUCCAUUUUGUUUGGGCGCAGGGCGAUAACGGAGUUAUCUCUACUCCUAAAGAGGGAGUCGUUAGUCUCCCUUCCACGGUUUUUUUGUCUUACCUCCCAUCUUUGUUUCAUUUUUUCCGUCUCUUUUUCCACCACCGUCUGUUUUUUCUCAUCUCCACCUGGCAUGUAACGAAAAAAAAUCUGUUUCAUAGGUCGAUUGUCAAGGUCCGAGAGCCGCCGCCACCUUCAUUGCGGACCUCUAGGUCGCCGUCCGGACACACCGCCGAGGUCCGCAAUCACCGACGUUGAGGUCCGAGAGGAGCUGCCGCCCCCUUCAUUCUGGGCCUGGACGCUUCAUGGUCCUCCUACCUCUCCCUUUCCUCUCCCCUUCUCUCCCGCUUCCAUCCUCACUCGCCGCCCCUGCCUCUCNNNNNNNNNNNNNNNNNNNNNNNNNNNNNNNNNNNNNNNNNNNNNNNNNNNNNNNNNNNNNNNNNNNNNNNNNNNNNNNNNNNNNNNNNNNNNNNNNNNNNNNNNNNNNNNNNNNNNNNNNNNNNNNNNNNNNNNNNNNNNNNNNNNNNNNNNNNNNNNNNNNNNNNNNNNNNNNNNNNNNNNNNNNNNNNNNNNNNNNNNNNNNNNNNNNNNNNNNNNNNNNNNNNNNNNNNNNNNNNNNNNNNNNNNNNNNNNNNNNNNNNNNNNNNNNNNNNNNNNNNNNNNNNNNNNNNNNNNNNNNNNNNNNNNNNNNNNNNNNNNNNNNNNNUCUCUCUCUCUCUCUCUCUCUCUCUUGUUUCCUACCCCACUGGUUCUACAAUGCUGGUCGUCGCCUUGGGUUGGCGAACCUAGCUACUGUGGGUUGGGAUUCAAAUGCCACAUCAUCUUUGGGACGCGGCCGUGACGGCUUGGCCUGAUGCCUGCGAAGUAGGGCGAGCAGAGACAACAUGAGACUGCGCCGCUGUGCUGUUCGCCGUGACGCGCUGUCACGCUGUGUAGAUGGAGGAUGCGUGCCCAAGCCUUGUUGUGCCUGUCUUCCCGUGCGGUAGUCGGGAUCUGGACUGGAUCGGGGUUGAGUUCGACACCACCGAACCCCGGCUUCCAGGAGACCAGGCGCCUCCUCUCCUCAUCACCCGUCUCACCAGAGGCAUGUGCAGAAUUCCGUACACCAUCUGCGCAAACAUGGUGGUCGACGACGCUCUGGAUGUGGUCUACGUGAGGACUAGGUUCCAUCAUUAACAUGUACCCUGGCAAGGUAUGUGCUAUGGGAUGUAAACUCUCGAUUUUAUCUUCAUUUUAGUUGCCUUCAUCUCAUGCUUUGUUCGUUCCAUAGGCAUUUGUCAUGAAUCUAUUUUCAGGAGGGUGAUGUUAACGAUUUCAAAAACUUGAUAGCAGGGUAUGGCUAUAGUUAUUGGUCAUGCAUUAUCGCGAGGCUUGACAAGCAUACCAUAAAAUGGUUUUUAUUUAUGCUCUCGUAGGUUAAACCAAUCUCUGUCAUUAUGAAAUUGGCAUAGCUGAACAUGAUCAGGACUUCAGCAGGGCAGGGUCAUUACUUUGGAGUUUCAGCACUCAUAGUUGGUGAGUGCUUAUGUCCUAAAAUUUUGGAUGUGACUAAACAUAGGCUGGUAUGGCUAAUCUUUUUUGCUUUUCUGUCCUUGCUCUUCACGGAAUCUUCAGGUUUACGGAUUGAUAAUUGUGAUCUAUGUUUCAACCACUUCCCAAUGUUUUACUUGAUGAGAAGGUUCUAAUUUUAUUUUAUUUUAUUUCACUUGAUGAGAAGGGUCCAUGUUUCACCGACUUUGUACAAGUGUGUUUGCUUAGCUAGAUUUCUGCCCUUAUUUUCUAUUUGACAUCCCUCAAUCAUUUUCUGCAGAUUCACUUCGUUCGUAUUCUAUAUUGUUGUAAGUGCACCUAGGGAUAUUAUAGUAGUUCUUAUCUGCAGUUUACUACAACUGGUGACCACAUCUCCAUAUUAUUAUCUUUAAAAUGUACUUUCAAAAAGUAAACUAAUUAACGUUAACCUUCCGCUCUGUAGAAACCACAUAAUUUCAACUCAUUAAUCAUUUUUUAGCGGAAAGGCAGUAAUCAAUGAUGGCGAUUUAAACUGUACUCCUUAUAGUAUUGAUAUUCCCCAUGCACCGGUAUGUUCUCGUACAUCCGUGAAACUUCUGAGUCAAAAUGUUAUAUCCUUAUGUAUACAGUUCAUCAUUGGUUGUUACAGAAUUUCCCAGUGGGCACAACCUCAACCCACACCUCCCACCAGGAUCUUCUCUCUGCCGGAGCCAUCCUACCUGCAGCCAGCUCCCCCUCGUACGCCCUGAUCUCCACCUUGUGUGCUGGUCCAUUCAUCAUAGCUAGAAGGUAAUGACUAAUGAGCAUGUCAUCUCUGCCCCUCUCAAUUUCAUCCUUGUGUUGUUUAUUUUUCAGAGAAUGUGGUAUUAUGUAGCCCCUCUCUGUUGAUGAAUUGAAUGUAUAGAUUAUAUACUAGCAAAAGAGCCCGUGCGUUGCAACGGGAUAAUAAAACCGACGAAUUGUACUCGUGUGACUUGAGCUUUGGUUGGUUUCACACGCUUAUACUUCUUAGUUUUCUUGUAAAAUAAUAUGGCGGUAUUUAUACUAUUCAGGGUUGGUUAUCCAUCCGUCAGGUUAUUCAGGGCGUAAAUUUACGGAAAGAAGCAUAUUGUGACGGUGAAUGCGACGGAGUCAAUCCGUGCUUUAUUAUUUGGAAAAGAGAAAUAUGCCUAUGCAUUGCUACGGCUCUAGAAUAAACCUAUACAUGGUCAAAAUACAGGACAGCAACAUGUCUUCUUUUAGUUUUUUUCAAACCAUUAGAAAUAUGUUAGAUUUUACUUAAGUUUAGUUCCCUUAUUCCACCAUAAAGCAUUCCGGUUGAAAAGGAGAUGGCGUCUGUCAUUUACUUUCUAGAAAAACAUAGAGUCGAUAAACUUUCCUGUAUCUUCAGCCAUAGGUCCUUUACUCAUAUUUAAAAAAUUGUAAUAUUUAAUCCAAGCAAAAUUAUAUGAAUUACAGGAAAAAUUGUACUCAUGUGACUUGAGCUUUGGUUGGUUUCACACGCUCAUACUUCUUAGUUUUUUUGUAAAAUAAUACGGCGGUAUUUAUACUAUUCAGGGUUGGUUAUCCAUCCGUCAGGUUAUUCUUGAAGCUAGCUAGUAAUCACCAUGAGUUCAGUUGGCGUUCCAAGUAAUCACCAAGCCAAUCGACCGUGAGCAUCCGGACGUUAGCUGCGAAUGACAGACGGCUGGAUGGGCUAAUGAAGAUUAAACCUCAAUUUUGUACGCGGUAGUGCUGCAGACCUUCUGCAGUGAGACUUCGAUCAGAAGGACUUACCAGACAGGGGCACGGAGGAUUUAGAUAUCCUACUGCAGCUGCCGCUGCUCACCAAGGAGUUGCUCCCGUGCCGCUCGAAGGUCGCCAGCUCGGGGCAGAGCAGGAGCUUAAAGGCCAUGGACACGCCAGACCUGAAGGACGGCAGUGGCAAGGGUGGCGCAGGUGGGCGACGUUGCUCGCGCUCGGGGCGGACGCCGGCGGCGCUCGAUCUUGCCUAGAGCACGGAGGGGACAGGGGAGCAGGGGAAGAGGUAGGCAGUAAACCAGAUAGGAAUGGCACAUGUAUCGCAUCUGCCCUCGGCGGAGCUCCGCUCUGUCGUCAACAUCCGCGACGGACCCCACGAAGCCCAUCAUGUCGGCGUCCUUGAGGAACCGCCCCUGCUUGCCGCGGCCGACCGCAAUUUCGGAGAAAUUGGAGAUGGGGGAUCGUCCGCGGUUCGGCAACGGGUACGGGGAGGAGUCCGGGGCAAAGACUGUUCCGCUCGACCGGCCGGAGGAGCGCAGCCGCUCCGGUGGCCAGAGAUCGAGGGGGUGGCGGCGGUGUCCAACCCCCAACAGGCUGUGUUCUUUUUCUGACGGGACGAAAAAGGGGAAUCCCUUCUCUGGAACCGCUGUCGUUGCUCGACUGUGCUCCAAGCCGCCGCCGCCACCGCCGUCGCCUGAUUGCUCUCUCCCCGUCAACCCCCCCUCUCUCUCGAUCCAGCGACGCGUGUUUAGAUCGAAGCCCCCUGAAUUCCACGACCGAUCUGAUUCUAUCGAUCGAGGCAGCUCUGUUUCGAUUUGUAUAUGUACUUUUUAGGAGGAGUGUCCCGUGUUUGUUUCUGAUAGCCAUCUAUUUGUUUUAUGCUCAACAGGCCCAUUAGCCCUUGAUCUGGCCCAGGGAGUCUAGCGACCCAGGGAGUCUAGCGGGGAAGAGAGCGGGUGCGACCGAUUGGAUGCACACGACGUGGUUGGCCAUCUGAAUUAGUACCACCUUGAAUAUAUUUUAAAAUUAAAAUUGAAAACGUAAAAUCACGGAAAGAAGCGCAUUGUGACGGUGAAUCCGGAGACCCAAUCCAUGCUUUAUUAUUAGGGAGAGAUUACUAAAGAAAUCCGCCUUAAAAGGCGUUCCACUAAAAACGCAGUAGGAUCCUAUUUCAAGUUCCUUGCACUUAAACCGCAAAAGGGAAAGGCAAUUUUCCUAACUUUUCCCGUUAACGCAGAGCAGUCAGAUGAAUAACAGUAGGAUUGUUCAGUUUGUAUGCUCGUCCACUACUUCGGUUUAUUCAGGUUGCAUGAUACAGUAAUUUUGCAAAUGUGUCAGACUAUCUAUUUAGAUUAGCUAAUAGAAUUUAUUUCCACUAUGUGUUGUGCGGAGGAUAGAUCAGCAGGACUAAACAAUAUGUGUCUAACACCAUUUGCACAAUUCCCUUAAACUGCCCGCAGUAGCUGACCAAGUACCACCAAUGUUGUCAUCAGUCUUGAAGGGGAUUCAAAACCCGGUAGGAUCGCACACCGUAUGGCUUGGACAUCGGAAGAAGAUGCAAGAUUGGUAAUGAGAUUACUUGCCUCAGUGCUCAAUUUAUGAUCCUAUUCAUUUGAACUGAUUUACUUGUUUGUCUCAGCUAAUCUAUCCUCAAACGCAGACAACCAUUUGGUCGAAAACCUCAAAUGUUUCCAUCGAGAUAAUAACAAGAAGAACAUCAAGUACUGGGAUGACAUUGUUGUUACAACAAUAGUAAUAGGCCAAGUCACCGGAAGGGAGAUGCUCGUCGUGUAUGAUGGACAUGGUGGCUCGGAGGUGAGGUUAUCUUCUCUUGAAAAUCUUGACCUAGACAAAAGAAAUUAACCUUGAGGCCAUGGGAAGCAGGAAAGCGAAGGUCACGAAUGGCCGCACAAUUUGGUGGUGUUUGUGUGUUGUGCGGUCAAGCCUUUCUACGGGCUCCAUGGUGAUGCAGCAGCAUCACCUUCUUACGGAGAUGAGAUGAUGGGAUGAGGCCGCAUGGUGUUACCUAUUGUUGUUGUGUUAGCUUUGCUGUGUAUGUGUGCGUGUGAGAGAGAUCAGCGGCUGAUUGGGGAUGGUUAUGUUGUUGCUAGAUUAUAAAACAUGUCGUUUAAGUGAAUAUCAACUGUCGGAAAGAAAGCAAUGGUACUGUGAUUCUACUGUUUUAUGCUAGACGUUAAAGAAUACUACUUGCAAGCAGUUAGCGACGAACUGAGGGUUUGCAAGUAGUACUUUUUCCCAGUUGUGCUUCUACUUGCCUGAAUUUAAGUAGGAGAAAUUACCAGUUGUGUUUUUUUGAAAUAAUCUUGAUUUAACUAUGAUUUUCAGAAACUGGUACAGCUUUAACACGGUUCCUUGCUCACUGUGGUACAUUAAAACAAUAAAUUGAGGAGUUUAGAGCCUGCCUAGAGACCUCACAUAGCACCGCCUCAUUUGGCAGCGACAUCAUGAUGAUCUUGUCUGGUCUACUCCAAGUCUCCGCUUGUGGUUUGUGUUGGAAAUAUGAGCAAUUUACCGAAUGAUUUUAUUAACAAAAAUACUAGAUAAAGCAUGACUAAAAUAGGAAAUAUAAAGAAAGUCAUGCAGUCUGACAGAGAGAAGGUAAACAUCGUCUGCAUAAAUGAACUUGAGCUAAACACAUCUAGAACAGACAAUAGAUGAAGUUGCUCAUACGAAACAGAACCUAACAUACGUAGGGCAGAAACUAGAGCCAAGAACUGUAGCAGGACUUCUAACAGAAAGGAGAAGAACACGUACGGCAUAGCAGCAGCAGAAGAGCUGGACUUGGGGUCAGUGUCCUCGCCUGCCAUGUCGUCGAGGAGGUCGUGGACGUCGGGGAAGAAGUCGUCGUCGGGGAAGUAGUCGUCGGCGACCGGAUCGUCUGUGAUGAAGCAGCCAGUAGUCGCGCUGAGCGCUUCCCAAAAACCUUAUCACCCUUCUCCCGUACAUGACUCAAAAGGUGCGGUCUCUGAGGCCUACUGUCCCAACAUGCGGUGCACGCCGCAAGUCGGGAUGAGGAAGACAGCAGCAGCUCAGAGAUGGAACCGAUGGCGAGGGAAGGAGCAGUUCUGGUGCGUAUCUCUGAAAGGAGCGACCUCCCUUUUAUAGGCGCAAGAGAAGGAGGCGAGAGGCUGCGCCGGGAGCUGAAGGGAAUGUGGGAGACGAAACGAACAAGCAGCAGCUGAAGGGGCGCGCCGUUCGGAUUCAGUGUCCAGGCACAGAAAAAAACUGUUUCAGCUUCCGAGUGACCUUUCGUAUACACGUAGUGCGUGGCAAAACUUUAGACAUCGGCUCAUUCCCGCAACCCGCGGCGUGACGAGGCGGGCGGCGGAGGAGGAGCGCGCGUGGAUGUCCCUCUUGUUCUCAUGCUCAUACAAGUGGGGAAGGAGUCUCCCUUAUAAAGAGGUCCAACUCCCUCUAAACUAGCAAGGUGGGACUAAACUUUAGUUCCACCUCUUACCUUGCAUGAAUGGGCUGCGUGGGCCUCUAGGAUUUAUUAGGAAUUUCUGAAACUGCUAUUGGGCUAGGCCCAAAUAGACAAAAAUUCCAGCAGUUUGUGUUCUUUAGGUCUAUGGAAAACACCACGGUGCAUGCCAUUGUCCGUCAUUUCGGGAAAAAUGACCUAGAACAUGCAGAUAACUAAAUUUGGUGAAAGAACUGAAGAAAUCUACUACAUCACAAUAUGAAUUAAAAACAAACAAAAAAUUGGGCAGGACCUCUACAUAAAAAUGGACAGUUAUAGAAAUUUAGCGAAACGGAAAUAAAUCAACGGUUUGCCAAAAAUUUAACGCUUAUAGUAUGAAUCCCAAUAAGGAAAUGAAGACAUCUACUACAUCACAAUAUGAAUAAAACAUAAACAAAGAAAUUUGGCAUGACCUCUGCAUAAAAAUGGACAUAUUAAGUGAUUGAGAUCUGGCGAAACAGAAAUAAAUCAACGUAUCGCCAAAACUUUAGCACUUAUAGUAAGUAUACCUAUAAUGAAUUGAAGACAUCUACUACAACAUAUUAUUUAACUCAGUAUGAACAGAAAUAAUGUACGGAAUAAUACAAUAUAUAUGUGAGACUAUAUAAUUACCUCUAAUAUGAACAAAUUGGUAUUCCUUGUUCAUGGUUACGUAUGUGGCUGCUGCAACUAUAAUUGUUUUGAUGUGUGUGCCUUAAAAACUAUAGAACAAGAAACUACAACUAUAAAUGAACUCUAGUAUGAACAAAUCGAACUCAUUAACGAAUAUGAACACAUUAAUAGCAAUAACCCUAACCCUAGUCGAACGUACGUGUGCGUGUGCGUGGCGGCCGUGGCCGUGGGUGACAAGGAGGAAAGCCGGAGAGGGAGGCGCGGACGACAAUGUAUUACUGGAUGGAGCGGAGGGUGACGGGGCGGAUCGUCGGUGAGGGCGACGGGGCGGCGAAUCGAGGGCGAGGGAGACGCGCGGUGAACGGCUAGGGCGGCGACGAGUAAGCGGUGCUGAUGGCGGCAGCGGACAGGGACGACGACUUGGGUAGCAUGGAUGAGCCAACGGCGUCCGCGACGAGAUGGGGAAGAGUGGGAGUGAGAGAGUAAAUUGGGGUAGGAGGAGAGGGGGCACGUGCGUGUACGUAGGUCGAUUGAGUUUGUCGUAUGCGACCGGUGUGCCAAGCCUCCCAACACGGCUUCUUUGGGGUGGUGGGCGGAAAACCGAUUCGAUUUGGGGCAGAAUAGACAGCUAACUUAGUUGUGGCGGGUAGGGGCCCAUACCCGCCAGAGCUAAUAUCUGUAUAAAAUUUAUUUUUCUGGCGUGCAUUGCUGGCACUAAACUGUGGCCGGCCCAAUCGAGCGUCCGCCACUUUUGCAUUCAAGAACAAUGGCGGCCGAGGCUAACACCCGCCACUGAUCGCAUUCAUCAGGUGGCCAUACUCAGUGGUGCUUACUUGUGGCGGGUGGUGUUCUCCACCCGCCACUGCUACGCAUGUAACUCUGGAGGUCAUGUUGUGGCACCUGCCACUGGUACUUUUGCUAACUAGCAGUGGCAGGUGCUAUGUCCCGCCCGCCAAUCUUUCGAAUUCACCUAUAAGCCCUUUCCCAGUAGAGUAAUAAAGGACUUCUUGACAAGUCCGUGUAGAUUAAAGGUAUGUUAGUAGAUGGUGUAAUAAAUACAUGCUUUAGUGAUCUAAGGAUACAAAUAUGCCACUAUUUAUUUUGUAAAAGGUCGAAAUCAUUCUUAGAAAUCUUAGUAACAACAGUUCUCAUGAACAACUUUGACAAAAUGCAUCAAAUGUUACAAAUAAUACAUACAAACUUAGUUCAAUAAAUUAAUCAAUUGAAGUGAGAACAAACCUAAAUGUACUUAGAGUAAAUCAAUUAAUACGUGUAAAGCCAAUACUAAUCCAAUAUUUAUUAAUAAAUUUGCAUAGAAUUACAACCCUUUGACAUAGAAAGGGAAUAUGAUGAGUCAUGUAUAGAUAACUUGCACAACAUUCCUACCCUUGGCAUAAAAGGAGAAAUUGAUGAGUCAUGUAUUGAUAAUGUGCACAACAUCACUACCCUUGACAUAAAAGGAGAAUUUGAUGAGUCAUGUGUUGAUAACGUGUACAACAUUACUAUCAGUAUGUUCAACUUACCAUCAUAUUAUACAACACUACAAGUUAGUUUUAAAAAGAACAAGAGUCCAGAACGAAGAUCAGAAUACUUGCUUGAUCUAUCUUAACAACAUGCACUAGGACAAAAAUUUAGUCCCACGCAAGCUAUGAAGAUUUGUUUUAUGUAUAACUAUUUGUACAACAUGACAAACUUAGAUCCAAAAGGAAUGCAAUCCAGAUAAUUGUUUGACAUGUAAAGUGAAUAAGAUGAGUCAAUGCCAAUUAUCAAGUUUUCCUCACUCUUAGAUGAUAUGUACAAUAAAAAGACAACUUUGAUGAUCACUCUGAAAUUACGUUUGUAUGUAGUGCCACCAAACACAACAUCCCAAAUAUUAGUUUGAUAAGCAUCAAAUCACUUUUGAAAAAAGAAAGCAAUAAUGAAAAGAAACCUAACCAAGAUAGCUAUAAAAAGGCCUGCAAUAUGUAGACUCCAUACCAUCAUCCAUCCUUCACACACCUAGAGCACAAAUCAGCAAAUCCAAGUACGUAGUAGUUAACGCAAAUCGACCAUGAAGACCUUACUCAUCCUGACGAUCCUUGCGAUGGCAAUAACCAUCAGCACCGCCAAUAUGCAGGUCGACCCUAGUGGCCAAGUACAAUGGCCACAACAACAACUAGUCCCCCAACCCCAACAGCCAUUAUCCCAGCAACCGCAACAAGCAUUUCCCCAACCCCAACAAACAUUUCCCCAUCAACCACAACAACAAGUUCCCCAGCCUCAGCAACCACAACAACCAUUUCUCCAGCCCCAACAAGCAUUCCCCCAACAACCACAACAACCAUUCCCUCAGACUCAACAACCACAACAACCAUUUCCCCAGCAACCACAACAACCAUUUCCCCAGCAAUCACAACAACCAUUCCCCCAGACUCAACAACCACAACAACCAUUUCCCCAGCAACCACAACAACCAUUCCCCCAGACUCAACAACCACAACAACCAUUUCCCCAGUUCCAGCAACCACACCAACCUUUUCCCCAGCCCCAACAACAAUUCCCGCAGCCCCAACAACCGCAACAAUCAUUCCCCCAGCAACAACGACCGUUCAUUCAGCCAUCUCUACAACAACGUUUGAACCCAUGCAAGAAUAUCCUCUUGCAACAAUGCAAACCUGCGUCAUUGGUGUCAUCCCUCUGGUCGAUAAUCUGGCCACAAAGCGAUUGCCAAGUGAUGCAGCAACAAUGCUGCCAAGAACUAGCACAGAUUCCUCAGCAGCUCCAGUGCGCAGCCAUCCAUAGCGUCGUGCAUUCCAUCAUCGUGCAGCAGCAGCAACAACAACAACAACAACAACAACAACAACAAGGCAUGCAUAUCCUGCUGCCACUAUCUCAACAACAACAGUUGGGUCAAGGUACUCUCGUCCAAGGCCAGGGCAUCAUCCAACCUCAGCAACUAGCUCAAUUGGAGGCGAUCAGGUCAUUGGUGUUGCAAACUCUUCCAACCAUGUGCAACGUGUAUGUCCCACCUGAGUGCUCCAUCAUCAGGGCACCAUUUGCCAGCAUCAGGGCAUCAUCAGGGCACCAUUUGCCAGCAUAGUCGCGGGGAUUGGUGGCCAAUGAAAAAAGCAAGAUCUAUACUAAUAGAUAGAUGGAUCAUCGUUACUUAGCAGAUGCACCAAUCGAUGUAACGAUGACAAAUAAAGUGGCGUGCACCAUCAUGUGUGACCCCGACCAGUGCUAGUUCAAGCUUGGGAAUAAAAGACAAACAGAGUUCUUGUUUGCCAGCAUUGCUUGUCAUUGUUCCAUUCACCAUGUAUUUAGAUGUUCAUCCCUAACCGCAGUUCUAGGCUUACACAUCAACAGCUAGUUGCUUGUGCCGGCAGGUUCCUAUGUAAUCUACCGAUUAAUGGUUGACCUAUUAAUCCAGUUUAUAGGCCGAUUGAUCUAUUAAUUGCUGCUCCCAAACUGACCGACCAGCUAUCAGUUACCAUUUUGCUGAACAUUGCACACAGUAAUAACUCAACGUAUUUUAAUGUCUAGAAGUAAAAGGGCCAUUUUAGCAGCAAAACAAGCGCCUGAUUAGGAACCAUCCAUCACUUUAAAUGUUCACCAAGAUAUUUUUGCGUUGGUGCAAUUUUGAGAUUGGUGGCACCGAAACAUUCCUCAAAGCAAUUCUUUAUGGGACUCCAAAGAGGUGAAAAUAAAGUAAAGUUGCCACAUGGUAAAAUAUAAAUCAUGCGGCGAGCAAGAGAAAAUAUUGAGUUACGAUAGCAAGCGCCAAACAUGCCAUUAAACUCUUCAUAUGGUUUCGUGCAGAGAGGGGGGAUUUAGAGAUGACAAACAAAGCUUAAGUAGCAUCGGUUCUGAUUGUAGAAAUUUCUUUUACCUAUAGAAUAACUCGGUUGUUAUUUCUUUAACAAUGUAGUGUGAUAUUAACUUAUCUCAAUCUAGGAACACAAAGCAAAUAUUACAUGUGCUUCUAUGGAUUCCAAGCAGAUGAGAAAUCAUAUUGUGUAGAAGUUCAUUAGAAGGAUAUAAUAGUUUUGACCUAAACAAAUUUACUAUUGUACUCGUGUCUUAGAAAAUUAAAGCUGAAAAUCAACAUAACCAUUGGACACUUCGAAAGACAAGUGUGGGAAAUAAAUAGUAGGAUGUAAAUUUGAGUAGAGUGUUUGAUCAAAUAUUGAACAAAUAACCCACAAACUACUAAAACUCAUCUAUUAAUUCUACCAUAUAUGAACUGUCACAAUGAUAAAGCUAUGAUUUUUUUGACAAAUAUGUAUCCUAGAACUAAUACAAGUUCAAACAAAUCAGCCACAGAUCCCCGAGCCCAUCCAACCAGAUAGCUGAAACUGAAAGAAGCAUUAGCUUGAUUAGAGCACCUACAGCCUAACUUGACAAAUUUGACCCCAGAAACGCUCGCGGACGCGCCCGGUAGUAACCGGUCACGCCUAAAAUAUUUCAUUCUACAACCAGAUACCUCAAAUUAGAAACCUCAAAUCCAUAUUAUUACAUGCAACAUAAAUCGAUCUUUAAGCAGAGCACGUCCGGUGAUCGAAUGCUCUCCGGAGUGUUGGUCCAGUCACCGGCAAGUUAGAGUAGGGCAUGGGAUACGAGGCGGGUCACGGGACUCGAGGCGCCACCGUCCCCCAUUCCCAACUCUUCUCCAUCGGAACCAGGACGGUGCCGGUGGACGUCAGAUCGAUGAUGGAUCCUUCCUGGGAUGAGCCAUCAACAUCGACCACCACGUGGUUGCGGUGCCCGGACUAGUGCACAAUAUGGGGAGCCGAAAAAUACGACUUUGCCUUCGCAACGACCACCACCGCGAGGGCUGUCGCCGCCUCCCGCACCCGCUGCCUUGCAUGGCAGGAGCGCCGAACUAUGUUUUGCGUCGGGCGGUGCCCAUGGUGUGUCCAUGGCCUCAGCACGCCAAUGGAGGGGCUGUGCGUCUGCCACCCAUUUGAACGCUAGAUGGACCGCACCACCUCUGGUGAGGCAGUGAUGGUACACCUAGCGCCGGAUCCAUGCAUCAUUUGGGCGGACGCAUUGGAUUCCCCGCGGAAGGAGUUCGAGCAUUGCCGUUGCCAUCGGGCAGCCUCCUCCUGAGACCGGCGGAGCGCAAGCUCGAUUGCCAUCUCCUCCUAGGAGCCGCGUGGGAUGAGUUCGGGGUCGACGGAUCUGGAGGUAUAACACUGGGAUCCGCCGCCUGCCAUGCCGAAGAAGGCCAUAAGAUCGUCGGACGGGGGCGGCAGGGAGUGAAGUGAAGUGGCUAGGGUUUGGUCCGGCAAGCGGAUGGGGAGGAAUAUAUGUGGGGUCGGGUGGGCCAGCGUGGAUCGGGACCGACAUGGCGGACGCGCGUGGGCGCCCCAUAUUCUUCCCAGAUUUCGGCUGGAUAUGAGGGGUGUUGGUCAGCUUGGGCGUUGAGGCCCGUCUAGGUCAUUUUUCUGUGACCUGGCCGUCCGCCGGGGUGUUUGAAGUGGGUUUGGGACACCCGGGUGUAAAUGCUCUUAGACCAUGUAGUACCUUGAGGAGGAUGGUGUGGGUCCAUGAAAGAACUACAGCCUUUCCAUUAUGUUCGGGCGCAGGGCGAUAACGAAGUUAUCUUUACUCCUACAAGGGGAGUUGUUAGUCUCCGUUCCAUGGGUUUUUUUGUCUCACCUCCCAUCUUCGUUUCAUUUUUUCCGUCUCUCUUUCACACCGUCGGGUGGAGCUUAUGUGUCAUACUCCGUGACCUUUCAUUAGUUUUCUAGAGAGAAUCCUACUCUCAUAGAUUGCGACGUUUAACAAUCAGACUCAUAUAGGUGUGUUCUUCAAAAGAUGUUCUGCAGGACAACAUCUCUCCUUCAAAAAGCCACUUAGAACACAUUAAGAUAUACAUCAACCUACCAUGCAGAUUAGGAGAGUAUUGCAUCUUCAUGGAGUGGUAUUUUAACAAUAAGGAUACACUACUAGGGAAAAGGCUAGCAGCAGCGCGGGUUUUUGGUGUAUCAGUAGCGCGGGGUGGGGCGCUACUAAUAAGGCGCUACAGCUAACAUAUAGCAGUAGCGCGUGGUCACCGGCGCUACUGCUACACAAGUGUAGCAGCAGCGCGGUUACUGGGAGCACGCUACUGCUAGUAGCUCUAGCGCCCUUUGCAGCAACGCGCUACUGCUAUAGAGGCGCUGCUGCUAACUUCUAUACACUCGCUACUGCUAAUUUAACAGGUUUUUUGUUUUUUUGGGCAUAUUUGUUUUGUAUUUGAACAGGCUUUAUAGAAGAAUCUUUAGCACAUAGAAAUGUCAUCAUGAUACACAUACAAAUGCCUGCGAGACCACGAAUAUAAUCAUAGCAUAUACAUACAAAUAGUCUCAUCAUAAUCAUCAUCCAACACAAAGUGGUCUCUCGUCAUCAUCUCGAAAAUAGCGAUACAAGUCCUUGAUUACUUGCAAAUACAUUGUCAUCCAUCUAAACAAUGGUAUACGCGAGAAGAGCUAUCACUUUGAGAACAUGAGUUCGUAUCCCUCUCUCGCAUUAGCGUGAACCUAAACUAACUACUGCCUGUCGCUCGGAAACCGGAAACCGGCAACACCUGGGUCUGACACUCCGGUCACUCAUCGUAUAUAUACUCCUGGCGUAGCACUUCUUCGCCAUCGAUGAUCUAUGCACCUGCAUCAUCACAUGAGUAGAUGAUAUGCAACAUAUAUAGUUGAGCAACAGAAAGAGACAGACUUGACAAAAAUAGAAACAACGUAUCAUAAGCAUAAAUAACAAAGUUCAUCAUAACCAAAAUGCCCUAACUAGAGUGAUCUUCGCUAGUCGAGGAGGAGGACGGUUUAAUUACAUCACAAAUAAAGUUUUACUGCGCAUAACUCAAAGUUUUGUCAUACAGAAAGUAUGGAGUAAACAGACACAUUGUCAUAUAUUGACAAUCACUCCAACAUGCCGUGCCAUCCAUCGAGGUCAGGGAGAUAGUCCCCGAGCUUAGUGAAAGGCUUCAUGUCGAGACGCUGAGAGGCUAUCCAUGUUCGGACGUCUUCCCACAACAUUUUUCCUCCGUAGAACAUCCCUGUUUUUCCGACGACCUCUUUCAUGAUGAUUUGGGCAAGUUCGCGUUGGAUGUUAUAGAACUCAGCUCGAAGUCGAUGAUCCUCGAUAUCUCCUAUGUCCUUUGCCCAUUGCAGAAUAUGGGCAUCGCCAGAUCUAGGUGACAUGUGAAGGUUCUGGUGAUCCCGUUUGUACUCCCGCAUGUGGUGUAGGACAUAGAAUCCACCAUUAAGAGAAUCGUUCGGUUGUUGGAUGCAGCAGAAGUCGGUCUUAUGGCUGAAGGCGGCCCUGCCGCCCCUUCUCUUCUUGUCCCUAACCUCUCCACCCCUUGCUUGGUAGUAAAACAUAGCACUGUCGAGAACAUCUUUGAUGUGGGUGUAAUCCUUUUUGUGAAUGUUAUUCGAUGAGUCCAAGUAAAGAGCAUGGGAGAAUCGGGGGUAGAGGAUGAUGAGGACGGCGCGCCCGCCGCUGCGCAAAAUAAGUACACCUCAAAUUAAUUAGCCUUCACCGUGCAAAUGAAUUAUUGAAAUCGAAGGAAGGAUAGCAGCGCGGAUGACUUACACGGGAUGAUAAGGCACGAGAAUCGCCUCCUUGUCCUUAUUGGCGAGCAUGAAACUAACGAUGUAAUUCCUCGCGUAUUCACGCUGCUCUGCACAGACUCCCAAGAAGCUCUCGUGCAUGUAGUACGGGUCAGUGACACAGAUAUGACGUAUCUGCUCAACCCCAAUGAUGUAGUUCAUGUGCAAGGCAUAAAGGCGGACAAAUGUAAAAUCCAGCUUCUUCACGUGAAACAUGUCGAAUAUGUAAUCGAAUCGGAGGAAGAACUUAUCCGCAGCGAAGCUGUCGACGUAUGACAUUUUCCGCGGAACGUUAUCCACGUAGAGUGGGUAUCCUGGAUCUUUCGAGGCAAUGAGGCAUUUCUCUACCCGUAGCACAUCAUCAUGAAGUCUCCUUAGAUCGCCGAAUCUGGCCCGUAGCGCUGUUGCAGGUAGGAUUGGUUGACCGGGGAUAUGCCAUUUAUCCGCAUCGGGGAUAUCUAGACGGUCCUGAAGCUGAGGCUGCUGAGGCGGCUGGAUCAUAGAAUCAACUUUUUUUCCUUUCCUCGCUCUCUUCCUAGACUUCUUUACUACCGGAAAGUCGUCAAUAACACAUUGAGACGGUAAUUCAGGCACCGACUCAUGAUGCUCAAACCCUGAGGAGGCGCCAGUAUAGACAUACUGUUCAGCGCCAUCGUCAUCCUCAUCCUCAUCCAUGGCGACGUCAUCAGCGACUAAUGGAGCCUCCUCCUUACCCCGUCCGCUAUCACCCAACCCGACACCCAACGCUAAUUGGGUAGGUGGGGUGUUGAUGUUCAUACCUUGCUGAGACUGCGUGCUCGUGGGUGUGCUCCCGGCCGCCUCCAGACGAAGCAGACUCUUUGGCCACAACAGGACCUACCCAUUGCAACAAUCACCAAGCCGCUGCGGUGUCUCCUCGUCAUCCACCAAUAGUGUUGGAGGAGGCAAAUUCUCGUGGCCCGGUUCGACACUGGCCAUGGAAACCUUGAAGACGUUUGGGGGAAUCGGCCGGCUGUGGAACAAUGGUUCCUUCGGCUUCAUUAUCGUCGCCUUCCCCAUGGCCACCUUCUGGUCCCCGAUGGUGUACAAUAUGGUGCGCGGGGUUUCGUCGGCCUGCAAAGAGAAGUCUGCGACGUGAGACAUUCGAAAGGCAACGAAAACGGGAGAUUAUACAUUUAUAUUGAAGGGGGCCGGUGUGACAGAUACCGUGAGGGCGUCGAGCUCAGCCAAAGACAAAGCACCGCCGAGCACGUCCGGUGCGGGAGCCGGUGCGGGAGCAGGUGCUCCCAAGAAGUCAGCAAGGGGAAAGUCCUCUGCAUUUUUUUCUGGAUUUUUCCUUGUCCAAGUGAUAACGCCCGUCACCAAGGAAGUAGACAAAUCUGCAACCGCCUGUUUUGCGGCAGCUACCGCUGUUGCGACUGUCUGAGAUGAUUUCUUCUCAACCGCAAUCUCAACCUUCUUGUCGAUGUUUUUUUCAGUUAACCUCCGUCUUUCCUUUCUCUCCUCUGUGGUCUCCCGGUAGUACUUCUUCCACGUGGCGCCGUCUCCGACACCGUGCACGCGUCCAUACGAUGGUCGAGUAUCCAUCGGUUGUCGUUUCAAUAUGUUCAACGUCCGGUUGAAUGGAGUGUCCCACUUGGGCCUCGCCAAUGCCUCAGACGGCGAGUCGUUUUCGACCGCAAUCCGGUGCUGCUCUCUCUGCAAAAGGCACAAGGAUCGUUUACAAAUAUGACUAACGUGUGCAGUCGAAUUGAUCAGAAACUAAAAUUACCAGCAGUCUCAUGAACUCCGUAAUGACCGGUGUUGUCUCAUAAACCUUCUUCACUGGGUCCCAACGGUGCCGAGCCCUCAGGACGUCACGCUCCUGCGGGACAGUGAAAUCCGCCAAGGGGUCUGGGAUGCCCAGACUCGCGGCUUCCGCGUCCUCCUUGGCCCAUUUGGACCUCUUUCCGCCGUAACCACGCUUCCGAGGUGGUGGCUCCCAAUGUUCCUCUUUUGAAGCCCCUUCAUGUACUUAGACUUUUUUUGGCAGCUUCGGCCUCGCAAGCCUCCUUGAAUAUUUGAAACUGCUCUUCCGUGAUUGUCAGAUUAUCCUUUACAAUCUCGGAGUAGGGUUCCCCGUCGUUGAUCUUUGCUUUCACUCAAUUUUUCCAGGCGGCCAACGCGUCGCUAAACUUGGUCAUGGCGUGUUUGUUUAUCUUCUUCAUUGCGGGGUCCUCGUCUGGAUCUUCAUAAUCCUUCUCAUUCCGGCCCGGGAACAAGAAUAUCUGGUGAAACUUCUUUAGAAGGGAGCUCCUCAUAUUUUCUAUCUUCUAUAGUUUCUCAUCAUUGAUGGUGGCGGUUGUCCGUAUGAUGCAGCCUAUUUGAUUGCCGUAGCACGCGCGCGCUUCCUCGGGCGCCUUUGGCUCAAAAUUGCCGUCGUCCACCUCUGUGACCACCAGUCUAGUAGUCCUGAGUUUGUUAGGAACCCGUUGCUUCUUUGCGUUCGGUUCUACACCAGCUCCGCUCCCCGAGACAGCACCGGUCUCAGCGCCGCUCUCGAUGCCGGUCUGAAUCUCAGCGCCGGUCUCAGUCUCAGCACCGGUCUGCGUGUCGGUCUCAGUCCCCGAUGCCACUGGUGGGCCCAGCAACAACAUCGGUUGAUCGUCGGUAAGGCUAAAAUAUUCAUCUGCCACCAGGUAGACGUCGUCGCAAUCACCAGAACCCUGUCCUUCAUCGUUGCUAGCCAUGUUUCCUAUCAUUAAAUCUAGUCAAUUAAUUCUAGACCUAAUAAAAUGAAUAAUGACAUAAAAAAGGACUAUUGUUUUGCAGGAAUGUUGACUCCUUCCUGGUGCGGAAAAUCCCGGCACUCGAUAUGUCCUAGUUUGUAGCACAAGUCAUGCCGAAAUUCACGGAAAAUUUUGGCAUGGCCUUUGCUAAAAAGUGGACAAAUCGAGAACCUGAAAUUUGUCGGAACAGAAAUGAAUCAACAUUCCGGCAAAACAUAGGCCACUCAGCAUCAUUCCCUGGAAACAACAAAGCCACUUGGGCACAAUCGAACAACUUCAAUGAAAAGAUAUAACAUGAGCAAACACUAUUGAGGAAUUUGCAUAUAACAUGGCCACUUCAAUGAAAAGAUAUAAUCAACAAUAACGGAAUAUGCAAAUGAACAUCAAUGACAUAUAGCUACUGUUCUGUUUGACCAAGUUUUUGAAAAGAAAAACAAUUCUGUUUUUUGUUUAUAGCUAAAUGCCAUAGCUACUAUUUUUUAUUUAUAGCUAAAUACUUUUGUUUUUUGUCUAAAGCUAAAAGUCUAGGAACUACAUUUUCUCUAACCCUUUUGACCUCACCAGAAUUUUCACAGCAAGACCUUAGUACCUACACCCAAUUUCUUCAAAAAUAUUCAGGUCCAUAGUCCAAAUAAUUCAAAUUUCAUUUGAAUGAAAUUUGGAACAAAUUCAGGUCCGUAGUCAAAAUAUUUUUUUAUAGCUAAGUGUUUUUUGUUUAUACCCUCUGUUAAUUUAAAUCUAAAUGCUACUAUUAUUUAUAUACCCUCUAUUAGUUUAAAGCUAAAUGGAAUUACUGUUUAGGAAUUUUCAUAAAAAUUGCCCUAGCUAAUUUCCUAAAAAAAUUGCAAAUCAUUUUUCCUAAAUGCUAUAAAAUGCCUACUGCCCUAAAAAAAUCUAGGGUUCAUAUGAACACCUAGGGUUCAUAUGAACAUCAACACAGUAUCAACAUAUAUAUAUAUAAUUGCCCUAGCAGAGAGAAAUAGGAGGGUAGGGACAGGAGAGGCAUAGCCUUACGGUCGGCGUUGAGGGCAGGCUCUGGCUCGGGCAGCGGCGGUGAGGUCAAGGGCGGCGGCGGCGAGCUCGAGGGAGGCGACAGUGAGGUCGACGGUGACAGCCUCGGGUGGCGGCUGUGAGGUCGAGGGGGCGGCCUCGGGCGGCGGCCUCGGGCGGCGGCAGUGUGGUCAAAGGCGGCGGGCGGCGGCGGUGUGGUCGAAGGCGGCCUCCGGCGGUGGCGGUGUGGUCGAAGGCGCGCGGCAGGGCAACGGCGGCGAUGAAGCAGUUGGGGGACAGGGGGGAGUAGAGAGGGGGGAAAGGACUUAGCAAAAUUUUGAGCCAGGGCCGCCGGGAUUUGAGUCAAACUAGCAGCAGCGCGUUUUGACGAAACGCGCUAUAGCUAAGAUAGCUAUAGCGUGUUCCAGAGAAAUGCGCUACAGCUAACCCUUUCUGUUUUCUUUCUCUUUUUAUUUUGUUUUCUUUACAUUUUCUUUUUUUCAUUUCUCCUUUUUCUAUUUCUUUCAUUUUCAUUUACUUUUCUACUUAAUUUUCUAUUUAUUUUCCUUUACAUAGCAGUAGCGCUGUAAAGAAGAAACGCGCUGCUACAAUGUUUUUAACAGUAGCGUGCUUCUGGGAGAAGCGCUGCUACUAUUCCUAGCCUACCGGCACCAGUGAGAGAAUUUUAGUAGUAGCGCUUUUUUGUGGAGAAGCGCUACUACUAAAAUAAUGAUUGUAGCGUGGUUUUGCAACAAGCGCUACUACUAAGUAGCGCUAGCGCCGAGUUUUGACCAACGCUACUGCUAUACCUCUGUGUAUAGCAUUUUCCCUAGUAGUGAUACUCUCCUCUCAGUUGACCAACAGCUUGUCUUCCACAUCUAAUUCACGGGAUCUCCGAUCACAAAGAAUGGGUUACCACUGUGGACACCUCAUAUUGUGGGUCUCAUUCCCAUCUCCAUCGAUGCAUUAUCUAUCACAUUACGUGAUAGACCCUUAGUAAAAGGAUCUGCCAGAUUUUUAGACGUUUGGAUAUAAUCCAAUGCAAUAACUCUCGAGUUUUUCAUUUUUCUGACAGACUUUAACCUUCUCUGAACGUGUCUUGAUGACUUCAUGUUAUCCUUUGAGCUGCUCACUUUAGUGAUCACAGUUUGAUUGUCACAGUUCAUCCGGAUACCCGGUACAGGUUUCUCAACUACCGGUAAGUCAUUCAAGAGCCGACGAAGCCAAUCUGCUUCGACCGUAGUUGUAUCUAGUGCUGUGAGUUCUGCUUCCAUUGUUGACCUCGUUAAAAUGGUCUGCUUGCAAGACUUCCAAGAAACAGCGCCACCUCCAUGAGUGAAUACAUAACCGCUCGUGGCCUUUAUCUCAUCAACAUCUGAGAUCCAGUCUGAGUCAAUAUACCCUUCAAGCACCUUUGGAUGCCUAGUGUAGUGAAUUCCAUAAUUUGCAGUGCUUUCAAAUAACGCAAAACUCUCUCUAGAGCUUUCCAAUGCACAUCUCCUGGUUUUGAGACAAACCGGCUCAGUUAGCUAACAGCAAAAGAGAUGUCAGGUCUCGUAGCACUGGCUAAGUACAUAAGCGAGCCAAUAAUGUGUGAAUAUUCCAAUUGGUCUCUAGCAAUUCUUCGAUUCUUUCGAAGCAACACACUAGCAUCAUAUGGUCUUGGAGAGGGCUUGCAGUCACUGUAGCCAAAGCGACUCAAGAUCUUUUCCCCAUAGUGAGACGGAAGCAAUGUAAUCCCACCAUCAUCAUCUCUCAACAACUUGAUGUUCAGAAUGACGUCAGCCACUCCUAAAUCCUUCUUCUCAAAACAGCGAGAUAGGAAAUCCUUGACCUCCUUAAGAACAUUUAGAUUUGUUCCGAAAAUCAGUAUGUCAUCAACAUACAAGCAAAGCAUAACUCCCUCGCCCCCACCAUGGCGAUAGUACACACAUUUGUUAGCUUCGUUCACAACAAAGCCUGCAGCUGUUAAAGUUCUUUCGAACUUCUCAUGCCACUGUUUGGGUGCUUGCUUGAGUCCAUACAAAGACUUCAGCAACUUGCACACUUUCCCUUCCUAACCAUCUAUUACAAACCCAUCUGGUUGUUCCAUAUAAAUUUCCUCAUCCAACUCUCCAUUUAGGAAAGCAGUCUUAACAUCCAUUUGAUGAACGAGAAGACCAUGUGAGGCAGCUAGUGAAAGUUUAACUCGAAUAGUGGUCAGUCGAGCCACAGGUGAGUAAGUAUCAAAGAAGUCUUCACCUUCCUUUUAGGUAUAACCCUUUGCCACGAGCUGAGCCUUGUACUUUUCAAUAGUACCAUCAGGCCUAAGUUUCUUCUUGAAUACCCAUUUGCAUCCUAUAGGUUUGCACCAUAAGGACGAUCAGUUAUCUCCCAAGUUUCAUCCGCCAAGAUGGAAUCCAUCUCGCUACGAACCGCUUCCUUCCAGUAGUCAGCAUCUUCCGAUGCAUAGGCCUCCAAAAUAGAACUGGGAGUGUCAUCUAUGAGAUACACAAGAAAAUCAUCACCCAAGGACUUUGCUGUCCUCUGUCUCUUACUCCUAGUAGGAACUUCAUUGUUCUCCUCCACAGGCCUUUCAAAGUGUUCCAUCGAAAUGGCAGGUUCAGUAAUUGUAACUGGUUCCUGAUUCGAUGAACUAGGCAUCUCCUGAUUAGAUGAGGUAGCCAUAUCCUUCAUGGGAAAGAUAUCUUCAAAGAAAGUCGCAUCAUUCGACUCCAUGAUCGUACUGACAUGCAUGUCAGAUACCUCAGAUUUUACAACCAAGAAUAUAUAGCCAAUGCUAUGAAAAGCAUAUCCCAGGAAAACACAAUCCACAGUCUUUGGUCCAAGCUUCCGCUUCUUUGGAAUUGGAACAUUGACUUUCGCCAAGCAACCCCAUGUUCGCAGAUAAGAGAGUCUUAACCUUUUCUUCUCCCAUUCCUCGAAUGGAGUUAUCUCUUUGUUCUUUGUGGGAACUCGAUUUAGGACAUGACAUGCUGUCAAUAUCGUCUCCCCCCACCAUGCCUUGGAGAGACCCGAUGUGCAUAACAUGGCGUUAACGAAAUCAGUUAGAGUACGGUUCUUUCUUUCGGCCACCCCAUUUGACUGAGGUGAGUAGGGAGGCGUCCUCUCAUGGAUUAUACCAUGUUCCGCACAAAAAGCAUCAAAUUCAUUGGAAAAAUACUCUCCACCACGGUCAGACCUAAGCCUCUUGAUUUUUCGAUCAAGUUGGUUUUCCACUUCAGCUUUAUAGAUCUUGAAAAAGUUCAAAGCCUCAUCCUUAGAUUUCAGAAGAUACACAUGGCAGUAUCUAGUGGAGUCGUCAAUUAACGUCAUGAAAUAUUUCUUUCCACCUUUUGUCAAAACACCAUUCAUUUCACAUAGAUCUGAAUGUAUAAGUUCUAGUGGUGCAAGAUUUCUCGUCUCCGCAGUCACGUGAGACUUACGAGGUUGCUUAGCUUGCACACACACUUGACACUUAGAUCCUUGACAGUGGUGAAACUAGGGAUUAAGUUCAACUUCGCUAGUCGCGACAUGCAACCAAAGUUAACAUGACAAAGACGUGAAUGCCACACAUUUGAUUCACUAUUGUUGCAAAUAUGAUUAACAACUUUAUUGCAAAUGUCUGAUAAGGAUAAACGAAACAGGCCUCCUGACUCAUAGCCUUUACCAACAAAGGUCCCAUACUUGGAUAUUACAAAUUUAUUCGACUCAAAGACAAGCUUAUAGCCAUCUCUACACAGAAGAGAUCCGCUAACAAGAUUUUUAUUGACGGAGGGGACAUAAUGCACGUUCUUCAGCCGCACGAUCUUCCCUGAAGUAAACUUCAGAUCAACCAUGCCAACACCACGAACAGAAGCACUUGAACUGUUGCCCAUCAGCACGGUUGAAGUCCCUGCGGUCUGAUAAGAUGAAAACAUGGAAAUAUCACCGUAUACAUGCACAUUAGCACCCAUGUCAAUCAACCAACCAGGAGAAUGACAUACUGAAAGAAUAGUGGGAAAUAUACCAUACCCAACAUCUUUCAUGUCAAUGUCUCCGAUGACAACAUUAGCGGUCUUGCCGCCUUUCCCAGGAUGACGCUUGUCAUAGCGAUUAGGACAACUAGGAGCCCAAUGAUCAGGAUCUCCAAACACAUGACAAGCACCUUUCUUAUUGUCAUUCUUCUUCUUGAAGUUCAUGUGCUGCACAGCCUUGUUCUUCCCAUCGAACUUUGCUUUACCAUCAAACUUGCCCUUGUUCUUGAACUUGUGGGACUGGAAGUUCUUCUUCUGUACCAGAUUGGCACUAGAUCCUCCCUCAAUACCUCGAGCACAUGUGUCCUUUGCUCUCGCCUUUUCUUCCACAUAAGAGUACCAAUGAGAUCCGGGAUGGAAAACUCCUGUCUCUUAUGCUUCAGUGAGGUAGCAAAGUUCCUCCAUGAAGGAGGAAGCUUAGUGAUGAUACCCCCGGCAACAAACUUGUCCGGUAAGAUACAAUUGAAGUGCUCAAGUUCUCUAGCAAAAGACUGUAUCUCAUGAGCCUGCUCAACCACGGAGCGCUCUUCAGUCAUCCUGUAAUCAUAGAAUUAUUCCAUGAUGUACAGCUCAGUGCCGGCAUCCGAGACCCCAAACUUGGCCUCGAGUGUGUCCCACAUAUCUUUUCAUUGUCAAUUGACGCAUAAGCAUCAACUAUGUUCUCACCAAGAACACUCAAAAGAGCAGCCUUAAACAAGGUAUCCAUUUUCUGGAAAGCUUGUGCCUGUUGGGCAUCUUGCUCUCCUUCGGGUUUGCCAAGAGUGGCAUCAUAGAAACUCAUGGUUUGAAACCAUAAGACUGCUCUCACACGCCACUUCUUAUAGUGGAUACCCUCAAACAUAGGAGGUCUCAUGGAAGCAGCAAAAUCACUCGGGGUAAAUUGCCUAUAAUAAGGUUUUUGGAUUGUUGGAAAUAUGAGCAAUUUACCGAAUGAUUUUAUUAACAAAAAUACUAGAUAAAGCAUGACUAAAAUAGCAAAUAUAAAGCAAGUCAUGCAGUCUGACAGAGAGAAGGUAAACAUCGUCUGCAUAUAUGAACUUGAGCUAAACACAGCUAGAACAGACACUAGAUGAAGUUGCUUAUACGAAACAGAACCUAACAUACGUAGGGCAGAAACUAGAGCCAAGAACUAUAGCAGGACUUCUAACAGAAAGGAGAAGAACACGUACGGCACAGCAGCAGCAGAAGCGCUGGACUUGGGGUUGGUGUCCUUGCCUGCCAUGUCAUCGAGGAGGUCAUGGACGUCAGGGAAGAAGUCGUCGUCGGGGAAGUAGUCGUUGGCGACCGGAUCGUCUGUGAUGAAGCAGCCAGUAGUCGCACUAAGUGCUCCCCAAAAACCUUAUCACCCUUCUCCCGUACAGGACUCAAAAGGUGCGGUCGCGAAAGCCUACUGUCCCGACGUGCGGUGCACGCCACAAGUCGGGAUGAGGAAGACAGCAGCAGCUCAGAGAUGGAACCGAUGGCGAGGGAAGGAGCAGUUCUGGUGCGUCUCUCUGAGAGGAGCGACCUCCCUUUUAUAGGCGCAAGAGAAGGAGGCGAGAGGCUGCGCCGGGAGCUGAAGGGAAUGCGGGAGACGAAACAAACAGGCAGCAGCCGAAGGGGCGCGCCGUUCGGAUUCAGUGUCCAGGCACAGAAAAAAAAUGUUUCAGCUUCCGAGUGACCUUUCGUAUACCCGUAGUGCGUGGCAAAAAUUUAGACAUCGGCUCGGCUCAUUCCCGCAACCCGCGGCGCGGCGCAUCGUGAUGAGGCGUGGUGAGGCGGGCGGCGGAGGAGGAGCACGCGUGGAUGUCCCUCUUGUUCUCAUGCUCAUACAAGUGGGGAAGGAGCCUCCCUUAUAAAGAGGUCCAACUCCCUCUAAACUAGCAAGGUGGGACUAAACUUUAGUUCCACCUCUUGCCUUGCACGAAUGGGCUGCGUGGGCCUCUAGGAUUUAUUAGGAAUUUCUAAAAUUGCUAUUGGGCUAGGCCCAAAUAGACAAAAAUUCCAGCAAUCCCCCACCAGAUCCCAGAGGCACACAAAAUUUGCCUUUGGUUCCAAAACACUGUUUUAUAUACUGGUACAGCAGUGGAGACUGUUAAGUUGAACUUCCACCUAGAACCCUAUGCUACACUAGUAAGCAACUUGAACAGUGGACUGGGCCUUGAACUGCAAGUUUUCUGCAAAUCUAGCUUCACAUAAGGCCUUGACCGAUACGUGGCUACCGUGGGUCUUCCCCGUGGGUGGAGCUUAUGCGUCAUACUCCGUGACCUUUCAUUAGUUUACUAGAGAGAACCCUACUCUCAUAGAUUGCGACGUUUAACAAUCAGACUCAUAUAGGUGCGUUCUUCAAAAGAUGUUCUGCAGGACAACAUCUCUGCUUCAAAAAGCCACUUAGAACACAUUAAGAUAUAAAUCAACCUGCCAUGCAGAUUAGGAGAGUAUUGCAUCUUCAUGGAGUGGUAUUUUAACAGUAUGGAUACUCUCCUCUCAGUUGACCAACAACUUGUCUUCCACAUCUAAUUCACGGGAUCUCCGAUCAUAAAGAAUAGGUUACCACUAUGAACAACUCAUAUUGUGGGUCUCAUUCCCAUCUCCCUCGAUGCAUUAUCUAUCACAUUACGUGAUAGACCGUUAGUAAAAGGAUCUGCCAGAUUUUUAGACGUUUGGAUAGAAUCCAAUGCAAUAACUCUGGAGUUUUUCAUUUUUCUGACAGACUUUAACCUUCUCUGAACGUGUCUUGAUGACUUCAUGUUAUCCUUUGAGUUGCUCACUUUAGUGAUCACAGUUUGAUUGUCACAGUUCAUCCGGAUACCCGGUAUAGGUUUCUCAACUACCGGUAAGUCAUUCAAGAGCCGACGAAGCCAAUCUGCUUCGACCGUACCUGUAUCUAGUGUUGUGAGUUCUGCUUCCAUUGUUGACCUCGUUAAGAUGGUCUGCUUGCAAGACUUCCAAGAAACAGCGCCACCUCCAUGAGUGAAUACAUAACCGCUCGUGGCCUUUAUCUCAUCAGCAUCUGAGAUCCAGUUUGAGUCACUAUACCCUUCAAGCACCUUUGGAUGCCAAGUGUAGUGAAUUCCAUAAUUUGCAGUGCCUUUUAAAUAACGCAAAACUCUCUCUAGAGCUUUCCAAUGCACAUCUCCUGGUUUUGAGACAAACCGGCUUAGUUAGCUAACAGCAAAAGAGAUGUCAGGUCUCGUAGCACUGGCUAAGUACAUAAGCGAGCCAAUAAUCUGUGAAUAUUUCAAUUGGUCUCUAGUGAUUCUUCGAUUCUUUCGAAGCAACACACUAGCAUCAUAUGGUGUUGGAGAGGGCUUGCAGUCACUGUAGCCAAAGCGGCUCAAGAUCUUUUCCACAUAGUGAGAUUGAAGCAAUGUAAUCCCACAAUCAUCAUCUCUCAAAAACUUGAUGUUCAGAAUGACAUCAGCCACUCCUAAAUCCUUCAUCUCAAAACAGCAAGAUAGGAAAUCCUUGACCUCCUUAAGAACAUUCAGAUCUGUUCCGAAAAUCAGUAUGUCAUCAACAUACAAGCAAAGCAUAACUCCCUUGCCCCCACCAUGGCGAUAGUACACACAUUUGUCAGCUUCGUUCACAACAAAGCCUGCAGCUAUUAAAGUUCUUUCGAACUUCUCAUGCCACUGUUUGGGUGCUUGCUUGAGUCCAUACAAAGACUUCAGCAACUUGCACACUUUCCCUUCCUGGCCAUCUAUUACAAACCCCUCUGGUUGUUCCAUAUAAAUUUCCUCAUCCAAAUCUCCAUUUAGGAAAGCAGUCUUAACAUCCAUUUGAUGAACGAGAAGACCAUGUGAGGCAGCUAGUGAAAGUAGACCUCGAAUAGUGGUCAGUCGAGCCACAGGUGAGUAAGUAUCAAAGAAGUCUUCACCUUCCUUUUGGUUAUAACCCUUUGCCACGAGCCGAGCCUUGUACUUUUCAUUAGUACCAUCAGGCCUAAGUUUCUUCUUGAAUACCCAUUUGCAUCCUAUAGGUUUGCACCCAUAAGGACGAUCAGUUAUCUCCCAAGUUUCAUUCGCCAAGAUGGAAUCCAUCUCGCUACGAAUCGCUUCCUUCCAGUAGUCAGCAUCUUCCGAUGCAUAGGCAUCCGAAAUAGAACUGGGAGUGUCAUCUAUGAGAUACACAAGAAAAUCAUCACCAAAGGACUUUGCUGUCCUCUGUCUCUUGCUCCUAGUAGGAACUUCAUUGUUCUCCUCCGCAGGACUUUCAAAGUGUUCCAUCGAAAUGGCAGGUUCAGUAAUUGUAACUGGUUCCUGAUUCGAUGAACUAGGCAUCUCCUAAUUAGAUGAGGUAGCCAUAUCCUUCAUGGGAAUGAUAUCUUCAAAGAAAGUCGCAUCAUUCGACUCCAUGAUCGUACCGACAUGCAUGUCAGAUACCUCAGAUUUUACAACCAAGAAUCUAUAGCCAAUGCUGUGAAAAGCAUAUCCCAGGAAAACACAAUCCACAGUCUUUGGUCCAAGCUUCCGCUUCUUUGGAAUUGGAACAUUGACUUUCGCCAAGCAACCGCAUGUUCGCAGAUAAGAGAGUUUUAACCUUUUCUUCUCCCAUUCCUCGAAUGGAGUUAUCUCUUUGUUCUUUGUGGGGACUCGAUUUAGGACAUGACAUGCUGUCAAUAUCGCCUCCCCCCACCAUGCCUUGGAGAGACCCGAUGUGGCGUUAACCAAAUCAGUUAGAGUACGGUUCUUUCUUUCGGCCACCCCAUUUGACUGAGGUGAGUAGGGAGGCGUCCCCUCAUGGAUUAUACCAUGUUCUGCACAAAAAGCAUCAAAUUCAUUGGAAAAAUACUCUCCACCACGGUCAGACCUAAGCCUCUUGAUUUUUCGAUCAAGUUGGUUUUCCACUUCAGCUUUAUAGAUCUUGAAAAAGUUCAAAGCCUCAUCCUUACAUUUCAGAAGAUACACAUGGCAGUAUCUAGUGGAGUCAUUAAUUAACGUCAUGCAAUAUUUCUUUCCACCUUUUGUCAAAACACCAUUCAUUUCACAUAGAUCUGAAUGUAUAAGUUCUAGUGGUGCAAGAUUUCUCGUCUCCGUAGUCACGUGAGACUUACGAGGUUGCUUAGCUUGCACACACACUUGACACUUAGAUCCUUGACAGUGGUGAAACUAGGGAUUAAGUUCAACUUCGCUAGUCGCGACAUGCAACCAAAGUUAACAUGACAAAGACGUGAAUGCCACACAUUUGAUUCACUAUUGUUGCAAAUAUGAUUAACAACUUUAUUGCAAACGUCUGAUAAGGAUAAACGAAACAGGCCUCCUGACUCAUAGCCUUUACCAACAAAGGUCCCAUACUUGGAUAUUACAAAUUUAUUCGACUCAAAGACAAGCUUAUAGCCAUCUCUACACAGAAGAGAUCCGCUAACAAGAUUUUUAUUGACGGAGGGGACAUAAUGCACGUUCUUCAGCCGCACGAUCUUCCCUGAAGUAAACUUCAGAUCAACCAUGCCAACACCACGAACAGAAGCACUUGAACUGUUGCCCAUCAGCACGGUUGAAGUCCCUGCGGUCUGAUAAGAUGAAAACAUGGAAAUAUCACCGCAUACAUGCACAUUAGCACCCAUGUCAAUCAACCAACCAGGAGAAUGACAUACUGAAAGAAUAGUGGGAAAUAUACCAUACCCAGCAUCUUUCAUGUCAAUGUCUCCGAUGACAACAUUAGCGGUCUUGCCGCCUUUCCCAGGAUGACGCUUGUCAUAGCGAUUAGGACAACUAGGAGCCCAAUGAUCAGGAUCUCCAAACACAUGACAAGCACCUUUCUUAUUGUCAUUCUUCUUCUUGAAGUUCAUGUGCUGCACAGCCUUGUUCUUCCCAUCGAACUUUGCUUUACCAUCAAACUUGCCCUUGUUCUUGAACUUGUGGGACUGGAAGUUCUUCUUCUGUACCAGAUUGGCACUAGAUCCUCCCUCAAUACCUCGAGCACGUGUGUCCUUUGCUCUCGCCUUUUCUUCCACAUAAGAGUACCAAUGAGAUCCGGGAUGGAAAACUCCUGUCUCUUAUGCUUCAGUAAGGUAGCAAAGUUCCUCCAUGAAGGAGGAAGCUUAGUGAUGAUACCCCCGGCAACAAACUUGUCCGGUAAGAUACAAUUGAAGUGCUCAAGUUCUCUAGCAAAAGACUGUAUCUCAUGAGCCUGCUCAACCACGGAGCGCUCUUCAGUCAUCCUGUAAUCAUAGAAUUAUUCCAUGAUGUACAGCUCAGUGCCGGCAUCCGAGACCCCAAACUUGGCCUCGAGUGUGUCCCACAUAUCUUUUCAUUGUCAAUUGAAGCAUAAGCAUCAACUAUGUUCUCACCAAGAACACUCAAAAGAGCAGCCUUAAACAAGGUAUCCAUUUUCUGGAAAGCUUGUGCCUGUUGGGCAUCUUGCUCUCCUUCAGGUUUGCCAAGAGUGGCAUCAUAGAAACUCAUGGUUUGAAACCAUAAGACUGCUCUCACACGCCACUUCUUAUAGUGGAUACCCUCAAACAUAGGAGGUCUCAUGGAAGCAGCAAAAUCACUCGGGGUAAAUUGCCUAUAAUAAGGUUUUUGGAUUGUUGGAAAUAUGAGCAAUUUACCGAAUGAUUUUAUUAACAAAAAUACUAGAUAAAGCAUGACUAAAAUAGCAAAUAUAAAGCAAGUCAUGUAGUCUGACAGAGAGAAGGUAAACAUCGUCUGCAUAUAUGAACUUGAGCUAAACACAGCUAGAACAGACACUAGAUGAAGUUGCUUAUACGAAACAGAACCUAACAUACGUAGGGCAGAAACUAGAGCCAAGAACUAUAGCAGGACUUCUAACAGAAAGGAGAAGAACACGUACGGCACAGCAGCAGCAGAAGCGCUGGACUUGGGGUUGGUGUCCUCGCCUGCCAUGUCAUCGAGGAGGUCAUGGACGUCAGGGAAGAAGUCGUCGUCGGGGAAGUAGUCGUCGGCGACCGGAUCGUCUGUGAUGAAGCAGCCAGUAGUCGCACUAAGCGCUCCCCAAAAACCUUAUCACCCUUCUCCCGUACAGGACUCAAAAGGGGCGGUCGCGAAAGCCUACUGUCCCGACGUGCGGUGCACGCCACAAGUCGGGAUGAGGAAGACAGCAGCAGCUCAGAGAUGGAACCGAUGGCGAGGGAAGGAGCAGUUCUGGUGCGUCUCUCUGAGAGGAGCGACCUCCCUUUUAUAGGCGCAAGAGAAGGAGGCGAGAGGCUGCGCCGGGAGCUGAAGGGAAUGCGGGAGACGAAACGAACAGGCAGCAGCCGAAGGGGCGCGCCGUUCGGAUUCAGUGUCCAGGCACAGAAAAAAAAUGUUUCAGCUUCCGAGUGACCUUUCGUAUACCCGUAGUGCGUGGCAAAAAUUUAGACAUCGGCUCGGCUCAUUCCCGCAACCCGCGGCGCGGCGCAUCGUGAUGAGGCGUGGUGAGGCGGGCGGCGGAGGAGGAGCACGCGUGGAUGUCCCUCUUGUUCUCAUGCUCAUACAAGUGGGGAAGGAGCCUCCCUUAUAAAGAGGUCCAACUCCCUCUAAACUAGCAAGGUGGGACUAAACUUUAGUUCCACCUCUUGCCUUGCACGAAUGGGCUGCGUGGGCCUCUAGGAUUUAUUAGGAAUUUCUAAAAUUGCUAUUGGGCUAGGCCCAAAUAGACAAAAAUUCCAGCAAUCCCCCACCAGAUCCCAGAGGCACACAAAAUUUGCCUUUGGUUCCAAAACACUGUUUUAUAUACUGGUACAGCAGUGGAGACUGUUAAGUUGAACUUCCACCUAGAACCCUAUGCUACACUAGUAAGCAACUUGAACAGUGGACUGGGCCUUGAACUGCAAGUUUUCUGCAAAUCUAGCUUCACAUAAGGCCUUGACCGAUACGUGGCUACCGUGGGUCUUCCCCGUGGGUGGAGCUUAUGCGUCAUACUCCGUGACCUUUCAUUAGUUUACUAGAGAGAACCCUACUCUCAUAGAUUGCGACGUUUAACAAUCAGACUCAUAUAGGUGCGUUCUUCAAAAGAUGUUCUGCAGGACAACAUCUCUGCUUCAAAAAGCCACUUAGAACACAUUAAGAUAUAAAUCAACCUGCCAUGCAGAUUAGGAGAGUAUUGCAUCUUCAUGGAGUGGUAUUUUAACAGUAUGGAUACUCUCCUCUCAGUUGACCAACAACUUGUCUUCCACAUCUAAUUCACGGGAUCUCCGAUCAUAAAGAAUAGGUUACCACUAUGAACAACUCAUAUUGUGGGUCUCAUUCCCAUCUCCCUCGAUGCAUUAUCUAUCACAUUACGUGAUAGACCCUUAGUAAAAGGAUCUGCCAGAUUUUUAGACGUUUGGAUAUAAUCCAAUGCAAUAACUCUGGAGUUUUUCAUUUUUCUGACAGACUUUAACCUUCUCUGAACGUGUCUUGAUGACUUCAUGUUAUCCUUUGAGUUGCUCACUUUAGUGAUCACAGUUUGAUUGUCACAGUUCAUCCGGAUACCCGGUACAGGUUUCUCAACUACCGGUAAGUCAUUCAAGAGCCGACGAAGCCAAUCUGCUUCGACCGUACCUGUAUCUAGUGUUGUGAGUUCUGCUUCCAUUGUUGACCUCAUUAAGAUGGUCUGCUUGCAAGACUUCCAAGAAACAGCGCCACCUCCAUGAGUGAAUACAUAACCGCUCGUGGCCUUUAUCUCAUCAGCAUCUGAGAUCCAGUUUGAGUCACUAUACCCUUCAAGCACCUUUGGAUGCCAAGUGUAGUGAAUUCCAUAAUUUGCAGUGCCUUUUAAAUAACGCAAAACUCUCUCUAGAGCUUUCCAAUGCACAUCUCCUGGUUUUGAGACAAACCGGCUUAGUUAGCUAAUAGCAAAAGAGAUGUCAGGUCUCGUAGCACUGGCUAAGUACAUAAGCGAGCCAAUAAUCUGUGAAUAUUUCAAUUGGUCUCUAGUGAUUCUUCGAUUCUUUCGAAGCAACACACUAGCAUCAUAUGGUCUUGGAGAGGGCUUGCAGUCACUGUAGCCAAAGCGGCUCAAGAUCUUUUCCACAUAGUGAGAUUGAAGCAAUGUAAUCCCACCAUCAUCAUCUCUCAACAACUUGAUGUUCAGAAUGACAUCAGCCACUCCUAAAUCCUUCAUCUCAAAACAGCAAGAUAGGAAAUCCUUGACCUCCUUAAGAACAUUCAGAUUUGUUCCGAAAAUCAGUAUGUCAUCAACAUACAAGCAAAGCAUAACUCCCUUGCCCCCACCAUGGCGAUAGUACACACAUUUGUCAGCUUCGUUCACAACAAAGCCUGCAGCUAUUAAAGUUCUUUCGAACUUCUCAUGCCACUGUUUGGGUGCUUGCUUGAGUCCAUACAAAGACUUCAGCAACUUGCACACUUUCCCUUCCUGGCCAUCUAUUACAAACCCCUCUGGUUGUUCCAUAUAAAUUUCCUCAUCCAAAUCUCCAUUUAGGAAAGCAGUCUUAACAUCCAUUUGAUGAACGAGAAGACCAUGUGAGGCAGCUAGUGAAAGUAGACCUCGAAUAGUGGUCAGUCGAGCCACAGGUGAGUAAGUAUCAAAGAAAUCUUCACCUUCCUUUUGGUUAUAACCCUUUGCCACGAGCCGAGCCUUGUACUUUUCAUUAGUACCAUCAGGCCUAAGUUUCUUCUUGAAUACCCAUUUGCAUCCUAUAGGUUUGCACCCAUAAGGACGAUCAGUUAUCUCCCAAGUUUCAUUCGCCAAGAUGGAAUCCAUCUCGCUACGAAUCGCUUCCUUCCAGUAGUCAGCAUCUUCCGAUGCAUAGGCAUCCGAAAUAGAACUGGGAGUGUCAUCUAUGAGAUACACAAGAAAAUCAUCACCAAAGGACUUUGCUGUCCUCUGUCUCUUGCUCCUAGUAGGAACUUCAUUGUUCUCCUCCGCAGGACUUUCAAAGUGUUCCAUCGAAAUGGCAGGUUCAGUAAUUGUAACUGGUUCCUGAUUCGAUGAACUAGGCAUCUCCUAAUUAGAUGAGGUAGCCAUAUCCUUCAUGGGAAUGAUAUCUUCAAAGAAAGUCGCAUCAUUCGACUCCAUGAUCGUACCGACAUGCAUGUCAGAUACCUCAGAUUUUACAACCAAGAAUCUAUAGCCAAUGCUGUGAAAAGCAUAUCCCAGGAAAACACAAUCCACAGUCUUUGGUCCAAGCUUCCGCUUCUUUGGAAUUGGAACAUUGACUUUCGCCAAGCAACCCCAUGUUCGCAGAUAAGAGAGUUUUAACCUUUUCUUCUCCCAUUCCUCGAAUGGAGUUAUCUCUUUGUUCUUUGUGGGGACUCGAUUUAGGACAUGACAUGCUGUCAAUAUCGCCUCCCCCCACCAUGCCUUGGAGAGACCCGAUGUGGCGUUAACCAAAUCAGUUAGAGUACGGUUCUUUCUUUCGGCCACCCCAUUUGACUGAGGUGAGUAGGGAGGCGUCCUCUCAUGGAUUAUACCAUGUUCUGCACAAAAAGCAUCAAAUUCAUUGGAAAAAUACUCUCCACCACAGUCAGACCUAAGCCUCUUGAUUUUUCGAUCAAGUUGGUUUUCCACUUCAGCUUUAUAGAUCUUGAAAAAGUUCAAAGCCUCAUCCUUACAUUUCAGAAGAUACACAUGGCAGUAUCUAGUGGAGUCAUUAAUUAACGUCAUGCAAUAUUUCUUUCCACCUUUUGUCAAAACACCAUUCAUUUCACAUAGAUCUGAAUGUAUAAGUUCUAGUGGUGCAAGAUUUCUCGUCUCCGCAGUCACGUGAGACUUACGAGGUUGCUUAGCUUGCACACACACUUGACACUUAGAUCCUUGACAGUGGUGAAACCAGGGAUUAAGUUCAACUUCGCUAGUCGCGACAUGCAACCAAAGUUAACAUGACAAAGACGUGAAUGCCACACAUUUGAUUCACUAUUGUUGCAAAUAUGAUUAACAACUUUAUUGCAAACGUCUGAUAAGGAUAAACGAAACAGGCCUCCUGACUCAUAGCCUUUACCAACAAAGGUCCCAUACUUGGAUAUUACAAAUUUAUUCGACUCAAAGACAAGCUUAUAGCCAUCUCUACACAGAAGAGAUCCGCUAACAAGAUUUUUAUUGACGGAGGGGACAUAAUGCAUGUUCUUCAGCCGCACGAUCUUCCCUGAAGUAAACUUCAGAUCAACCAUGCCAACACCACGAACAGAAGCACUUGAACUGUUGCCCAUCAGCACGGUUGAAGUCCCUGCGGUCUGAUAAGAUGAAAACAUGGAAAUAUCACCGCAUACAUGCACAUUAGCACCCAUGUCAAUCAACCAACCAGGAGAAUGACAUACUGAAAGAAUAGUGGGAAAUAUACCAUACCCAGCAUCUUUCAUGUCAAUGUGUCCGAUGACAACAUUAGCGGUCUUGCCGCCUUUCCCAGGAUGACGCUUGUCAUAGCGAUUAGGACAACUAGGAGCCCAAUGAUCAGGAUCUCCAAACACAUGACAAGCACCUUUCUUCUUGUCAUUCUUCUUCUUGAAGUUCAUGUGCUGCACAGCCUUGUUCUUCCCAUCGAACUUUGCUUUACCAUCAAACUUGCCCUUGUUCUUGAACUUGUGGGACUGAAAGUUCUUCUUCUGUACCAGAUUGGCACUAGAUCCUCCCUCAAUACCUCGGGCACGUGUGUCCUUUGCUCUCGCCUUUUCUUCCACAUAAGAGUACCAAUGAGAUCCGGGACGGAAAACUCCUGUCUCUUAUGCUUCAGUAAGGUAGCAAAGUUCCUCCAUGAAGGAGGAAGCUUAGUGAUGAUACCCCCGGCAACAAACUUGUCCGGUAAGAUACAAUUGAAGUUCUCAAGUUCUCUAGCAAAAGACUGUAUCUCAUGAGCCUGCUCAACCAUGGAGCGCUCUUCAGUCAUCCUGUAAUCAUAGAAUUAUUCCAUGAUGUACAGCUCAGUGCCGGCAUCCGAGACCCCAAACUUGGCCUCGAGUGUGUCCCACAUAUCUUUUCAUUGUCAAUUGACGCAUAAGCAUCAACUAUGUUCUCACCAAGAACACUCAAAAGAGCAGCCUUAAACAAGGUAUCCAUUUUCUGGAAAUCUUGUGCCUGUUGGGCAUCUUGCUCUCCUUCAGGUUUGCCAAGAGUGGCGUCAUAGAAACUCAUGGUUUGAAACCAUAAGACUGCUCUCACACGCCACCUCUUAUAGUGAAUACCCUCAAACAUAGGAGGUCUCAUGGAAGCAGCAAAAUCACUCAGGGUAAAUUGCCUAUAAUAAGGUUUUUGGAUUGUUGGAAAUAUGAGCAAUUUACCGAAUGAUUUUAUUAACAAAAAUACUAGAUAAAGCAUGACUAAAAUAGCAAAUAUAAAGCAAGUCAUGCAGUCUGAGAGAUAGAAGGUAAACAUCGUCUGCAUAUAUGAACUUGAGCUAAACACAUCUAGAACAGACACUAGAUGAAGUUGCUUAUACGAAACAGAACCUAACAUACGUAGGGCAAAAUCUAGAGCCAAGAACUGUAGCAGGACUUCUAACAGAAAGGAGAAGAACACGUACGGCACAGCAGCAGCAGAAGCGCUGGACUUGGGUUGCUGUCCUCGCCUGCCAUGUCAUCGAGGAGGUCAUGGACGUCAGGGAAGAAGUCGUCGUCGGCGGGGAAGUAGUCGUCGGCGACCGGAUCGUCUGUGAUGAAGCAGCCAGUAGUCGCACUGAGCACUCCCCAAAAACCUUAUCACCCUUCUCUCGUACAAGACUCAAAAGGUGCGGUCGCGAAAGCCUACUGUCCCGACGUGCGGUGCACGCCGCAAGUCGGGAUGAGGAAGACAGCAGCAGCUCAGAGAUGGAACCGAUGGCGAGGGAAGGAGCAGUUCUGGUGCGUCUCUCUGAGAGGAGCGACCUCCCUUUUAUAGGCGCAAGAGAAGGAGGCGAGAGGCUGCGCCGAGAGCUGAAGGGAAUGCGGGAGACGAAACGAACAGGCAGCAGCCGAAGGGGCGCACCAUUCGGAUUCAGUGUCCAGGCACAGAAAAAAAAUGUUUCAGCUUUCGAGUGACCUUUCGUAUACCCGUAGUGCGUGGCAAAAAUUUAGACAUCGGCUCGGCUCAUUCCCGCAACCCGCGGCGCGGCGCAUCGUGACGAGGCGUGGUGAGGCAGGCGGCGGAGGAGGAGCGCACGUGGAUGUCCCUCUUGUUCUCAUGCUCAUACAAGUGGGGAAGGAGCCUCCCUUAUAAAGAGGUCCAACUCCCUCUAAACUAGCAAGGUGGGACUAAACUUUAGUUCCACCUCUUGCCUUGCACGAAUGGGCUGCAUGGGCCUCUAGGAUUUAUUAGGAAUUUCUAAAAUUGCUAUUGGGCUAGGCCCAAAUAGACAAAAAUUCCAGCAAUCCCCCACCAGAUCCCAGAGGCACAAAAAAUUUGCCUUUGGUUCCAAAACACUGUUUUAUAUACUGGUACAGCAGUGGAGACUGUUAAGUUGAACUUCCACCUAGAACCCUAUGCUACACUAGUAAGCAACUUGAACAGUGGACUGGGCCUUGAACUGCAAGUUUUCUGCAAAUCUAGCUUCACAUAAAGCCUUGACCGAUACGUGGCUACCGUGGGUCUUCCCCGCGGGUGGAGCUUAUGCGUCAUACUCCAUGACCUUUCAUUAGUUUACUAGAGAGAACCCUACUCUCAUAGAUUGCGACGUUUAACAAUCAGACUCAUAUAGGUGCGUUCUUCAAAAGAUGUUCUGCAGGACAACAUCUCUGCUUCAAAAAGCCACUUAGAACACAUUAAGAUAUAAAUCAACCUGCCAUGCAGAUUAGGAGAGUAUUGCAUCUUCAUGGAGUGGUAUUUUAACAGUAUGGAUACUCUCCUCUCAGUUGACUAACAGCUUGUCUUCCACAUCUAAUUCACGGGAUCUCCGAUCAUAAAGAAUAGAUUACCACUGUGAACAACUCAUAUUGUGGGUCUCAUUCCCAUCUCCCUCGAUGCAUUAUCUAUCACAUUACGUGAUAGACCCUUAGUAAAAGGAUCUGCCAGAUUUUUAGACGUUUGGAUAUGAUCCAAUGCAAUAACUCUGGAGUUUUUCAUUUUUCUGACAGACUAACCUUCUCUGAACGUGUCUUGAUGACUUCAUGUUAUCCUUUGAGUUGCUCACUUUAGUGAUCACAGUUUGAUUGUCACAGUUCAUCCGGAUACCCGAUACAGGUUUCUCAACUACCGGUAAGUCAUUCAAGAGCAGACGAAGCCAAUCCGCUUCAACCGUACAUGUAUCUAGUGUUGUGAGUUCUACUUCCAUUGUUGACCUCGUUAGAUGGUCUGCUUGCAAGACUUCCAAGAAACAGCGCCACCUCCAUGAGUGAAUACAUAACCGCUCGUGGCCUUUAUCUCAUCAACAUCUGAGAUCCAGUUUGAGUUACUAUACCCUUCAAGCACCUUUGGAUGCCCAGUGUAGUGAAUUCCAUAAUUUGCAGUGCCUUUCAAAUAACGCAAAACUCUCUCUAGAGCUUUCCAAUGCACAUCUCCUGGUUUUGAGACAAACCGGCUUAGUUAGCUAACAGCAAAAGAGAUGUCAGGUCUCAUAGCACUGGCUAAGUACAUAAGCGAGCCAAUAAUCUGUGAAUAUUUCAAUUGGUCUCUAGCGAUUCUUCGAUUCUUUCGAAGCAACACACUAGCAUCAUAUGGUGUUGGAGAGGGCUUGCAGUCACUAUAGCCAAAGCGGCUCAAGAUCUUUUCCACAUAGUGAGAUUGAAGCAAUGUAAUCCCACCAUCAUCAUCUCUCAACAACUUGAUGUUCAGAAUGAGAUCAGCCACUCCUAAAUCCUUCAUCUCAAAACAGCAAGAUAGGAAAUCCUUGACCUCCUUAAGAACAUUCAGAUUUGUUCCGAAAAUCAGUAUGUCAUCAACAUACAAGCAAAGCAUAACUCCCUCGCCCCCACCAUGGCGAUAGUACACACAUUUGUCAGCUUCGUUCACAACAAAGCCUGCAGCUAUUAAAGUUCUUUCGAACUUCUCAUGCCACUGUUUGGGUGCUUGCUUGAGUCCAUACAAAGACUUCAGCAACUUGCACACUUUCCCUUCCUGGCCAUCUAUUACAAACCCCUCUGGUUGUUCCAUAUAAAUUUCCUCAUCCAAAUCUCCAUUUAGGAAAGCAGUCUUAACAUCCAUUUGAUGAACGAGAAGACCAUGUGAGGUAGCUAGUGAAAGUAGACCUCGAAUAGUGGUCAGUCGAGCCACAGGUGAGUAAGUAUCAAAGAAGUCUUCACCUUCCUUUUGGGUAUAACCCUUUUCCAUGAGCCAAGCCUUGUACUUUUCAUUAGUACCAUCAGGCCUAAGUUUCUUCUUGAAUACCCAUUUGCAUCCUAUAGGUUUGCACCCAUAAGGACGAUCAGUUAUCUCCCAAGUUUCAUUCGCCAAGAUGGAGUCCAUCUCGCUACGAAUCGCUUCCUUCCAGUAGUCAGCAUCUUCCGAUGCAUAGGCAUCCGAAAUAGAACUGGGAGUGUCAUCUAUGAGAUACACAAGAAAAUCAUCAGCAAAGGACUUUGCUGUCCUCUGUCUCUUGCUCCUAGUAGGAACUUCAUUGUUCUCCUCCGCAGGACUUUCAAAGUGUUCCAUCGAAAUGGCAGGUUCAGUAAUUGUAACUGGUUCCUGAUUCGAUGAACUAGGCAUCUCCUAAUUAGAUGAGGUAGCCAUAUCCUUCAUGGGAAUGAUAUCUUCAAAGAAAGUCGCAUCAUUCGACUCCAUGAUCGUACCGACAUGCAUGUCAGAUACCUCAGAUUUUACAACCAAGAAUCUAUAGCCAAUGCUGUGAAAAGCAUAUCCCAGGAAAACACAAUCAACAGUCUUUGGUCCAAGCUUCCGCUUCUUUGGAAUUGGAACAUUGACUUUCGCCAAGCAACCCCAUGUUCGCAGAUAAGAGAGUUUUAACCUUUUCUUCUCCCAUUCCUCGAAUGGAGUUAUCUCUUUGUUCUUUGUGGGGACUCGAUUUAGGACAUGACAUGCUGUCAAUAUCGCCUCCCCCCACCAUGCCUUGGAGAGACCCGAUGUGGCGUUAACCAAAUCAGUUAGAGUACGGUUCUUUCUUUCGGCCACCCCAUUUGACUGAGGUGAGUAGGGAUGCGUCCUCUCAUGGAUUAUACCUUGUUCUGCACAAAAAGCAUCAAAUUCAUUGGAAAAAUACUCUCCACCACGGUCAGACCUAAGCCUCUUGAUUUUUCGAUCAAGUUGGUUUUCCACUUCAGCUUUAUAGAUCUUGAAAAAGUUCAAAUCCUCAUCCUUACAUUUCAGAAGAUACACAUGGCAGUAUCUAGUGGAGUCGUUAAUUAACGUCAUGAAAUAUUUCUUUCCACGUUUUGUCAAAACACCAUUCAUUUCACAUAGAUCUGAAUGUAUAAGUUCUAGUGGUGCAAGAUUUCUCGUCUCCGCAGUCAUGUGAGACUUACGAGGUUGCUUAGCUUGCACACACACUUGACACUUAGAUCCCUUGACAGUGGUGAAACUAGGGAUUAAGUUCAACUUCGCUAGCCGCGACAUGCAACCAAAGUUAACAUGACAAAGACGUGAAUGCCACACAUUUGAUUCACUAUUGUUGCAAAUAUGAUUAACAACUUUAUUGCAAAUGUCUGAUAAGGAUAAACGAAACAGGCUUCCUGACUCAUAGCCUUUGCCAACAAAAGUUCCAUACUGGGAUAUUACAAAUUUAUUCGACUCAAAUACAAGCUUAUAGCCAUCUCUACACAGAAGAGAUCCGCUAACAAGAUUGUUAUUGACGGAGGGGACAUAAUGCACGUUCUUCAGCCGCACGAUCUUCCCCGAAGUAAACUUCAGAUCGACCAUGCCAACACCACGAACAGAAGCACUUGAACCGUUGCCCAUCAGCACGGUUGAAGUCCCUGCGGUCUGAUCAGAUGAAAACAUGGAAAUAUCACUGCAUACAUGCACAUUAGCACCCAUGUCAAUCAACCAAUCAGGAGAAUGACAUACUGAAAGAAUAGUGGGAAAUAUACCAUACCCAGCAUCUUUCAUGUCAAUGUCUCCGAUGACAACAUUAGCGGUCUUGCCGCCUUUCCCAGGAUGACGCUUGUCAUAGAGAUUAGGACAAAUAGGAGCCCAAUGAUCAGGCUCUCCACACACAUGACAAGCACCUUUCUUCUUGUCAUUCUUCUUCUUGAAGUUCGUGUGCUGCACAGCCUUGUUCUUCCCAUCGAACUUUGCUUUACCAUCAAACUUGCCCUUGUUCUAGAACUUGUGGGACUGGAAGUUCUUCUUCUGUACUAGAUUGGCACUAGAUCCUCCCUCAAUACCUCGAGCACGUGUGUCCUUUGCUCUCGCCUUUUCUUCCACAUCAAGAGUACCAAUGAGUUCCGGGACGGAAAACUCCUGUCUCUUAUGCUUCAGUAAGGUAGCAAAGUUCCUCCACGAAGGAGGAAGCUUAGUGAUGAUACCCCCGGCAACAAACUUGUCCGGUAAGAUACAAUUGAAGUGCUCAAGUUCUCUAGCAAAGGACUGUAUCUCAUGAUCCUGCUCAACCACGGAGCGCUCUUCAGUCAUCAUGUAAUCAUAGAAUUGCUCCAUGAUGUACAAUUCAGUGCCGGCAUCCGAGACCCCAAACUUGGCCUCAAGUGCGUCCCACAUAUCUUUUCUAUUGUCAAUUGACGCAUAAGCAUCAACUAUGUUCUCACCAAGAACACUCAAAAGAGCAGCCUUAAACAAGGUAUCCAUUUUCAGAAAAGCUUGUGCCUGUUGGGCAUCUUGCUCUCCUUCAGGUUUGCCAAGAGUGGCGUCAUAGCAACUCAUGGUUUGAAACCAUAAGACUGCUCUCACGCGCCACCUCUUAUAGUGGAUACCCUCAAACAUACGAGCUCUCAUGGAAGCAGCAAAACCACUCGGGGUAAAUUGCCUAUAAUAAGGUUUUUGGAUUGUUGGAAAUAUGAGCAAUUUACCGAAUGAUUUUAUUAACAAAAAUACUAGAUAAAGCAUGACUAAAAUAGCAAAUAUAAAACAAGUCAUGCAGUCUGACAGAGAGAAGGUAAACAUCGUCUGCAUAUAUGAACUUGAGCUAAACACAUCUAGAACAUACACUAGAUGAAGUUGCUUAUACGAAACAGAACCUAACAUACGUAGGGCAGAAACUAGAGCCAAGAACUGUAGCAGGACUUCUAACAGAAAGGAGAAGAACACGUACGGCAUAGCAGCAGCAGAAGCGCUGGACUUCGGGUCGGUGUCCUCGCCUGCCAUGUCGUCGAGGAGGUCGUGGACGUCGGGGAAGAAGUCGUCGUCGGGGAAGUAGUCGUCGGCGACCGGAUCGUCCGUGAUGAAGCAGCCAGUAGUCGCGCUGAGCGCUCCCCAAAAACCUUAUCACCCUUCUCCCGUACAGGACUCAAAAGGUGCGGUCUCGGAGGCCUACUAUCCCGACGUGCGGUGCACGCCGCAAGUCGGGAUGAGGAAGACAGCAGCAGCUCAGAGAUGGAACCGAUGGCGAGGGAAGGAGCAGUUCUGGUGCGUCUCUCUGAGAGGAGCGACCUCCCUUUUAUAGGCGCAAGAGAAGGAGGCGAGAGGCUGCGCCGGGAGCUGAAGGGAAUGCGGGAGACGAAACGAACAUGCAGCAGCCGAAGGGGCGCGCCUUCGGAUUCAGUGUCCAGGCACAGAAAAAAAUGUUUCAGCUUCCGAGUGACCUUUCGUAUACCCGUAGUGCGUGGCAAAAAUUUAGACAUCGGCUCGGCUCAUUCCCGCAACCCGCGGCGCGGCAUGACGAGGCGUGGUGAGGCGGGCGGCGGAGGAGGAGCGCGCGUGGAUGUCCCUCUUGUUCUCAUGCUCAUACAAGUGGAGAAGGAGCCUCCCUUAUAAAGAGGUCCAACUCCCUCUAAACUAGCAAGGUGGGACUAAACUUUAGUUCCACCUCUUGCCUUGCACGAAUGGGCUGCGUGGUCCUCUAGGAUUUAUUAGGAAUUUCUGAAACUGCUAUUGUGCUAGGCCCAAAUAGACAAAAAUUCCAGCAGUUUGUGUUCUUCAGGUCUCCACUUGCCAUGAUAUUGCGGCUGGGCUUCGGGUAUGUGUUACCACUGAUACAUCAUUCCAAACUACUAAUGAAUUGGUCUCUGAUGUCUUCUUCUCAAUUUUAACUAGGGCCUGCUUCUGUUUGCACCAAUUCGAGAUAGUGGUUGUGGAAUGCAGCAGCCAAGACAACAAGGUCAGGCUCGGCUUAGGUAUGAUGACAAACAAAAUUAGAUUCGGAUGGUUCCUUACAUCUUCCUCUCAGAAUCAAGAGUGAUAAUACUUUUUUGGUGCUCCGGCUUCUGCAGUUUCUGAAGAACUGAUUCGUUGUUCAGGCAUUUCAUGCAUUUGGAGUUCACAGGUAUCUAAGUUUCUCUGACUGUGUUUUCAAAUAAUUGAUACUUGACAUUAGGAUUUUUGGCUGAACAAAUCAUCUUAGACAUAAGUAGAACCCGGCAAAUUGUGAGACAGAGCUAAUUGAUACACAGUUUAGAAAAUAGAACUGAACAAUUCUUGGUAGUCACUAUUGAUUAGCUAUGUGCGUACCUUAAGUUCCUUACUACUUAUUUUAAUUGUUAGUACUUGAAGGUUUGAAUAAUUAUUAUUACCAAGUUACAUGUUGAUCACUACUUAUUAUGAAAAUGUAUGUCCAUGGUUUAAAGGAGCUUUAUUGUUUCAGUCUAUACUAAGUUAUUUGUCGGUUAUACUGGAGCUUAUAUUGUUCCCUCUUUGAUCUAGACAUCAAAUAUUCUAAGCUUCAUUUUUGUGAGCAAACGGUUCUAUGCUUCCUUUUUGUGAACAUUGCUCCAUAAAUAGUAGUGGCAUUUACUAUGCAGAUGAUACUGACAAAUUAUCAUACAAGUCCGCAUUAAUAUUCAGUCAGUAGGUUAUUGAAGAAGGCCGGAGAUCGCGUGGAGCACCAACAAUAACCUCAAGUAGAUGCAGCAGAGACAUGUGAUGAACUAUCAUAUGUUUCCUAAUCUGAAUGUUUGCUCCAAUCGCUUGAUUGUUUGAUCUGGUUUGUUGUGACAAUACAAUGAUUUUCUAUGUUCUUUUUGUGGUGCAAUCUCCGUUGAUUUGGAAAGAUGGGGACUUUCUGUUGAGCUAUUUCGAUCGGCCAUUGGCCAUAACAUUCCAAAUUCCUUAUUUUGUUUCCUCUUUUUCGCGGCUUCAUUUUACGUGUCUCACUAAAGGUGGGCAUGACUUGAAAAGGGAGGCAAACAAAACUGCCAAGAUGCAUCUCUUUUGCAGCAGAAGAAGAGGCACUGAUGAGAGGUGGAAAAGGAGGGGCAAAGAAGGAAGCCAUGGGCAUGUGCCGCCUACCGACCAUGAAUAUCAACAAUGACAAUGACGACUAGCUUGUGUGCGUGUGAGAGAGGGAGGGAGAGGGAGUCAAAACAAAAUGAUGUAUAUCUUUACUACAUUAUAAAAUGGGAUUUGGUGAGCUAUUUGUCCUUUAUGAUUCAUGAGAUUUUAAUUCUAUAGUGUUUUUUGCUCUUAAUAUAUUAUUGUGGUUAUAGAUUUAUCAUUGACACAAUAUAUGUAGAAACUUUUUUGAUCUAAAUAAGAAGAACAAAAGUUUACGGGAUGCUUUUUGAUCGUUCCCUUUACCUAGCUUCCAAUUUCUAUUGUCAGAAACACAUUUUUUUUGUUCCUAUAGGAAACAUAUGCAAAUAAAAGAUUUGCCGAAGCUUUUUGAGUCCCUGAUGCAUACUAAAUACAGUCCUAGAACAAUAUGCUUAUGCAUAAUAACAAGCUGGAAAAUUGCUCCAAAAUAACACUUAAAACAUAUAAAAGAACAAAAAAAUCCAUUCUGAAUUCUAAAAUGAUCUUUCAAUGUAUGCAGCAAACUGCUUCCUUUAUAAUCUGACAAAACUCGCAGGACUUAUCAUGACGCAUGAAAGGAUAUAGUAAACCAUCACACCGAAGCCGAGGUUGGCUUUGUUUCCUUAUUUUUGCGAGAAGGUGUCAUAGUUCUACUAUUUUGAUUAGCCAUCUAGAGGGAUGACAGUGCAUGCAAUCAUUUAAAUAAAAUAAUACAAAGAUGCUGCAUGAGUCAUCAAUUCAAACAAGAACUUGUUUCAUGUGAUUUUUUGUGUAAAGUGGAAACAAAUUAUUUUUAUAACAACUAAUUCGACAACACAAGUGCUACACCGUGAUCAGUAUAUGCAUAUGAUACGAUCUAGCUAUUUUCCUUUGCACGGGUGGUUUUUAUCAUGAGGUAGGAGGGUUCGUACAAGUCGACUAUCAGCUCUCAUGCAAUGCUUUAAAAAGAAAAACGAGAGGAAUUUGUGAAUUUUUGUAUAACAUUGCAAAUUAUAUGAAAAAACUUUUUAAUUUGUCAGAACUUUUAGGAGGGAGUGAGUGGCAAAUGUUGGAAGACAUUCAAAGUUAGGAUGAUGGGAAUGCCUAUGGCAAUUUGGAGAACUUGGAGAAAACAUAUGCGAACUUGAGCUAGGUAGCAAUGUAGAGCUUAAUUAAGCUAAAUGGUUCAUAUUCAUUUGUUAGUCCAUGAGUUCGAGAUGAUGGACUCAACAAUUGGAUAGAUUUGGAGGGAACACGAAUUUGGAGUAGUGUGACAACAUAGCGAAGUAAUGACACAAUGGUCGAAGGGCUGAAGUUGAGGGGCUUGUGAUAGAUCCAUUUGUUGGCCCGUGGCUGCGCACGGGCGUUCUACUAGUAAUCAUUGGUGGCUUCUUUGACCACCAGACGGCUUAUUGACUUCUUCCACUCGAGGAUCACCGUGGAGCAAUCCUUCUUCCCCUUCCUACAGAAGCACGCCAACCACAAACAAAUGCUCAAAAAGACCUUAGCAAAUGCCAUUGAACUAGAUUGUAGGCAAGAGGAAUCUUAUUAGUUGGUAGAUGUAGAUGUCGAGGCCUCAUCAUUGCUUGCCAGAGGCCUCAUGUGUAUGUCGUGCGUCCCACCAGAGGCCUCUUUUAAUUAGAGGAAGGGCGGUGCGGAGAAGACAUCAUUAGUCACCCUGGGAGAAGAAAGUUCGGUGGCGGUGCGUGUAAAGAGGAGACUUUGGUAGUUUCUGGUGGAGUUGUGGUAGCCGUAGGGACGACGAGAGUGAGAGAGGACUGGGGACGGAGGAGAGGUGAUGGAUGGAAAAAAAUUGGGUGAUUGAGGACGAAAACCAAGAUGAAAANNNNNNNNNNNNNNNNNNNNNNNNNNNNNNNNNNNNNNNNNNNNNNNNNNNNNNNNNNNNNNNNNNNNNNNNNNNNNNNNNNNNNNNNNNNNNNNNNNNNNNNNNNNNNNNNNNNNNNNNNNNNNNNNNNNNNNNNNNNNNNNNNNNNNNNNNNNNNNNNNNNNNNNNNNNNNNNNNNNNNNNNNNNNNNNNNNNNNNNNNNNNNNNNNNNNNNNNNNACUAGAUGUCUCUGUAGUGAAGUAAUAUGAGCAUAACUUAAUUGAUCAGUGUAAAACUUUGAAUUGGUUAAGUAUACUACACUAAAGUAAGUUGUAAAGCCUAAUUGCAAUUAUAUCUUUGAGGGCAAUGCUUAUGAGUUGCGUGACAAUCUUGUCUGUUCUGGAUCUUGCAUCUGAUUCUAAUUAAACAGUACAUGUUAGAUGUUUUUAAUGAGGUCCACGUUAGAUUUGAUUGUUAAUUUAUAGUGCGGGUGAAAGCGGAUUCUAUCCUUUUCGUCUGCCAUUUUUCCUUUCAUAAAAUGUGUCCAUGGAGUAAUUCUCCACAAAAACAAACUUAACUGGACAAAAUAUCCACGGCAAGUCGCAUAUCUUGUGCAACUGUUCACUGUUGAAAGCUUAUUGUGCCACUACCCAUCAUUGCAAGGAAAAAAUACAGAAGAUUUAUGUUCUACCAAAUACAUUCUUUUGUUCAGAUUUAGCCAGGUAUGAUCCUGGUUGCGUCAGCCAUUAGAGUACAUUGCGAUCGACUAGACAGUUUCAGUGCUCAUCUUGCCUACUUUUGCAGCACUAGAUUUGCGAUCAGGUAGAUAAACACAACAACAAAGGAGACGACAGAUGCCAGCGGCCCAUAUUUCCCAAGAAUUCUCUGUGGGUUAAUUCCAUAAUACGGAUUGAAUUCUCUACUGGCACGGAAUCCAGCAACAAGGGCCACACCAUGCUGACACUAGCAGCUAUGUGUUGCUCCCGUGGGCAAGACCUGCCCAAGGAGGAUAGGUAAGAGAAAUGGCUGAAGACACACCAACACCUGGCAACAUGUAGGUUCAUAUUUCACCCCCACCCUUGGAUAAAACCGUGAAUCAUUUGAAACAUAUUAAAACUUGAGUGCAUUUUUUAUUUUGGAGAAAUAUAUAUGCUCACAAGAGCUUAGGAGUCACACGUCGGUUCUAGGUAAUUAAACAAACAAGAACAUUCACUUGUUGAGAAAUUUUACCACCUCUUCUUGCUUCUUUUAUGACACUAGAACUUGACGGGCUUUGGGUCACCUCCUUUUCGGUUUAUAAGGCUUGCGCGUAUCUCUAGGUUGACAAAUAGACCAACUUAAUACAAGUUGUAUAUCACAAAAAAUAUAUAAUUAGGAACUUCAAAUCGUAUACUUUCUAAUGGUAUAAUUUUUAGACUAUACAACUCAUGUUAUGUUGGUCAAGUUAUAGAUCCAGGGAUAUGUACAAGCCUUAUAAACCGGAAAGGAGGUAUGUUAGUAGAUAAACAUGCCAAUUAAGGACUUCUUGACAAGUCUAUGCAGAUUAAAGGUAUGUUAGUAGAUGGUGUAAUAAAUACAUGCUUUUAGCUAUCUAAGGAUACAAAUAUGCCACUAUUUACUUUGUAAAUGCUCGAAAUCAUUCUCAGAAAUUUUAGUAACAACAGUUGUCAUGAACAACUUGGACUAAAUGCAUCAAAUGUUACAAAUAAUACAUAAAAACAUUCAAAUGUACUUAGAGUGAAUCAAUUAAGACGUGUAAAGCUAGUACUAAUCCAAUAUUUCUUAAUGACUUGCAUAUACUUACAACACUUGACGUAAAGAGUGAAUCAAUUAAGACGUGCAAAGCCAGUACUAAUCCAAUUUUAUUAAUAGCUUCCACAAAAUUACAACACGUGGCGUAAAAAGGGAAUAUGAUGAGUCAUGUAUUGAUAACGUGUACAACAUUACUACCCUUGACAUAAAAAGAGAAGUUGAUGAGUCAUGUCUUAAUAACGUGUACAACAUUACUAUCAGCUUGUUCAUCUUACCAUCAUACUAUACAACACUAUAAGUUAGUUUAAAAAAGAAUAAGAGUCCAGAACAAACAUCACAAUACUAGCCUGAUCUAUAUUAACAACAUGCACAAGGACACAAAUUUAGUUCCCCGCAAGCUAUGAAGAUUUGGUUUAUGUCUAACAACUUGUACAAUAUGACAAACUUAGAUCCAAAAGGAAUGCAAACCAGAUAAUUGUAAUGCAAUCCAGAUAAUUAUUUGACAUGCAAAGUGAAUAAGAUGAGUCACUACCAAUUAUCAAGUUUUCCUCACUCUUAGAUGAUAUGAACCAUAAAAAGGCAACUUUGAUGAUCACUCCAUAAUUACGUUUGUAUGUAGUGCCACCAAACACAACACACAAAAUAAUUAGUUCGAUAAGCAUCGAAUCACUUUAAAAAGGAAAGCAAAAAUGGAAAGAAACCUAACCAUGGGAGCUAUAAAAAGGCCUGCAAUAUGUAGACUCCAUACCAUCAUCCAUCCUUCACACAACUAGAGCACAAGUAUCAAAUCCAAGUACGUAGUGGUUAACGCAAAUUAACCAUGAAGACCUUACUCAUCCUAACAAUCCUUGUGAUGGCAGUAACCAUCGGCACCGCCAAUAUGCAGGUCGACCCUAGCGGCCAAGUACAAUGGCCACAACAACAACCAGUCCUGCUGCCUCAGCAACCAUUCUCCCAGCAACCACAACAAACAUUUCCCCAACCCCAACAAACAUUCCCCCAUCAACCACAACAACAAUUUCCCCAGCCUCAACAACCACAACAACAAUUUCUCCAGCCACAACAACCAUUCCCCCAACAACCACAACAACCAUAUCCCCAGCAACCACAACAACCAUUCCCCCAGACUCAACAACCCCAACAACUAUUUCCCCAGUCCCAGCAACCACAACAACCAUAUCCCCAGCAACCACAACAACCAUUCCCCCAGACUCAACAACCCCAACAACAAUUUCCCCAAUCCCAGCAACCACAAUAACCAUUUCCCCAACCCCAACAACCGCAACAAUCAUUCCCCCAGCAACAACCAUCGUUCAUUCAGCCAUCUCUACAACAACAGCUGAACCCAUGCAAGAAUUUACUCUUGCAGCAAUGCAGACCUGUGUCAUUGGUCUCAUCCCUCUGGUCAAUGAUCUGGCCACAAAGCGCUUGCCAAGUGAUGAGGCAACAAUGCUGCCAACAACUAGCACAGAUUCCUCAGCAGCUCCAGUGUGCAGCCAUCCAUAGCGUCGUGCAUUCCAUCAGCAUGUAGCAAGAACAACAACAACAACAACAACAACAACAACAACAACAACAACAACAACAACAACAACAACAACAACAACAACAACAACAACAACAACAACAACAAGGCAUGCGUAUCCUGCUGCCACUAUAUCAGCAACAACAGGUGGGUCAAGGUACUCUCGUCCAGGGCCAGGGCAUCAUCCAACCCCAACAACCAGCUCAAUUGGAGGCGAUCAGGUCAUUGGUGUUGCAAACUCUUCCAACCAUGUGCAACGUGUAUGUCCCACCUGAGUGCUCUAUCAUCAAGGCACCAUUUGCCAGCAUAGUCACCGGAAUUGGUGGCCAAUGAAAAACGCAAGAGCCAUACUAAUAGGUAGAUGGAUCAUCGUUGCUUAGCUGAUUUACCAAUCGAUGUAACGAUGCCAAAUAAACUGGUGUGCACCAUCAUGUGUCAUCCUGACCAGUGCUAGUUCAAGAUUGGGAAUAAAAGAGAAGAACGUUCAUGUUUGCCA